rnacentral:lncRNA from 1 species
CGGGGGGAGGAAGCGGCUGCGGCUGCGGCUGCGGCUGUCGCUGCGAACCAGCGGCGUCUGAACACUGCGCUGCUACGGAGCGCCGAAUCCGGGCCUGCACCUGGAGCCCACACCGAGCUCCGCGGCCCCUUGGCGGCCCGGCGCCGUUGCCACCUAGGCGGCGUGCCCUGCGUUCUCCGCUGCCCGGGCCAGUCGGCUCUGGCGUCUCCUGGCUCCCCCUUGCUCUCCCGCUCCCUCCUGCUCGCCUGAGUCACCGACGCCGCCGCCGCCAUGGCCGAGAGUAGUGAAAGCGGCGGUCCUCCGGGCUCCCAGGACAGCGCUGCCGCGGCUGAGGGUGCCGGCGUCCCCGCGGCCGCUGCCUCUACGGAGCCCAAGAUCAUGAAAGUCACCGUAAAGACCCCGAAAGAGAAGGAGGAGUUCGCUGUGCCCGAGAACAGCUCGGUCCAGCAGGUGAGGCCGCCUGGGGCCCGGGCCGGGGUGGGGGUGGCCGCAAGAUCUCCGCCCGCGAUCGGAGGAGACGGUUUUGGAAGGGCCUGGGAGAGGGUCGUCCGCGGAUGUGCCCUCGGCCAUUCUGGAUCUCAUCUCACAUUAGAAAUUGCUCAAGUUCGCGGGUUUGCUCCUUUGGACUCCGCAGAGGUUUGUGGCGGGGCUGUGCGGCCUGCUUGUGGGACGCGCCGCCGUCGCCGCCGCUUGGCUCUCCAAGGUCCUCUUCUAAGCCUUCGAUUUAGAAAGAAAAUAAUCUAUUUUUCAUAUUUCUAAGUGAAAUUCUCAGGGGAUUGUAGAUAAAUUGUGCACUAUAGCUGUCAGCAACACAUGUUAUAUAAAACCCCAGGAAAUGUUCUUUAUUUCACAUGUCAGUUGGUUUUGUCUUGAAUAAGCUGAUCUCUAACAGCAGGUAAUUGUUUUUCUUCUUUGACUGCCUCUAGCAAUGCAUUCUCUCUCUUCUUUCUAUGUACAAAUCCACUCCCUCCACAAACCCACAUGCUCGCAUACAUUUCUCCUGCAAGAUAGGAAGAAUGCUUCUCAGGACAUUCUUUUCAUAAACUGGAGGAAUAAGGCAAAACAUAUUUCAGACAAAAUACUUGAAGGAUAUGUUCUGAAUAAUUAAUAUUAAAAAAUAAAAUGGAGGUUUUUAGACAGAGGACUCCAUGCCAACUCAAGUUUAGGAUGAACCAUGUAUCAAGUCAUGAAUUGUGGAUUCUCGCUUCCCAUAGGUAUAAAAGGUCAGGAACAAAAUUCACCUAAUUGUGUAACUCAAAAUCAUUUAUGAGUGAAUGAGCAAAUAAAAAUUAAGGAAGGAAAAUAUGCAAAUGCACAGAAAAUAAAUUCUUGUUGAAAUUAGAGAACUGACUUUUAACAUGAGGUUCUACAUAAUGAUCCACACAAUAGCUAGAAUUUCUUGAAGCAUACUUAAUGAACAGGAAACACAGCAGUCACUUGCAUCAGCAUUUUCAGGAGAAUCUGUUUCCUUAUCUUAUGGACCAUUUGAUUGUAUUUAGGGCUGCUCUAGGACCCUGGCAUCAAAUAUCUGAAAAUGAAGAAAUGUGAGGUAAUUGGGUGGGUUUUCUUUUCCCAGUCAGAUUUUUACAUUUACUUAGAGAAAUGAUACAGCUUAUUCCAUUGAGUAAAAGUCUUUAUAAUAGAGCAUCAGGGCAUUUAACUUAUCAUUUUUAAAAAAAAAUUAAAUUAGAAAAAUAGCAAAUAGCUGAAGUUCAUAUAGUACUUUCUACAUGUUAUACUGGAAUUCAAACAUUCUAUUCAAUUUAAUUUACUUAAUCAGCAAUUUAUUCAUCAUUUUGACCCCCAGUUUAUGUAAACUGAAACACAAUGUUUCACAAUGAUUUGAUUGUGGGCAGUCUGGUUCCAAAGUCCAGGAUGUUACUGUUGGCUAAUUUAUAUGCGUGCUAGAUCUAAUUAGUUUACUGUGUUUUUAUGUACCCUCUUUUCUUAUUUAUCUUCUUUUUGAUGGUUAUAUUCAUUAUUGAAACAGGGGUAUUGAAGUCUUCAAAUAUUAUUAUAGAACUGGAUAUUUAUUCAAUUCUGUCAGUUUUAGCUUCAUAUAUUUUGAUGACAUGUUAUUAAGUAUAUAAAUGUUUAUAAUUUUUAUAUCUUCUUGUUGCAUUGAGACUUUUAUUAAUAAAUAUGCCUUUUUUUGUCUCAUAGAUUUUUUGAUCUUAAAUCUAGUCUGUGUGAUAUUAGUAUAGCCAUUCCUAUUUGCUUUCAGUUACUGUUUGUAUGGAACAUAUAUAUUCAACUUUUCAUUUUCAAUCUAAUUGUGUCUUACAAUCUAAAAUGAGUCUCUUAUAGAGAGUAUAUAGUUGGAUCGUGGUUUUAUUUAUUUAUUUAUUUUUUGGUCCAUUUUGUUGACCUACAUUUAUUAUUCUGAGAGCUUAAUCCAUUUACCUUUAGACUAAUUAUGAUAAAGAGGGACUUACUGUGUCAUUCUGAUUUUUAAUUUCUCUGUGCAUUCUAGCCUCUUUUAUCCUUCAUUUACAUUUACUGUCUUCUUUUGUGUCUAGUUGAUUUUUUUUUGUAGUGAAACAUUUGAAUUCUUUUCUUAUUUCAUUUUGUAUAUUAUUUAUAUAUUAUUCAUAUAUUUUCUUCAUUGUUACCAUGGGGAAUAUACUUCAUAUCCUAAAGUUAUGAGACUAUAAUUUGAGUUUAUACCAGUUUGGCUUUAAUAGCACACAAAAAUAUCUUCUCUAAUGCCUUUGUCCUCACCCUUUUUGAUUGUUAUUGUUACAGAAUUACAAAUUUAAACAAUGUGUGCCUCCAAACAAAUAAGUAUUUUUAAAUUUCAUUGUUCUCGAUUAUGUAAAAAACAAAAUAUGGAGUUACAAACCAAAGUUACAAUAAUACUAAAUUAAUUUAUUUUUUAAAUUAAUCUCUUAAAACAAGAAGAAAGAACAAGAAGAAAUACAAAUUAUUGUUCCAAUAAUACUAGAUUUUAUAAUACAGAAUCUUAUUAAGAUAUUUAUUUCUUCAUUCAGCAUUAAGUCACUCUUUGGUGUCCUUUCAUCUUAUCCUGUUCUCCCUUAUUAUUUAUUGCAGAGCAGAUCUAAAGGUAACACACUCAUUUUCUUUUGUUUGAGUAUUUAUAAUUUCUCUGUAGCUUUUAGGGGUAGUUUUCCCACAGGUAGUAUUCUAUGUUGACUAGUUGAUAUUAUUUCUGUUUUUUUUUUUUUUUCUUUUAGCACUUUAGAUAUAUUGGCUUACUACCUUCUGGUCCUGAAAGUUUCUGAUGAGAAAUAAGUUGACUGUUUUAUUAUGGAUCCCUUGUGUGUGAUAAGUUUGCUUCUCUCUUGUUGCUUUAAAUAUUCUCUUUUUAUCUUUGGCUUUUAGAAGAAGUUUGAUUAUAGAGACCUUUAUUAUGGGUCUUUGUAAAGAAACACAUAUAGAGGAAUACCUGUGAGGAGGCACAUGAAGAACAGAUACAGAUACACAAAGUUCAAGCAGACAGACAGGAGGAGUGGAGAGGAUUGAAAUGAAGUGGUGAAGAAGAAGUACAGAAGAAGUACAAAGUGAAGUGUCCUCCCCUACCUGUGAGUUUAUUAACUAAAAGAACACAUACCUCCGUUACCAUGACUGUAUUCUAAUUAGUAUGUCUUUAACCUGUGUACUAGCUAACUGAGAUAAAGUCCAGGUUAGAAGUAACACAGGGCUCCUACCUACCAAGGGCAUAUCCAAGGAAACCAGAUAGUGUCUGCAUAGUUGGCUCCCUAGCUCAGAGGGAGGAGGCUGGGCAUCCUAGGUCUGGGAAGCAGGGAAACUUGUGAAGGACAAUGCUAUGGCAGCCAGGCAUCCUGUGCUUUUGCACAGGAGUUUCCCAGUCACCAGGUAUUACCUAGCAGCCAGGAAUUCUGUAUCUUUGCACAGAAACUUCCUAGUCACCAAGCAUGUCACAAUCACAAAGUUUGUAGACCCCAAUUAUAAGCACAGAAUUCCUACAGGUCUUUUUGUGUUCCUCUUACUUGGAGUUCAUUGAGCUUCUUGGAUAUUUAUAUUGAUAUCUUUUAUUUACUUUGGAAAGUUUUCAACCUUUAUUGCUUUAAAAAUUCUCUAUGACCCUUUGUCUCUUCUCCUACUGCUCACACAAUGCCUAUGGUAUUCUGCUUUAAAGUGUCUCACAAGUUCCUUAGGCUUUGUUCACUUUUUUAUUUUUAUUUUUUCUGUUCCUCAUGCACAAUAAUUUCUAUUGCCCUAACUUCAAGUUUGCUAAUUAUUUCUUUUACCUUCUGAAAUUGGCCUUUGAAUUCUUUUUUUUUUCAUUUCAGUUAUUAAACUUGCCAGCUCUUGAAUUUCUUGUACUUAUUGAUAUUCUUAUUUUUCUCUAUCACAUUGAUUGCUUAACUUCCUGCACAUAAUUAAUUGAGCAUCUUUAGAAUAGUUGUUUAAAAUUUAUUUGUUUAGUAGAUCUAUCAUGAGGUCUUUCUCAGGGGCUAUGCUUUCCUCUUUUUUUUAAUGUGAUAUUUUUUGAAAAACUGUACACGGAAUCUCUUUUCGUUUUCAUAAUAUGCACCCUACCAUGUGUAUAGUGAUUUCUCACUGCUGUUUAGAUUUUCAUUUUCCUGAUAAUUUGUGUUGUUGCACACCUUUUUAUAUACUUAUUAGCCAUUUGUACAUCUUCUCUAUAGACGUAUCUAUUCAAAUUCUUUGCUUGUGUUUUAAAUCAUAUCAUCUGGCAUUUGUUUGUUUGUUUAUUUGACUAUUAGAGAAUAUGAAGUCCUUAUAUAUUUUGGACAUUGACCUUUUGUCAGAUACAUGGUUUACAUGUACAUUCUUCCUUUCCAGGCUUUGCUUUUUCAUUUUGCUGAUUGUUUCCUUUGCUUUGCCAAAGCUUUUCACUUUGGUAUAUCCCCAUCUAGUUAUUUUUGCUUUUGUUGUCUGUACUUUCAGAGCCAUUUCCAAGUCUAAUUAACCUAUUUCCUAUGAUUUAUUCAAGUUUUAUGAUUUUUGGUUUUAAAUUAUGUCUUCGAUUCAUUUUGAAUUAAUUUUUGUUAGUUGCACACGAUAAGGUUCUACAUCAGGUAGUGUUGUCAUGCACUAGUUGACUGUAUAUGCAUGAGUUUCUUUUUUUAUAAGCACUCGAUUCUGCUUCAUUGGUUUAUGUGUCUGUUUUUAUACGAGUAUCAUAUUGUACUGAUUACUGUAGCAUUUGUAUGACAGUUUGUAAUUAGAAAAUGUGGGGGCUGGGGAUGUGGCUCAAGCGGUAAAACGCUCGCCUGGCAUGUGCAGGGCAGUGGGUUCAAUCCUCAGCACCACAUAAAAUAAAAUAAAGAUGUUGUGUCCACCAAAAACUACAAAAUAAAUAUUAAAAAUUCUCUCUCUCUCUCUCUCUCUCUCUCCUCUCUCUCUCUUAAAAAAAAAAAAGAAAAUGUGAUACUUUCAGGUUUGUUCUUAUUUUUCAAUACUGAAUUAUUUAUUUCAGGACUUUUGUAGUGCCAUAUAAAUUUUAGAAUUUUUUUUCUAUUUCUGUGAAAAAAAUGUCAUUGAAAUUUCAAAAAGGGUUAUAUUGAAUUUAUAGAUAGCUUUGGGUUGUAUGGAUAUUUUAACAAUAUUAAUUUUUCUAGCCCAUGAACUUGAGGUAUUAUUCCAUUUGUUUAUGUCUGUUUAAAUUUUUUUCAUCAGUCUUAGUUUCCAGUAUACAGAUCAUUCACCUCAUUGGUUAGAUUUUUCAUAAGUAUUUUAUUAUUUUUGACAUUAUAGUAAAUGGAAUUGUUUUCUUUCUUUUUAGAUAUUUAAUUGUUAGUGUAUAGAAAGAUGACUGAUUUUUGGACUUUGUACAUCACUGCCUCAGCAUCUUAUCAACCUAGCUGGACCAGUAAUGUUAAAUGGAAAAUGGAAAAUUAAUGACUUGUUCCCCAAAGCAAAGCAAGAGAAUGUAUUUCCUAUGCUGGGAAAUUUACCCAGAAGAUUCUCUUGGGACUCUGACAUUUAAAAAUAAGCAAAUGCUUUAGCACUAAUCCUAUGUCACAAAAUACCCUCCUCAGCAGCUGCAUGCAUGUUAAACUUGCAGCUAUAGGGAAUAUUUGCAAAAAAAAUGAAAAGAGCUCAUUAUUAUUUUUAGCUGAGAAAUGACUAUCAUCAGGGAGAUAAAUCAUUCCUCAGUGAAGGAAACCUCAAUUACACUUCAUAGAUUUAUAUGUCAUUUAGAUAUAGGGCAGAUAAACCUGCUGGGAUAUCUGGAGAAAUGAUCCUUGGUUUGAGGAAGUUUUGUUGCUCCCAAAGAAAGCUUUGAAAUACAUAGUGCUAACCAGACUGUGAAAGUUCCUUGCAGAAUUGUUUUGUCAAAUUGAAGAAAUGUUUAUCAUAGAGGUAUAAAAUUGGAGAUACCUUAAAUUAGCUAAAUAACUCAUAUGCUUAAAAAUUACUUUAAUGGGAAUAUAAGACAUACAAAAUCAGAUUUUGACAUGAGAUGGAAUCAAAAUUAUAGUGGUUGAGAUAAACAUAAGAAAAUAAACCAAUUUAUUCUGAAAAGGAAGUGUGCAUAAUACUUAAGCAAUAUAAGAGUAGAUAGCUCUAGGUUCAAUGUUUGGAUUACAAGACCUUCCAUAGAAGGUUAGUGAAGAUUUUGCCUCCUAAUGCCUCUAUCUCUACAGAGUUACCUUCUGGGUAGAGGUAACUAUCUUGUUAUCAAGAUCAAGGAACUUCAUCACUGGAAACAAAUUCACUGAACUCUGAAAUUCUUCCCUUUUGAAACUUAUUAAUAUAAUUGUUCUUGAGAGAUUGAGGUUAAUUUGGAGAAAAGGGACAUGUGUGAUCUGCAUAGGAGAUUUCCUAUGAGGUAGGGGAAUUGGCCUUAUUGAUAAUUUCAACAUUAGGCCAAGAGGAUUGUGGGGUAGCUGGAUGUGAAAUAGUGUGUAACUGAAUGGGCAGAAGUACUCUAGGAAUAGCUGAGAGUCAUAUAUACAAAUGAGUAGUGACAAUGAAUACUGAAGCAUGGGAUUCUUUCUUGUCCAGUAGAGGAAUCUGGGUCUGUCAGGUGUGAUUGCAAUGGUGAAAAAGGAAAGAACAAAUUUUAUGGAAUGAGUUUUUAAUAGUUCUGGGGUAGGAAGAUGUCCGUUAGAGAAGGAGACAGGGAGGGAUAUAACUCCAAAAUCUGCUUUCCCAAAUAGACUGGAGGAAGGUGAGGUUUGAAGAGAGGUGUUUUGGAGACUGUGUAUGUGUGUGUGUGUGGAGAGAGAGAGAGAGAGGGAGAGAGAGAGAGAGAGAGAGAGAGAGAGAGAGAGAGAGAGAAAACCUAUCUAUUUGCUGCAAAAGUGAAAAGCAGGUUACUCACUCGAGACAGAGAUUCAACCAAGAGAUUUUAUUGGGGAGCUGCUGCCCGAAGGGUAAGAAAAGAAAAGGAAGAGAGCAGAAAAAGGGAGAAAGAGAGCAGAGAGUGUGAACUUGCAAGCUUCAGCUUAAGAAGGGUUCUGUAGGAGACAGGGCGUGUGCUGAUUGGCAGCGUGACUCAGGAACUGGAGAGCAGACACUGUGUCUCCAGGGAUUGAUUUAGAAAAUUUUUGACUUUGGUGCCCUUUGGCAUGGUGCCCUUAGGAGAGGAAGGGGAGGGGUAAGAGAUAAUGGUGAUGUUCUUCUCACGAGAUGGAAACUUAACUUCAGCAGGGAGAAACUCAAUGGGGGAAAUAAAACCAAAAGGCAAGGUCUCCCACAUACCCAACAAAAAGUAUUUAUUGGGUCCCAAAUGAUGUUACAGGGAUGUUCUUAAUGGCUAAUGAGACAGGGCUGAAUAACAGAAGACAUGAUGAUCCUUUGCACAUGUGUUCACACUAAAUGCUGCUUUAUAAUUCACUUUCAAUGUCUGACAUACAUAACAUCACAUUUUAUGAAUGAUGAGACCAUCCCAAGUAAAGGUUAAUGGCAAGGAAGAAAGGAGGGGAAUAAAACUGGAAUCUCCUAAUCAAAAUUCAGUGUUCUAAUUUAAUUUCCAAAAUUAUACAGAUCUAAUAAGGUUAUUGGAGUUUUUGAUCCCACAAAGGGUACCCUGUUAUAAUUAGAAUAGAUUCCAAAAUGUAUAAAAAUGAUUAGCACGCUCUGGUCUCUGGCAAACACUCUAAGUUCUAACACUCUAACACUUUGCCAUCUCUCCCUCCUUUCACUGACCUUCAUUAAUUCCUCAAACAUAGAGUCCUUAAGUAUACUAUACUCCAUGAUAAUACUUGGCACACUAUCCAUUUUAUUAUUAACUAGUAGAAAUUAUUUAAUAACUGGCUUCUGAUCUGGACUCUAAGCCCUGUGUUGAUAAUUCUCCUUCUAUAUUGCUUAUUUGGUCUAUUCUCAAUGCUUUGCCCAGUGUCUGGCACAUACAAGUGCUUAUUCCAUGUCUUUUAGUUCACUCCAAAUAAGAAAAUUAUCUUUCUUUGACUUUGUGGGAAAUUAUCUUGCUAUGACCUUGUUCCUAUGCUUUUUGUCUGAUAUUGGGUAGAUUAUAUCCUCCUUCUUUGCUCAGCCUGUGUAACUUUGGCCCAUUCUUACAAAUCCAAUUUAAGACUCUCUCAGACAAUUGUUUCUGCCUCUUCUGAUCUUUUCACACAUUUACUGUGAUAAUGAAGCAGUCAACAUUUGAUUACAUUCAUUCUUUCUUUUUAUAAAACAGUGUAUAUCUCAUGGAUUUUUCUUUCUAUACAAUAUUUUAAAAGAAAUUCUGCAAGUCUUUUCCCCCAUUAUUAUUAUUAUUAUUUUUAGAGCUGUGAACCUUCUGGGCAUCUUCAAGGUGAUGAAUAACAACUAGCUGACAUUGAUUUGGAAGAUGCUCCAGAAUAGAGAGCAGUUAGGAGACAAAGGUUUCUGAUAGAGUACAGGUCUGGAGCUGAUCAAAGAGAGGGCAUAGGGGAGACAGACUUAUUAUUAUUUUUUUAGGAGGCUGAAUGUCAGAGAUUGUAGUGAACAUUUCAAAGCAUAUCAGAGAAAAUAACAGGGUAGAUAUUUGUCUCUCAGGAUGCAUCCAUGAGAAAUGUACUGAAAAAGUCCACUUGAAAACUAACAGGAAAGUCAAGGUUAAUAGGAGAAACAUUGAAUGCCCAACAAUAUCCACAGAGGUUUUAAUUUAACAUUAUAUGAAAAAGCUACACAGAAAGUGAAGUAAAUACAUUGGAAUUUAAAUCACUUACCAUAAUCUGUGUAUUGGGCCCUUUUAUUAAAAUAUUUUUAUAAUUUUCAAACAUUGAAUUUAAUCAACUCAACAAUACAAAAGUUGGCAAUCUGACAGAAAGAUAAUAACUGAAUAGACUUUCGUUUUCAACAUGAAUAGAACUUGUGGACUGAGGAAAACUAUUUUCCCCCUAUUCAUUCCAUGUCAUAAAUCUAUAGAAUUGAAUAACCUUGUUUUGAAAAUCCUAUUCAGACAGGGAACAGGGGUCUCUUAAUCUCAAAAUCCUAUGUACCAACUUGUAUUGCACUGAUAGGUUUGCUCUUUUUCUUAUUGAACUGUAAAUUCCUAGGGUCCAGAGAUUUUCUUUUUUUUUCAUGCCCCUAAGUGUCUGGUUUAUGCAAGGCACUUUUUAAAAGUAAAAGGUUAAAGAAGAUGUAGCAGAUGAUGUUGUUGUGAGCAAAAAUAGUUUCAAAAUUAUAUUUGGCAAAAUAUGGAAAACUUUCCUUCAACCACAAAGCAGGAAAAUGAUUUUUAAAACAGACUUGACCUAUUUAGGGACAAAGAUGCUGAAACCCCUUUUUCCAGAAUCUGCAUUCUAGAGUUUCUGAACUUCCCUUGUUUAUUUCAGCUUGGGAUAAGGCACAAUAAGGCUGCUGUUAUAGAAUCAAUAUGAUGUCUGAAAUAAGAGUAGUGAACAAAAUAUUAAUAAUAGAUACAUGAAUUAGUAUAUCCAAUAUGCCAAGUCAGACUAGUUGAAACACAGGGACCUUUUUUUUUAUCCCCACUGGGACUUGAACCCAGGGCCUUAUGUAUAUUACGCAAGUACUCUACCAUUGGGCUACAUUCCCAGUCCCAGGGACAUAAGUUUUGACAAGAGGGCAAAGAAGUAAUUAUGACCUUUGUUUGUUCUCAAAGAGGGAAAUGUUUGUGACCACAAGGUUAGAAAACAGGAAUAGAGGUAGAAAAGCCCAAACUACACAGUUUACAGUUGGAAGUGGACUCACCAGUUAGUUUCAUCCAGUGGUGUGACUAAGGAAACUGCAGUGAUACGGGAAUUACAGAAAUGAGAAAAAUGAAUGAUAAUUCUCUCAGAGAAAUGUCCCUGUAGAAGUAUAAGAAUAGAUCGUAUCUCCCUAAGAGUUACUUAGCUUGUUAUUUUGACAUCUUUAUACCUGUUUAUGAGCUACUACUAGACCAGGUACAUAAAGCAAUUAAAAUAAGUUUUGAGGCUGGACAGAAGCAAGGGACACGUGGAUAUGGUCAAGCUUGGCCUCUUCAUAGUUUUAUUUUUUUUUUCCCUCUCAGAUCUCAACUCCAAACAAAAAUUUACACUUUUUGAAUUUGAUUCUUUUAUAAUGUAGAUGACUCCAUGGAUCAAUUAUACUGUACUUAUAAAAUAUAUAUUCUCAAAAAUAUUGGAUGGGCUUGUGAAACCCUGGGAAUUUAGAAUGGGUAUAGAGCAAAGACUUCCUUUACUUCUUCACUGAUGCUGGUUCAUGUGGUCAGAAUUUUAUAAAUGGUACCACAAAUGUAUCUUUGCCCAGUCCUAGAACCUGUGAAGAAAAUGAGUUAUUAUGCUUGUGGUUAUAUUAUUGUACAUGACAAAAGAGAAUUCCUAGAUGUGAUAAGGUUACUGUUAAUCAACUGCCCCUUACACUGAGAAUAUUGUGCUGGAUUAUUCAUGUGGAUCUGGUGCAAUCACAAGAGGCAUUAUAAAUAAAGCUCCUUCUCCUGCCAGUAGACAUAGCAGGAAUAAAAAAGGGGAGGUCAGAGAAAUUUGAAGCAUGAAAAAGACACUGUUGAUGAGUUGAAGAUGUGAUCACAAGAUGGAAUGCCAGCAGCUUUGAGAGACAGCAGACACUGACACAGACUUACAGGUGCAAAGGAACUAGAUUGUGACAGUCACCAAAGGAGCUCAGAUGCAGAUUCUUCCUGUAAACCUCCAGAUAAAUAAGCCUAAUAAGCCAGUGUCUGGGUUUCAGUAUUGUAAGCUCCUGCACUGAGAACUCAGUCCAGUCUACCUAGACUUCUGACCAACAGAACUGUUAGAUAAUUAAUGGGUGCUAUUUUAAGAUAAUAGAUUUAAAGUAAUUCAUUAUACAUCAAUAGAAAACUAAUAAAGCUACACACUGACAUGUUUAUGGAUGAAAUUAUUCUAAUUUGUGUCAAAUUAAUCCAGUGUAGAAGCAUGAAAAUGGGGGUAAGCAAAACUAUAGUUAAAUAUAUUUAAAAUAAUCUGUAGUUAAAAUAUUAUAAAAAGCUAGAAUGUGUGCUUGAAACAGUUUUACAGAGGAACUAGUAAAAAAUGAGUUCUACAACUCUUUGAUAGUCUACAUCCACCUUGAGACUUUAAAAGGGUAAAUCAAGAAAAUUUGUGUCAAUCUAAGAUGAAUUUUUGCCCCUGUGCUCAAGUGGAGGGAUGGUAUGGCAGGUGUUCCCUCAUUCAUUUCAAGACUAGAGAAUCUUUUUUUCAACAAAACUGUUUGGAACAGCAAAGUUUCUCAACAAUUGAGUGACAUCAUGACAUGAUGUCACAGACAACUAAAGUACAUGUGAAAGUAAUCUGUGUUGGGGAUAGGGAAAGGGGGAGUGGGGAGUUGCAUUUUGAAUAGACUCCCACCAUAAGAGGAGCAGUGAAAUAUUUCCAUGGACUAGAGAUAGUGUAACAUGUAGAGUGAAUGGAUGAGUUCUUUGUCUCCUAAAUUUGAGGAAUGAAAUCUAUGGAUACAAGGAUGAGAGCAUAUUAACAGGAUUUACAGAAAGAAAUAAGAGCUCCUGAAGAGGGAGUGUCCCUAAGGAGAGAUGUCCACAGGUGUCUGUUGUCUAGGGGUUUUUAUGUUCUUUAUCUGUCCCUAUAGACUGGUGGUGACUAUGUUAAUGGGGGAUGCUAGCAUGGACCAAUUAAACUCUCUAAGUUCUGAGUUUAAUAAGCCAGUCAGAAGUUUAUAAUAUCCCUUAUUUAUAUAAUUAAGAGAACAGGUCUAAAGUUGGGCAAAGUGGCACACACCUAUAAUCCUAGCGGCUCUGGAAGCUAAGAUGGGAGGAGAGCAAGUUCAAAGCCAGCCUCAGAAAAAAUGAGGUGCUAAGGAACACAGUGAGACUCUGUCUCUAAAUAAAAUACAAAAUAGGGCUGGGGAUGUGGCUCAGUGGUUGAGUGCCCCUGUGUUGAAUUCCCAGUAAGAAUGGAUCUAAUCUUGUGGUUUGGCAUAUCUGUGAAGGCAAGGAAGUGCUUCAGGAGUUGAUUUGGUGGACAGUCUUUGCUAGGGGUAGGCAUGGGGUAACUAAGGAAAAGCUACUGUAGUUGAAGCUGUUAGGAACAAUAAUAGGUGCUAAGGAACCAUUGCAGAUGAAGCUCUUGGGGGCACCAAGUAACAGAAUGUUCUACAGACCAUCUCUUUCUAGAAUGGCAUGUUAUUCUCCUCCCCUCCUUCCCUUCCGCAAGGCCUUAUCCUAUCUGCCUAUGGGAGGUCUACCUUUCUGCCUCAUUAGCUCAAUAGAUUGCAUGCAAAGAAAUCAGGUGUGACAUUGUCUUAGAUCAUAUUUGUAGUUUUUUUACGGAAGGUAAUGAUGGUGCACUCUGAACUUUUUUGGAGGGAACUAAGUGACCUCUGGGAAAGAAGGCAGUGGUGACAUUCUUUGAGUGACCUACAGGAACACCCCCAUGAGGAAAGUCAUGAUAUUGAAAGAUUUUACCUUGUGGUAAGAUUUCCCUGUCCCUGAUCAUUUUUCAUUUUUUAACAAUUCCUAGAGGGAUCAGAAACCUUUGUAAGUAUGUGGGUGUGAGGGAAACAGCAGAAAAGAUGAGCAAGAAAGAAUGUAGUUUUUCUCUGUUCAUGGCCCUGCUUCAGCUGGGAAUAAGGGAGUUCAUUUAAGACAAAACAAGUUCGGUAUGUGAUUAUUACACAGAGUUUUACUUUCUGAUUGGAAGAUGGAGACUGUCUCUUAUAGUGAUGGUAAUAUUGUCAAAAUAGAAUAUGAUCACAUCUGUAGACAGCCUGUUCAUUCCCUUACUUAUUGCUUCCCAGAAUAAAUUGAUGAUGUUGGAGAUGGUUCAUUACAUGGGACUCGGGGGGCCGAAGGUGGAGCAGUACUUACCAUCCAUGCCCUCCUGGAGUCUCUGAACUGUAAAAUGUUAUGAUACACAAAUACAGGAAGUGAUGAAGUGGAGAGCCAGCACUGGCAGUGAAGAGCUGAGACUUUGUUCCUGGAGCAUAAAACAUACACAACUUUCUUUGCAUUUCUCCAUCCCAUCAGUUCCUGCUUUAUUCUCACCUGGGGUACUAAAAUAAUCUUGAAGUUGGUGUCCUUUCCCCAGGACAUCUACUGUCUCUCAAUCUCUUUCGCAUACUGCUCCAAAUGAUAUUUAUAAAACUGAAUUUUGUUCAUAUCAAUUCUCUUAUUAAAAUCUCUCACUGGUUCUUUACAACCCAUGGGAUUAAAUCCAAUCAUGAAGAUAAAUACAUCCUUCUAGAUCUGUUAUCUUCCUCCCUUUUUGGUUUCCAUUUCAUAUGAUCUAGAUAGUCUAAUAAGUCAUUGGAUAUUUAGAGACUAUUUCAAACUCAUAAUAAAAGUGACAAAAGAGCUUCCAAAGUACACAUUUCCAAAGUUUUAGAAUUUUUUGUGUAUCAGUCAAAUGAAUUUUUAUUACUAGGUACACUGUGCUGUGAAUUCUUGAAGAUAAAAGUUAUGUUGUAUCCUAUUCCCUGCUAUAUAUCUAAGCACAAAUGCAUAUUUUACAGAAAGAAAAAGAGAAAGCGAGCUCGUUAAUGUAAAACUACAUUAAUAGUGCAUAUAGAACAACUUAGAAGGCUCCCAGAAAGUGCAUUUUUAGUUAAAUAAAACUUCAGAGAAAAACGCUUUGUUUGAACCCCUACUGCAAAGAAUGCUUUCCAGACACCUUGUUGCUUAUUUCUUCAAGUAUGGCCCACCAGUCAUAAUUGAAUUUUUCUUAGUUGAAUACUUGAACAGUCCUUUUAGUCCCCAUUCUAUAUAAAGUUUUUUUGAGUUUGAUGUGAAUUGAGCUGAAAAAAAUAACAAAAGGAUAUGAUUAUGAUUUUAUUUAAAAAAUAAAUGCUCAUGAUUACCGUAGUUUCCCAUGAUUUACUUCUGUUUGUUGAAGUCCAAAUUCUGGUGGAUAUCAAUAAGUAUAAUGUAAAAUAUACAUUAUAAGUAAUUUGUACUCACUGGUUUAGUUGCAUUUUUAGAAAGACAGUUAAGGAAGUAAAUGUCCCAUUAGCAGUUCUCAAUCGGCUGUUAACUUGCUUAUGUGAUGAUAGAAAAAUGAAGAAAAAAAUACUGAGGACUUUAUGUAAACAUGUGCAUACUAAAAUUAAUGUAUUAAAUUAACUUAAACUCCCUUUGCACCUAAAAUAAUAAACACAAACAGGAAUUCUUUUAUUUUUUUAGUUCCUGGUACAUUACAGGCACUGUAGAAAUAUUUCUUAAUUUAAGCCUCUUACAAAUCUUUAACAUUGGCAUUGAUUCCUUUUGGAUAUAAGAAAACUGCAGUUUGAAAUCAGAGAUUCCCAAAAGUUCUCAUCACAGUGCUCUUGGUCAUCCUUAUUCUUUUUAUGACUGUUAGAUCAAAAUAAAUGCCCAAGUUUCAGUUAUUAAAUGGAGAUAGAGCCAAACAACUCAAGUGUUGAUAGGUCGCCAGUGAAGACAAAGAUGAAACCAAACUACAGUUUCUUCGAUAGUUAUCACAACAAACUGUAUAAACUGAUGCAUCAAGGAAUAAUAACUCAACAAGUAAUGCUCAUUCAAGGAGUCGAUUUAUUUUGGGAGGAAAUGGACAUAUUGAUAGAUUCCUCCACUUUGAACUGCUUGCAGAACUUGCCUGGACUAUGUAUUACUUAUAUGCAUUGUGAUCUAUCUGUUGAUGCAGCGAAUUAUGGUAAUGCUGGUGUAUCUUUGCUGAUGUGUCACCAGUGAUGCAAUUUUUCCUAAGGAGCCGUCAAUUGGCUUGGUGUCGUGGCAUUUCUGUAUCCUCCUCCCUUCUACUAGUGAUGGUCUAAUUUGGGGGCCAACAGAGUUGAGGCAAAGAACCUCACUCCCCCACCGGCACCAAGGCCAAAUUUGGGGGCCAAAAGAUGUGAGGCAAAGAACCUCACCCCCCCACUGGUGCAUAGGCCUAUCCACAAGUAUGGCUAUAUGCUGGACUGGUAGUCAGUGACGGGUAUGAUCCAAUUGCAGUGGUAUCAACCUAAGACAGGAGGCUGACGCCUAGAGGUCAGUUCAUCCCAUGACGGGUAAGAACCAUAUGUUGAAUUGGACAAACCUAACAGGCAUGGUCCCUAGCCACAUUGCUUGUUGCUUAAUUAAACAGAAGGGGGGAGAUGCUAAGAGCCACAGCCAAGUAAUAUGAUGAAUGACAUUUUUGGUUGAAAGGUGACGCCAGCAAGCCAUUGAGAUGAUAUGAUUAUGUUAAGAUCUGCAUUCAUAUGGAUAUUGGACUCCUGCUGUCCACCUCGGCCUGCUACAGGACUCCUGGAGAGUUCCCAUUGGUUGGGGAAGUGCAGUAGGAGGGAAUUCGGAGGAGGGACUUCCUGAGGGGGUCCAGGAGAAUGCUGCGUGGGUCAGUCGGCAAUCUUCCCGGGAGCUUACAGGGCAUUGGCGGCAGUUUCAAAAAUAAAGUUUGUUCCUGCUUGAGUGGCUCAUGAUUUUGUGCCCAGCCAGACUGUGGCAAUUGGACACAGUCAUUUCAUUGCCUGUUCUAUAGUGAUCUUCACAUAGUACUUUUUUUCUUAAACUUUUUUUAUUUACCACAUACACAGCUUCAGGAAAAAUACAUCAUAGGAAGAAAGAGUGUGGGAUCUAAUGUAAAACUGAGUAGACUAAAGCUAGUCAUUGUCCUGAUUCUGGCAGUUUUCGAGUAUGACUGUUUUCUUUGAGAAAUAAAAGUACCCUGGGGUUCUCAUCUGCAGAACCUCAAUGUUAUGAGUCAGGCUAUAAAGUCAAUGACCAAACAGACUUGAUUUUACCCUGAGACUCCAUGUCAUGUAAGAAAUGCUUCUUCUUUGGGAACAUCCUUCCUCUGUACACCCAUCAACAGUUGCUUAGCAUAGCAUGUUUGGCAACACAAAAUGGCAAUUCUUUAUUAUUAUUAUUAUUAUUUUUUAGUUGUUGAUGGACAUUUAUUAUUUAUUUAUUUAUAUGCAGUGCUGAGAAUCAAACCUAGUACCUCACGCACGCUAGGCAAGUGCUCUACCACUGAGCCAAGACUCCAGCCCCCAACUGGCAAUUAUUAUACAAUGUAAAAUUGUUGUCUUUUUGGUUCCCAUUUUUCUUGGACAAUGUACCCCAACUGUACCCUAACAGCAUAGAAUAUUAAUGUUUGUCUAGAUGUUUGUAACCAUUCUUUGACUUGUACUCAACUAGGAUAGUUUUGAUCCACUCUCCUUCUGCUUAUAAUUUUAGACCUCAUGAUUUUUGUUUAUGGUUUUAAAUCAUAGCAACAGCCACUUAAGAUCAAUAUACUGACAUGCAUUAAAAGGUGUGCUCUAACCCUUCAAGGGUGUCAUAUGGUGGAGACUUGCAGCCUGCUCCUUGGCCCGCCAGCUGGUGAAUGUGGACCACCAGCUGGUGAAAAAAGAUGGUUCCAACUCAGGCUUCAAGACUGAGCUGGUGAUUUAUUGCAAUCUUGCCAUAACAUCAACACUCUUUUAACUGUGUAGCAAAGUAACUUGUUUAAGACCACAUUGGCAGAAAGUAUAAAUCUGCAAUUUGAAUUCAAUUAUCUGUGACCCCAAAACAGUUUUGGGCUACUGAAAUUUCCUGGGGACUUACUGAGAGAUAAGAAGUCUCCAGGAUCACUGGAUAUCCCUAGCUUAUUAUGAUAUUAGCAUUUUCAGCUAAUAAACAGCCUUAAAUUUUGCCUAGGUGAUCCUCUAGUUACUCAAAUCUUUAUUAACUACUGUGGGGUCUAUGAGGAAAUAUUUUUAAAAUCCUCUAUUUUCCAGCAGUUUAUGUUUUCUAGUUGGGAAAAGAGCAUGGAUUUUCAAAAUUUAACUGAAGUAAACUACUAGAAUCCAUAAGUGAAAGGUCCUUGUGUUCCUUUUGUAGAAGCAUUUUCUAAAUUAUAAUUUUGCUUGCAGGAAAGUGAUGUUUAUGCCUGCAAUAAAAUGUGUAUAUUUAAUUAAAAAUGCUGGACUUUAAGGAAACAACCACUUUAAUUUCUCUGGUUAUUAUUUGAAUUUCAGUGGUUAUAGUUAUUUAAAGAAAAAUUCCCAUGUUCUGUUUUUGUUAAUGCUUAUAUAUAUUUUUACUAGCUUAUUCAUUUUAAUCAUUUUAAUAUUACUUGCUUUUUUCAAAAAUUGAAAAUGAAACAACUGAAGAUAAAGUCCUUUGUAUUUCAAAUAAAAUUGCUUUAGUAAGUUUGCAAUAAUAACGUUGGUAUAAUAAUGGAAAAUCCCAUGAGGUCCAGAAUAUUGUCAACCCACUGCCAAUCUGCUGCUGUAUAAUUUGCUUAUAUUCAAACUGUUUUUCAAGUUGUUAUAGUAAAAUAUGGUCAUGAAUUUAGAAGAUUUCUUAAAAAGUUUCCCUGCAUCACCCAAUGAAAGAUAUAAUAUUUCCUUUAUAAUGUAAUGAAUAUCAGUACUGAGCAAAUUUUCUAGAACAUAUAUUUAAAGUUAAGUUAGUUCAUCUAAGUGGAAUAAAGAUGACUCCCUUACAAAUUGAUUCUUUGUAAUAUUUAGGUGUGAAUUACACAGUGCAAGAUUUGAGAGGGGGGAGCUCAAAUGACCAUCACAGAACCUUUAGGAUUCAUUUUCAUUUCAAAUGCUGAGAAUUGUAAUUUCAAUAUUUAUCAACAUGGAAAGCAAAUCUCACUAUUGUACCAAGUUCUACAGCUUACUUUUAAGAAUCAAGACUGAAAUAAAUUGCAUAGCUUAAGCAAAGUCUCAAACUGUCUUUUGUAACUGUUUCUAUGGAUUUUAAUGAAUUUUUUUGUCAUUUAUAUGCUGUUUAUUAAAGAAUCUGUAAUAAUAAUACAUAUAUUUUUUUCUAGAAAAUAAAAACAGUAAUUUUACAAUACAUUUAAUGGCAACUGGUAGUAACAAAAUUUCUGUAUUUUCUUUACAUGUUCUUUUAGACAAGUCUGCAACUUAGUAUUGAUUAUUUGCAAGUUACCCCACUAGCUGUACUAUCAUUUUUCAAAAGGUAGAUCAUGAUAAUGUAGAAUCAUAGUCAUAAUAUGAUCAUACAAAAUGAUCAGAUUGUAAAUCAGAUUGGGUUUAUCACCAGCACUUAUAAAACCAGACCCAGGGAAAGAACUAGGUCUGGGGAUACCAUGCAUGGUCUUAAUAUAGCGAAUGUUUAGCCUGCCCUGAUUAUUACAAAAAUCAGAACAGCGAGAAUAUUCGCAGUAUUUUUUUUUAAUCCAAGAAAAAUUUUGUAGUCAUUAGCUGCAGUACUUACAUACAUUAAAAAAAAACAAAUAAAUUCUUUCAGGAGAAUACCAUUGGAUCAGUGAGUUAGUUGAUAAGCAAUGGUAGCUGCUUAUGAAAGAAAGGCAUUUUAAAAAUAUUUGGCUUUAUUUAAGCUGAGUGGCACUUUAAGCCAGAAAAAUAAGAUACAAGAGGAGUUAAUUUUAAGUAUUAAGUAUUAAGGUCAUGGAAAGAGUAUAAAUUUCAAUUUGUCUGCAGAAGUGUACUGAGAGAGUUGAAUAGUAGCUAUUAAUGUGGAAGCACAAGUUGGCCCAAGUUUCAUCAUUUAUAUUUCAUAAGAAAUCCACUGCAACCAUAUUCAUAAUUCUGAUUUGACUCCUUGGGAUUGGCUGUUUCAUAGGAGUCAACGUUGGCUUUCUUAUCUCUUCUUGGUUUCUAUAUUCUUUGGGAUUUGUGUUCCUCAUUGCCAGCACAGGAUUUUUCUUUCCUUUCCUUUUUCUUUGGGUUCUGAUGGCGGUGCCUUCCACGAGCAUAGUUAGAAUAGGCAACUAAUGGUCUUUUCUACAUACACUAAAAAAUAACAUUUAUCCAGCAUCUGUGAUGGUUUGGAUGUGAGGUGUUUUCCAAGAAAGCUCAUGUUAGACAAUGUAGGAAUUGUCAGAGGUGAAAUGAUUAGAUUAUAAGAAUUGAAUCAGUAUAUUAAUAUACUUCAUGGGUUAAUAAUUUAAAUGGAAUUCGGUGUGCUAACUCUAGACAGAGUGUUGCUGAAGGAAGUAUACACUGGAGGGAUGCCGGGGAUUAUAACUUGCAACUGCCUUCUUACCUAUUCACUGUCUGCUUACUGGUUUCCAUGAGCUGGGAAUCUUUCCUCCAACACAACCUUCACCCAAGAUAUAAUGCCUUACUUUGGUCCCACAGCAAUGGAGCCAACUGAUCAUGGACUGAACCUAUGAAACCUUGACCCCAAAAUAAAAUUUUCCUGCUCUAAAUAAUUCUUGUCAGGUAUUUUGGUCAUACUGAUGAAAAGCUAACACAGCAUCUAAUAAUCUGUUAUUCAAGAUAACCAAUAUAACCUGGUACAGUAUGACACAAAGUCACUGGGGCAUAUAAGAAUAGAAAAGUAUUUCAGGAUAGUAAAACAAGGAGAGACGCUAGAAUAUAACCAUUCUUAUAAAGAACAUUCUUAUUUGUACUAACCUAGAUUGGUUAUGGGCAUUUACAAUUGUUAAUUGAUGGCUACAUUGGAUAACUGUAUCAUCUAAUUUUAUGCCAUCCAAAAGUAAUAACGAUCUCAGGAUAUGUCUUUUAUCAUGUCAUUGCUAAGUGAUUUUUCUAUUUGUUUUUCCAUUCAAGUAAUUAUUCUCUUAACUAGAGAAUCUUUUUUUAAAAAAGUAAAAUAAAAUUGGGGACAAUUAUAAGGUAGUAGAAAGUUUUCAAUAAAGAUUGGGUAUGCCUGAGAUUUAGUUUGUAUCUGCUUUAGUGUAUUAGUUUGCUGGGGAUUCCAUAAUAAAGUACUUUAGAUUGGAGAGUUUAAACAAAAGAAAGUUUUCACAAUUCUGGAGGUUAGAAGUUUAAGAUCAAGGUGUUCACAGGGUUAGUUUUUGGAUAGCUGUUUCCUUAAUUUGUAGGUGGGUGUUUUCCCUCCAUGUAUUCACUCUGUCCUAAUUUUAUCUUCUUGUAAAGACAUCAUGAUAUUGGAUGAGGGACUACUCUCAUGAUUUAAUGAUCCUAGUUAGCUAAUUUUAACUUAAUUACCUUUCUAAUAAGCCUACCUCCAAAUAUCAUCAUUCUGAGGUAGUUGGGGGUUAGCACUUCCACAUGUGAAUUUAUGGAGGAUAGGUUCUAUAGCCCUUAACAAUUAGCUUUGGUGAUUUUGUUUUGUUUUAUUGGUGGAUUAUUCUUAUACAAAAUAAUGGGAAGUAUUGAUACAUUCUUAUAUCCACAUAAAAUUAUUGGGUUAAUUUCAUUGCCCGUCAAUUCCCCUUUCCCUUCUCUCCUCUGUUUCCCAGUCCCCAUCUUUUACUAUACUGGUUAGUCUCCCUUCUUUAUUCAUGAACGUCUUUUUUUUUUCCCUUUUUUUUUUUUCUGUUGUCUACAUGUGAGAUAAAACACAUGCCCUUUACCUUCUGAAUCUGGCUUAUUUUACUUGACAUAAUAUUCUCCAGUUCAGUCCAUUUUCCUGAAAAUUAUAUAAUUUUGUGCUUCUUUAUGACUGGGUGUUGCUGUUGAGAUAUUCUACGCCCCCCUUCCCCCGAAAAAUAAAACAUCAUGUGGUAGGCAAUGUUGGAAUGUUCAGAAGUGAGAUGAUUAGAUUAUGAGAGCUGUAACCACAUCACUGGAUUAGUCUAUUUCACAGAUUCAUAAUCUGAAUGCACUACUAGGCUGUGGGGUGUGACUAAAGGAAGUACUCUUGGGAUAUGCCCUUGGACUAUAUUUUGUUCUCUUUUUUUGUUGUUGUUGUUCUGUUUCUUCACUGCCAUGAAAUCAGUAGCCUCUUCUACCAUGCUCUUCCUGCAUGAUGUUCUGUCUCAUCUCAGGUUGAGAGCAAUGGAGUUGGCCAACCAAGGAAAGAUCCCCAAAUUAACUUUUCCUCCUCUAAGUUGUUUUUCCAGGUAUUUUGGUCAAAACAUUGAAAAGCUGACCAACACACUAUGUAAAUCUCCAUUUCAUUCAUAUAUAUAUAUAUAUAUAUAUAUAUAUAUAUAUAUAUGAAUAAACAAAAUGGUAUAUAUAUAUACUUUGUUUAUUCAUUUUGUUUAUUCAUUUUUUUUUUGUUGAUGGACACCUAAGUUGGUAUCAUAACUUGGCUAUUGUCAAUUGCACUGUCAUAAACAUGGGUAUGUAUGUAUCACUAUAGUGUUCUGACUUCAGUGCUUUUGAAUAAAUACCUAGGAAUGAUAUAGCUGGGAAAAGUGCCAAUUCCAUACUUAGUAUUUUGAGAACCUCCACACUGAUUUCCACUGUGACUGUACUAAUUUACAAUCCAUUUUGUGACUUUCUAGACUUCAGUAAGAAGUUUUUAGUUUUAUUCUCUACAAAAAAUCUGGGUGUUUAGCAUUCAUAUGGUCUCACAUCCUUGAGGAAUGUGAUGAUUAUAUCAGCCUUGUUUCCCAUUGUAUGAAAAAAAAAAACCUGUUGGAAAAAAUUGGAUUUUGAACAUAUUCAAUAUGUUGACUUCUGGUGAUCACAAUAAUGGUAAUAAAAAGUGAGAUUUUCAAAUGCCUUCUGAGUCAAUAAAGAUUUUAAUUACAUAUAUAUGCAUAUAUAUUAAUCAAAAUGAUAUGAAAAUUUAAAAUUUAGAGCUGAUAUUUAAUGUGUACAUGUCCAUGUGUAAUGCACUUGACUAUUUGUGUUAAACUGUCACAUCUUUAAUAUUUCACAUUUAUGGAUUGUCAUAAAUUUUGUGAAAUUAGAAGGGAAAGCAUUACAUCUGUUCAGUUUUACGAAAUCUAAAAAUAAAAUACAAUGAUGGUGUAAUAUCUAAAAUCGCACAUUUAAUGACAAGCAAAGCUCAGACUCAUAGUUGAAGUUCUUCAGAUAUUAAACCCUGCUCUUUACAAACUAUAUGAUAUUCCUUCUUUGAGAAUACUAGAAGAAAAUUUUGAACAAACAUUUUCAUUUAAGCCCUUGCCAAGUUUAUAUAGAAUCUUCUUUGAUUUAAAUACCCCUACAAUGAUUUAUGUUAAAUUUAAUCUCUGUGGUGAGGUAUCAAGCAUGGAAGAGUAAUCUGUGGUAUUUAAAGAUGGGAGAUUUGGGAGGUAAUUAGGGUUAAAUGAGGUCAACAGAUUUGACCAGUAGCCCAAUGGCACUGCAGUUUUGUAAGAAGAGGAUUCUUGAACUAGGAUGCUCUGUUUUUUUGUGUGAUGCCUUGGCUAUCUGCAGAGUCCUUACCAUGCAAGAAAGACCUUCCCAAUGCAGCCACCUAGGCUUGAACUUUCCGGUCUUUAGAAUUGUGAGUUGAAUAAAAUUUGAUUCUCCAUAAGUUAUUCUACAAUAUUCAGUUAGAGCAACAACAACAACAACAAACAAAUAAACAAAACCAGCCUACAAAAGAGCCUUUACUAAAGAGGAAAAGGAAUUUAAAUUUUAAGAGAAUAAAACAAGAUGCUAAAUUGGUAGACAUAGAAAGAGAUGACAUUCACUAGAGCAAAUAAACACUGAGUAAACACAGAAUUCUGUUACUGUCGUUAAAGGGUUAAAAAUAUUUCUCAGUGCUGAGACUGAGGCUGUGGCUCAGUGGUAAAGGGCUCUCCUGGUGUGUGUGAGGCACUGGGUUCGAUUCUCAGCACCACAUAUAAAUAAAUAAAAGCUUAUCAACAAUUAAAAAUAAAACAAAGUAGCCAAUACUCUUUAAAAAUAUUUCUCAAAAGAAAUUAAGUGCAGAAAAUUAGAAAAAAAGAAAAAAAAUGAAUGAGAGGAGAUAAAUUCAAUUUAUGGAACUAUAAGUGAAAUUUUUAUUAACCUGAAUUACAAUAUAAAUGCAAAUACUAAAUCAACAUAUCCAGUUAGCUAGAGAUUUGCUGCAGGUGGAAAAAGAAAUCCAUCUGACAAGUCCAUACUAAACCUUAUGCCUGUUACUUAGCAUAUAGACAAAAUUAUUCCAAAUAUCAUUAAACUUUCUCCAUCUGCAAAUCUAUUUAUCACAUUUUGUUUUUAUAUAUUCUAUGAAAAAAGUUCCUCAAAGAAAUACCAUAAUCACUCCAUUUCUUAUGUUCUUAGUGUAUUAUUCACUGAAAUACACCAAGAUUAAGUCUAAGCAUAGAAUAAUUAGUUUUCAUGCAUUAUCAAAUUAUUAACUACAUUCCUGACUUCUGGCUAGUGUCAAGUCCUUUCUUCUACUAACAAUGUGGAUACUUCAAGUAGUUGGACGUUAUUAUUACUUAAAUAUUAGGUGUCCCCAAAAAGCACAUGUAUGAGACAAUGCAAGAAAGUUUCGAGGUGAAAUGAUUUGUGUCAUGAGAGCCUAAAUCCUUAAAUAGGGAUUAAUUGGAUGGUAACUGGGCAGGUAGGGGUGGCUGGAGGAGGUGUGUUCCUGGGGGCAUGCCUUUGGCGUAUACAUUUUAUCAUUGUUGAGCACACACCCCUCUUACCCUUUCUCUCUCCCUUUCUCUCCCCAACUCCCUCCUUCCCCGCUCCUCUCCCUUCCUAGUUGUUUUCCCAGCUGUUUUCUUCCAUCGCUCUCUUCUGCCUCACCUCAGGUCCCAGAGAAUGGAGUCAGGUAUCUAUGUUCUAGGGCCUCUGACCCCAUGAGCCCCCCUUCUUCCUCUGUAUGUUCUUGUUAGGUCUUUUGAUCACAAUAGUGAAAAAACUGGCUAAAACAGUUAUACUGGUGCCAGUGGCUAUAUUUGCUUCAGUAAAAGAUUUCCUUCUUUAUUUUAAAGUAAGCUCUCAGAUAAGGGAUAGGCAGUGAUUGUAGUCUUUAUCAAUAUUAAACAAUUAAAAAAAAUUAAGACUUUUUUCUAAAUUAGUUUGGAUAAAGAUUUUAAACUCUCAAGACAUCCACAAAAUUCUAAAACAUUUGAUCAAUCUGAUUUUCCUGCUUUCUCUCAUCUCUGCCACUUCCAAAUACACACAUAAUGGAGUGUUUCUGCAUUUUAUCAUUUUUUAGUAAACACUGGAAGGAAGGCAGUGUAGUACAGGCAAUGAGUGUACAGCAUGUUGGCUUUGAAGAGUUCGAGGGUCCUAUUCUGUCAUUUUCAUCACCAUUUGUCUAGCCAAGGUGUGAAUGCACACUAUCCCAACAUAGUGUGAAUGAUGGAGAGUUAUAGGAGAAGGAAAUUGUGUGAUAGGUUAAGCAAUGGGCAUAUCCCAUAGUAUAGAAAAGAAAAGUUUCUGAAAAAAUAUUAAUGACAAUUUGGAACAGAAUAUACACCAGCAAAGAAUCACACUCAAAAUUGUUAAGGCAGAUAGGCUCUUAGUGACAUCAGAGGAACAGGUAAGCAGGCUGACUAGUCAGGGAGGCAGAGAUGAGAGAAAAGCAAGUGUGAGCAGAUUCCUGGGCUCCCAUGCUUCUUUGCAUCCCUAUUUUACUCUCUCCAUCCAUGUCAAGGCCACCUCCCAUGAUUCAGAUUUCUUCCUUGCUUCUCCUACUUACAUAUUUGUCAGUUACUUGCCCCAUUCUCUUAGCAAUCACAUUCUUUGACACUAGUAAUUAGAUCAGUUAAUUUACUAAGCAACACCAGUGGUUGAAGCUAACUCACUGCCUCUUCCUGACAGAGUGCAUUUGUAACACACUCCACAUGUGCACACUCACAUUUCACCUAUGUAUGUACAGGACCACGGUGCAUUUGUCUGGAGCAGGCAGGCAGGCAGGCAGGAAGUGAAAUACUUUAGGAAAAAAGGUUUGCUCUUCUCCAGUGAAUGCCCAUCUUCUGCUAAUGGGUACUGAGAGGUAUUUGUCUCAUCCCAGUGAUUCAGCUGUGACUGGAGAGAAAGAGAUUGAUAAAGGAGGGAAGGAAAUGCCAUGGGGAAAUGCAGCAGAUAGGGCUCAAACUUUGGGGGCCAAGUAGAGUUUCUGCAGGUUUAUUGAUUUUCUUUUUGAAAUACUAUUUGAAAGGCUUCUCUCAAAGUUCAUGAGUGAGGACAUUUUUAAGCAAGACUGUGGCAAAGACAUGUUUAUGGUUGACACUGUGUCAUUUCCCAGUUUAUGGUACCCAUUUGGGGAAUAUGUUUAUACCCUUCUUAGUGCUGGCAUUUACCAAGCAAAGAUGCCACUUGGAAAGGGUGAUUUAUUUUUUGCACCAUUAUAUUUUGAAAGACUUUCAGGUUACAAGAACCCUUUGAAGUUAAAGCCCGUGAUGUUAAGAUUAAUAACAGUAAUUAUAGGGCUCUGUAAUAGUAGAAAAAUCUGUAGCUUGCCUUUGAGAUUGAAUAUGAAAGGUUCCAGGUCCAAGGGAGUAAUAAAAGCUUUUUCUUUCUGCAAGGACAGCCAGGAACAGGAAGAAGUUUCUUCCUGGAAAAUACACAGGGGUGUUGAAUGUUCAAGUUUUUCUGAAGAUAAGGUGAUCCUCUGUAACCUGGCCCCAGGGACUACUUUAGGUCAUAAUCACUUUUGUUUGAUCUUUUUUGUUUUGCUUUGUUUAUAAUGUCAAUGCUCACCUGGGAAAUUAGGAUUGUUUUGACCCUUUCUCCCUUGCUGCAUACUUCAAAGUGUGCUCUGAUUUAAAAUGUUCUUCCUGGUAGCUGUGGAGAAAAUUGUCCCCCUAAAAAACCCUUUAAGUUCUUGUGAUAAUGAGAAAUGGCCAAAUUAAAUACUAUUCUAAUGAUUUUCUCCCAUUCACUAAACUUUUUAGGAAGCCCUUUGAGAGGAAGGAGAGGAAAAAGUAUAUGAUAAAUGAGGUGGAAAAAUUAGUGGGAAGUAAGUGAUAAUGAAUGAACAAGGGGUGAAGGGGAAAAUAUAAGCAAAAAGGUGAAGAAUAGCUUGGAAAAAUAAAGAGGUGGAAAUUGUGUAAGAAAUAAAGAAAUGAAGAGAGAAAAAAAGCAAGACACAGACAGGAAGAAGAAGUGAAAGAGGAGGUGGGCAAUUCUUUUCUCUUUUUUUUCACAGUCUUCACACAAAAGAAGAACUGAAAUUCAAGCUCAAAUAUAGAAUCUGAGCAUUGCAUCACCCACAAUCUAUAACAGGAAAAGAUAUAUUUGGAAAUGUACAAACAGAAAGUUUGUGCUUGAUAGUAUUCCUCAGACUGCAUAAGAAAAACAAUAAUGCCAGGUCUCAAGUGUAGAAAGACAUGGGGAAGCCUGAACCUGGGAAGUCACACAGGGCACACAAUGACUUGGGAAUACUUUGUCCUCUCCUUAGGGGACUCUGGAAUCCCUCAUGGGCAUGUACCUCAUCUGGAGAACUUUUGUAUCUACAUACUCUUUCCCUUGUCCUUGUAAGUCUAUCUUUAAUCUUUCCAUUCUUUCUUUUUAUAAAAAAUUCUUCUCCGUUUUUUUCCUUCUUAAAAAAUCUAUGAUAGAUCGAAUUAUGUUUUCCAAUUCCUCACCCCUCUCCCCCCACCCCAUAUCCACACCCUUUUCCAUGUAAUGUUUAAAUUCUUCCCACUAGUUGCAAGAUGUGCCCACUUCUACCCAUUGACUUUGGGCUUGGUCAUGACGAGGAUGUCAACAGAUAUGAUGCAAGUGGUUUAGAAAUGCUUCUUGGGCCUACGCUCUUGUGCUUCUGCUGAUGCCAUGAGAGGAAUGUGUCUCAAUUAUUUUCCAAGGUCUCAAUAAAUGAAAAACAUUUAGACUAGAUAUAAAGAAGACAGGUAGAAUGGAGUGAAACCCAGAAGAAUUCAGCAACCAAGGUCAGCAAAAAUAUUCUAGUCAAACCACAGCUGCAUGAACAGAAAAUAAUUGCUCAUUAUUUCAGGUAGUAAAAUUUUGGGAAAGUUGUUGCAAUAUAGUAUUUUUUAAAAAUGCUGUUUUGACCCAGUUUUAAGAUUCUGGCUAUAGGCAAGUCAGUUCCCCUUCUUGAACAGUUAAUGAAGUCCACGUCCUACCCAUUUCCUUUAAUGGACUUUCACAUGCAUCCCCUCUAAUCACUGUGGGAUCAGGCACUUGAUAACUAGGACCAUCCCAGAGAUCACAGAAAUUAUUCCAAUUAGUCAAUCCACCAAAGCUUGAAAACCUAACUGUACAUUACUUGCCUUAGAUAAGUGGUUUCCCCAAAGCUCCAGCUUACAGUUCCCCUGUGCUCUUUUAUCUAUCCAAAUAUCUGUGUGCUGUGGCCCACCAUCAAACAGUUCUUUAAAUCUUAAAAAACAGUUGUUAUGAAAUAUUAUUGAAGCAAUAUAUGCCUGAAAUAGCCACUCACUUUAAAACACUUAGGAUAAAACCACACUUCUCAGCAUCAUUGGAUAGUAUAGCAAAUCACUAUGCCCUUUUCUGCCCUUGAUCUCACACACCUUUCCUAUCAUGUUGUUUGAUGUGUGAAGUGAUAACAAUGUUUGGUUGAAUUAAAUAAAAGGAAGUUUGAAAUAAUCAUAGAACUUUAUAGAUAUUGGGAGAGACAGAAAAGCAAUUUAAUUCCUUUCAACUAAUAACAUAAACCCAUUACUUCCCUUUCUUUCUUCUAACUGUUCUUUCUAUGGUAUUAGGUAAAGAAAGACCACAGAGUUUGAGAAUAUGACUUUAUUUCACCUAUUCUUUCAUAAGUUACAGUACUAUUGGCAUGACACUCAUUUUGAGUUCCUGUUUUCUAAUGAAGUAAUCAUGAAAAGUCUUUAUAAAAGCAAGGGAUAUACAAUUGAUAUUUAGAGAUGUGAAUUAAUAAGACAAUGCUUUUAAGAGUUUCAUCAAUUUCAAAAUAGUUCAUUAACUAUUUACAAUUAUGAUUAGUAUGUUAGUCAUAAAGUUGUAAAUGUGAGUGCUUCAUAAACUAGAGCUUCUAUCUUACAAUAAGAAAUUUCCAACUAAUUGAAGCACCCAUCUAGUAACAAAUGUCAAACAGCCUAAUAUGUUUGCCAUAAACCCAGGAAGAUCUGACAACUGAAGAGGUUUUUUGUCAGGAAAAAUUCUCCAUCCACUUGCUAUCUCAUAAUUUCAUAUGACCUUAUGUUGAGUCUCUGAAGAAAGACAAAAGUGAAAUAUGAAAUUUGGAAGAACUUGGAUGGAGUAUCUUGGUUGAAAUUUUGAUUUCCCCUAUCACUAUUUGAUGGCUCAGAAUUACAUCAUUCAUGCAUGUGAAGGCAUUCAGCUUAAAUUUUUCUUCCUUUCUUUCUUUCUUUCCUUCUUUCUUUCUUUCUUUUUUUAAGGUACACAUGUCUUCUAUGUAUUCAGAACUCAAAGAAAGAAUAGUCACAUACUUCAGUGGAAUAGUUUGGCAGGAAAGUAAAUGCAAUUUGUACUGAGAUAUUCUAUGCUUUGAAUUCUGGUUAUGCUAUUUGCUACUUUUACUACUGUAGGAAAUUCACAUAACUUCUUUGAAUAUAAUUUUUCUCAUUUAUAAAUUAGGAUAUUAAUUUCAACAUCAAGGAAUUAUUGAAGUUAGUAAGGGUCACAGAGAAAAAUAUUGAAUCCAUCUUCUGACACAUAGUAAGUGCUUAGAUCUUUAUAGUAUCUAAAAAGGCAAUGAUAAAGGAGAGCAACAAAUAGAGAAGAUGAAAUUAAAAAGAGAAGGAUUAGUGUUGUUACAUCAUCUCUCUGAUAACUCAACAAGAAUGGAAAAUUAUCUGUCUCUUAUUAAUUCUUUAACCACUUGAUUAUUCAACAUUUUUGAUACCAAUCAUGUCCUUGGCAGUGUGGAAGUCACUGAUGCAGUUACAAAGAUAUAUGACAUCUAUGAGGCCAUUAAUAACAUCUCCUUCCAGGAAGAGAUGAGGCACUAUUACACAUAACUAUAAGUCAAAAUUUCCCAACAAGCUCACCAUCAGAAAUCUAUUUACAUGAGACCCAGGGGUCUAUUUUCAAGUUAGUUUAAAUACAUGCACAGAGGACUCCUCAUUCACCCUUGAAAAUUCACAAAUUGAGGCUUCUCUGAGUGCUUCCUGUGCAAUUGGUAGGGAACAAGGAUCCAUUGUUCUAAGCGAAUUUUCCUCUUCGAUGACUUGUGAGACUACUGUUGCACACAACACCUUUUGCAAAAUGCUUCUAAAAUGAAGGUAGAAAGUGAUAAGCAACAUAAGGAAAGAUCAUUCAUAGGAUGUUGAUGUGGGAGAAAUUACAUCUUUUCCAGGGAAGAGACUGGAAGGAUUACGGACAAAAGAGCCACUUUAGAGUGAGACUUAAAACAUGAUUAGGGACUGCAGAAGUAGAAACUGCAUAGAGAAAUUACUAAAUUAAAAGGAGACAUGAAGUUUAUAAAAUCUACACAUAAAUGGAUUUAUGUGCCAAGUAAGGGUAAAAUGAAGUGAUUUCUGAAAUGAUCAACUCAAAAUGUUUUUAAUUCUGAAAAUCACGAGUUUAUUCCAUCAGCUCUGAAAAACUGCUGACGAUUUUGAGCAGGAAAGACCAUUGACCUGAAUUAUGUUUGGGAAGAUCAAUCCAGCAGUUGUAUAUAGAACAUAUUAGAAAAAGAGAAAAGUAGCAGGUAUACAACUUGCAAAGAAUCAUGAAUAAGUACAAUGAUCAUCCCUUCUUUUCCACCAACUGAGAUGCCAUUCAAAUUCCUCCUCCUGCUCUCCCAAGAAAGAGAAGGCCUUCAUUAUAGACCUGGAAGAAGGAUGGGCCUGAGUUUAUUUACCUGACCUUCAGAGGAAUUCAGUCUAGAAUUUACUAUAUGUCUCAUAGUGAAGACAUUGACUGUUAUAACUUUUCUCUCCAAAAAUUACUGGCAUAAUAAAAAAUAUUGAUAAAGUUUAUCAAGACAUAUAAAGGAUAUUUUCAUGUUAUUUUGAAACAAAUCACAUAUGCAAAUUAAGGAUAUUUAUGGAAUGAGAAGAACAUUAGCAAUAUGAAGUAUGCUUCUUAGUUUCUGGGAGAACCCAUUUCCUUUUGUAAAAUAAUGGUGACAAUUAUAUACACCUUCAUAAUUAUAGUUAUUUUCUAUUGAGUGCAUUUCAAGCAUUAGGACUUAUUCAUGGUGCCUAAUAUUUAUUAUUGCAUUCGAAUUUUAAAAUACCAAUGAGGCUAAAGUUUCACAUGAGGUUAAGCUGAGAUUGGGAUGUGUUACAAAAAAGCACUCUUGACACGGUCUCAGCAAACUAUAGAAUAAUUGCAGAAUAGGACUCAGUUGUUGCCUAGAAGAACAAAGCACUUAUUCUGAGCUUUUUAGUAUUAAAUAAUACUAGAUUCUCCAGUAAGGAAUUUACCCCACUGCUUAGGCUCAAAGUCUAAGAAAGUCUUCCUUUUCCUUUUAAAAAAUGUUUUUCUGAGCUAAUAUCUUGCAAGAAGCAUUAUUAUCUUUCAACACUGAAUCUGCCUGUUACACCAAUGUGACAUUUGUUUACCAACUUCAGUAUGCAUCCAUCAUGAAAAUAAGAUUGGAAUCAACCAAAGUGCCCAUUUACAGGAGAAUGGAUGAAAAAAAAUGGUCUAUACACACAUACACAAACACAAACACACACACAUACACACACAUACACACACAUACACAUUAUGGAAUAUAUUUAUAUUGAAGAAUAUGAUCCUGCCAUUUUAAAUAACGAAUGGAUAGUCAUUAUGUUUAGUAUAAUAAAGCAGAUACAGGAAGACAGAUACCACAUGUUCUCACUCAUUUGAGCAAACUAAAAAGUCAGUCAUUCAGAAGGUGGAGUGGAAAGGUGGACACAAAGAUUCGAAGGGCAGGGAAAGUAGAACAGGAAGAGGUUAGAUAAAUGGCACCAAACCAGUUGGACUGGUGGAAUUAGUUUUGAUUUUCUAUACCACACUAACGUAACUAUUGUCUAUAUAAAUCUAUGGAAUAGUUAAAAAAAACUAGAAAAGCAAUACAUUUAUCAACACAUGGAAAUGAUUAAUAUUUGAGGAGAUGAAAGUGCCUAGUACUCUAAUUUAAUCAUUACACAUUGUGCACAUAUAUCAAAUUUUAUAUCAUACUCCAUAAAUAUGUACAAAUAUUAUGUCUCAAUAAAAGUAAAUUUAAAAUACCAUAAGUUUUUUUUUAAAGUGGCUCUUUUGUCCGUAAUCCUUCCAGUCUCUUCCCUGGAAAAGAUGUAAUUUCUCCCACAUCAACAUCCUAUGAAUGAUCUUUCCUUAUGUUGCUUAUCACUUUCUACCUUCAUUUUAGAAGCAUUUUGCAAAAGGUGUUGUGUGCAACAGUAGUCUCACAAGUCAUCGAAGAGGAAAAUUCGCUUAGAACAAUGGAUCCUUGUUCCCUACCAAUUGCACAGGAAGCACUCAGAGAAGCCUCAAUUUGUGAAUUUUCAAGGGUGAAUGAGGAGUCCUCUGUGCAUGUAUUUAAACUAACUUGAAAAUAGACCCCUGGGUCUCAUGUAAAUAGAUUUCUGAUGGUGAGCUUGUUGGGAAAUUUUGACUUAUAGUUAUGUGUAAUAGUGCCUCAUCUCUUCCUGGAAGGAGAUGUUAUUAAUGGCCUCAUAGAUGUCAUAUAUCUUUGUAACUGCAUCAGUGACUUCCACACUGCCAAGGACAUGAUUGGUAUCAAAAAUGUUGAAUAAUCAAGUGGUUAAAGAAUUAAUAAGAGACAGAUAAUUUUCCAUUCUUGUUGAGUUAUCAGAGAGAUGAUGUAACAACACUAAUCCUUCUCUUUUUAAUUUCAUCUUCUCUAUUUGUUGCUCUCCUUUAUCAUUGCCUUUUUAGAUACUAUAAAGAUCUAAGCACUUACUAUGUGUCAGAAGAUGGAUUCAAUAUUUUUCUCUGUGACCCUUACUAACUUCAAUAAUUCCUUGAUGUUGAAAUUAAUAUCCUAAUUUAUAAAUGAGAAAAAUUAUAUUCAAAGAAGUUAUGUGAAUUUCCUACAGUAGUAAAAGUAGCAAAUAGCAUAACCAGAAUUCAAAGCAUAGAAUAUCUCAGUACAAAUUGCAUUUACUUUCCUGCCAAACUAUUCCACUGAAGUAUGUGACUAUUCUUUCUUUGAGUUCUGAAUACAUAGAAGACAUGUGUACCUUAAAAAAAGAAAGAAAGAAAGAAGGAAAGAAAGAAAGAAAGGAAGAAAAAUUUAAGCUGAAUGCCUUCACAUGCAUGAAUGAUGUAAUUCUGAGCCAUCAAAUAGUGAUAGGGGAAAUCAAAAUUUCAACCAAGAUACUCCAUCCAAGUUCUUCCAAAUUUCAUAUUUCACUUUUGUCUUUCUUCAGAGACUCAACAUAAGGUCAUAUGAAAUUAUGAGAUAGCAAGUGGAUGGAGAAUUUUUCCUGACAAAAAACCUCUUCAGUUGUCAGAUCUUCCUGGGUUUAUGGCAAACAUAUUAGGCUGUUUGACAUUUGUUACUAGAUGGGUGCUUCAAUUAGUUGGAAAUUUCUUAUUGUAAGAUAGAAGCUCUAGUUUAUGAAGCACUCACAUUUACAACUUUAUGACUAACAUACUAAUCAUAAUUGUAAAUAGUUAAUGAACUAUUUUGAAAUUGAUGAAACUCUUAAAAGCAUUGUCUUAUUAAUUCACAUCUCUAAAUAUCAAUUGUAUAUCCCUUGCUUUUAUAAAGACUUUUCAUGAUUACUUCAUUAGAAAACAGGAACUCAAAAUGAGUGUCAUGCCAAUAGUACUGUAACUUAUGAAAGAAUAGGUGAAAUAAAGUCAUAUUCUCAAACUCUGUGGUCUUUCUUUACCUAAUACCAUAGAAAGAACAGUUAGAAGAAAGAAAGGGAAGUAAUGGGUUUAUGUUAUUAGUUGAAAGGAAUUAAAUUGCUUUUCUGUCUCUCCCAAUAUCUAUAAAGUUCUAUGAUUAUUUCAAACUUCCUUUUAUUUAAUUCAACCAAACAUUGUUAUCACUUCACACAUCAAACAACAUGAUAGGAAAGGUGUGUGAGAUCAAGGGCAGAAAAGGGCAUAGUGAUUUGCUAUACUAUCCAAUGAUGCUGAGAAGUGUGGUUUUAUCCUAAGUGUUUUAAAGUGAGUGGCUAUUUCAGGCAUAUAUUGCUUCAAUAAUAUUUCAUAACAACUGUUUUUUAAGAUUUAAAGAACUGUUUGAUGGUGGGCCACAGCACACAGAUAUUUGGAUAGAUAAAAGAGCACAGGGGAACUGUAAGCUGGAGCUUUGGGGAAACCACUUAUCUAAGGCAAGUAAUGUACAGUUAGGUUUUCAAGCUUUGGUGGAUUGACUAAUUGGAAUAAUUUCUGUGAGCUCUGGGAUGGUCCUAGUUAUCAAGUGCCUGAUCCCACAGUGAUUAGAGGGGAUGCAUGUGAAAGUCCAUUAAAGGAAAUGGGUAGGACGUGGACUUCAUUAACUGUUCAAGAAGGGGAACUGACUUGCCUAUAGCCAGAAUCUUAAAACUGGGUCAAAACAGCAUUUUUAAAAAAUACUAUAUUGCAACAACUUUCCCAAAAUUUUACUACCUGAAAUAAUGAGCAAUUAUUUUCUGUUCAUGCAGCUGUGGUUUGACUAGAAUAUUUUUGCUGACCUUGGUUGCUGAAUUCUUCUGGGUUUCACUCCAUUCUACCUGUCUUCUUUAUAUCUAGUCUAAAUGUUUUUCAUUUAUUGAGACCUUGGAAAAUAAUUGAGACACAUUCCUCUCAUGGCAUCAGCAGAAGCACAAGAGCGUAGGCCCAAGAAGCAUUUCUAAACCACUUGCAUCAUAUCUGUUGACAUCCUCGUCAUGACCAAGCCCAAAGUCAAUGGGUAGAAGUGGGCACAUCUUGCAACUAGUGGGAAGAAUUUAAACAUUACAUGGAAAAGGGUGUGGAUAUGGGGUGGGGGGAGAGGGGUGAGGAAUUGGAAAACAUAAUUCGAUCUAUCAUAGAUUUUUUAAGAAGGAAAAAAACGGAGAAGAAUUUUUUAUAAAAAGAAAGAAUGGAAAGAUUAAAGAUAGACUUACAAGGACAAGGGAAAGAGUAUGUAGAUACAAAAGUUCUCCAGAUGAGGUACAUGCCCAUGAGGGAUUCCAGAGUCCCCUAAGGAGAGGACAAAGUAUUCCCAAGUCAUUGUGUGCCCUGUGUGACUUCCCAGGUUCAGGCUUCCCCAUGUCUUUCUACACUUGAGACCUGGCAUUAUUGUUUUUCUUAUGCAGUCUGAGGAAUACUAUCAAGCACAAACUUUCUGUUUGUACAUUUCCAAAUAUAUCUUUUCCUGUUAUAGAUUGUGGGUGAUGCAAUGCUCAGAUUCUAUAUUUGAGCUUGAAUUUCAGUUCUUCUUUUGUGUGAAGACUGUGAAAAAAAAGAGAAAAGAAUUGCCCACCUCCUCUUUCACUUCUUCUUCCUGUCUGUGUCUUGCUUUUUUUCUCUCUUCAUUUCUUUAUUUCUUACACAAUUUCCACCUCUUUAUUUUUCCAAGCUAUUCUUCACCUUUUUGCUUAUAUUUUCCCCUUCACCCCUUGUUCAUUCAUUAUCACUUACUUCCCACUAAUUUUUCCACCUCAUUUAUCAUAUACUUUUUCCUCUCCUUCCUCUCAAAGGGCUUCCUAAAAAGUUUAGUGAAUGGGAGAAAAUCAUUAGAAUAGUAUUUAAUUUGGNNNNNNNNNNNNNNNNNNNNNNNNNNNNNNNNNNNNNNNNNNNNNNNNNNNNNNNNNNNNNNNNNNNNNNNNNNNNNNNNNNNNNNNNNNNNNNNNNNNNNNNNNNNNNNNNNNNNNNNNNNNNNNNNNNNNNNNNNNNNNNNNNNNNNNNNNNNNNNNNNNNNNNNNNNNNNNNNNNNNNNNNNNNNNNNNNNNNNNNNNNNNNNNNNNNNNNNNNNNNNNNNNNNNNNNNNNNNNNNNNNNNNNNNNNNNNNNNNNNNNNNNNNNNNNNNNNNNNNNNNNNNNNNNNNNNNNNNNNNNNNNNNNNNNNNNNNNNNNNNNNNNNNNNNNNNNNNNNNNNNNNNNNNNNNNNNNNNNNNNNNNNNNNNNNNNNNNNNNNNNNNNNNNNNNNNNNNNNNNNNNNNNNNNNNNNNNNNNNNNNNNNNNNNNNNNNNNNNNNNNNNNNNNNNNNNNNNNNNNNNNNNNNNNNNNNNNNNNNNNNNNNNNNNNNNNNNNNNNNNNNNNNNNNNNNNNNNNNNNNNNNNNNNNNNNNNNNNNNNNNNNNNNNNNNNNNNNNNNNNNNNNNNNNNNNNNNNNNNNNNNNNNNNNNNNNNNNNNNNNNNNNNNNNNNNNNNNNNNNNNNNNNNNNNNNNNNNNNNNNNNNNNNNNNNNNNNNNNNNNNNNNNNNNNNNNNNNNNNNNNNNNNNNNNNNNNNNNNNNNNNNNNNNNNNNNNNNNNNNNNNNNNNNNNNNNNNNNNNNNNNNNNNNNNNNNNNNNNNNNNNNNNNNNNNNNNNNNNNNNNNNNNNNNNNNNNNNNNNNNNNNNNNNNNNNNNNNNNNNNNNNNNNNNNNNNNNNNNNNNNNNNNNNNNNNNNNNNNNNNNNNNNNNNNNNNNNNNNNNNNNNNNNNNNNNNNNNNNNNNNNNNNNNNNNNNNNNNNNNNNNNGGGUGGACCAAUGGUACAGAAUAGAGGACACAGAGACUAAUCCACAAAGCUACAACUAUCUUAUAUUUGAUAAAGGAGCUAAAAGCAUGCAAUGGAGGAAGGAUAGCAUCUUCAACAAAUGGUGCUGGGAAAACUGGAAAUCCAUAUGCAACAAAAUGAAACUGAAUCCCCUCCUCUCGCCAUGCACAAAAGUUAACUCAAAGUGGAUCAAGGAGCUAGAUAUCAAAUCAGAGACUCUGCGUCUGAUAGAAGAAAAAGUUGGCUCCGAUCUACAUAUUGUGGGGUCGGGCUCCAAAUUCCUUAAUAGGACACCCAUAGCACAAAAGUUAAUAACAAGAAUCAACAAAUGGGACUUACUUAAACUGAAAAGUUUUUUCUCAGCAAGAGAAACAAUAAGAGAGGUAAAUAGGGAGCCUACAUCAUGGGAACAAAUUUUUACUCCUCACACUUCAGAUAGAGCCCUAAUAUCCAGAGUAUACAAAGAACUCAAAAAAUUAAACAAUAAGAAAACAAAUAACCCAAUCAACAAAUGGGCCAAGGACCUGAACAGACACUUCUCAGAGGAGGACAUACAAUCAAUCAACAAGUACAUGAAAAAAUGCUCACCAUCUCUAGCAGUCAGAGAAAUGCAAAUCAAAACCACCCUAAGAUACCAUCUCACUCCAGUAAGAUUGGCAGCCAUUAUGAAGUCAAACAACAACAAGUGCUGGAGAGGAUGUGGGGAAAAGGGUACUCUUGUACAUUGCUGGUGGGACUGCAAACUGGGGCAGCCAAUUUGGAAAGCAGUAUGGAGAUUCCUGGGAAAGCUGGGAAUGGAACCUCCAUUUGACCCAGCUAUUGCCCUUCUCGGACUAUUCCCUGAAGACCUUAAAAGAGCAGGGAUACUGCUACAUCGAUGUUCAUAGCAGCACAAUUCACAAUUUCUAGACUGUGGAACCAACCCAGAUGCCCUUCAAUAGAUGAAUGGAUAAAAAAAAAUGUGGCAUUUAUACACAAUGGAGUAUUAUACAGCACUAAAAAAUGACAAAAUCAUGGAAUUUGCAGGGAAAUGGAUGGCACUAGAGCAGAUUAUGCUUAGUGAAGCUAGCCAAUCCCUAAAAAACAAAUACCAAAGGUCUUCUUUGAUAUAAUGAGAGCAACUAAGAACAAAGCAGGGAGGAAGAGCACGAAGAAAAGAUUAACAUUAAACAGAUACAUGAGGUGGGAGGGAAAGGGAGAGAAAAGGGAAAUUGCAUGGUAAUGGAGGGAGACCCACAUGGUUAUACAACAUUACAUAUAAGAGGUUGUGAGGGGAAGGGGAAAAUAAACAAGGAGAGAAAUGAAUUACAGUAGAUGGGGUAGAGAGAGAAGAUGGGAGGGGAGGGGAGGGGAAAUAAUACAGGAUAGGAAAGGUAGCAGAAUACAACAGUUACUAAUAGGGCAUUAUGUAAAAAUGUGGAUGUGUAACCGAUGUGAUUCUGCAAUCUGUAUUUGGGGUAAAAUUGGGAGUUCAAAACCCACUUGAAUCAAAUGUAUGAAAUAUGAUAUGUCAAGAGCUUUGUAAUGUUUUGAACAACCAAUAAAAAAAAAAAACUUAAAAAAAAAUCAGAACACUUAAGUUAGAGAUGGCCUGAAUUUAGGCAAGAGUUGGGACAUGCAUUUAUACUCAUGCAUAGGUAGUGACUGUUCAGAGAUGAAGCAAGACAUCUUCCUUUGGUCAUGAAAAAUUACUGAGGAGGAUUCAGCUUUGAGAAGCCUAUAGGAAAUGCUUAGGAAACUGGAAAGUCAGUCUUGGGUACUGAAGAUAUAUCUGGGUAGCCUACCAGAAUAUCCAAUUUUAGCACUCACUAACGGUUUAACUGCACAUGAACCUCCAGUUCAGAUAUUUUUUUUCUAGGAUAAUUGGAUCUAUUGUUAAUUAGAGGUUUAAUUUUAUUUUCUCUUUUUUUUUUCUUUUUUCUUCUCCCUUUCCCUCUCUGUUCCUUUUUUUAAAAAAAAUAACUUUUUGUUUUUAUUUUCUUCUAUUUGUCUGCCCCUUGGAAUAUCUUCAUUUUUUCCUUUUAUCAGCUUUGUUUUCUUCAUUUACUUUUAGUUAUUUUUAUUAAUUUUUACUGCUGGCUUUCCUCAUAUCAAGACCUCCUCCAUUCACUAUAUUUAAUAAUGUAGGUUUCCUCUGUCAUUAUUUAAGUGGCUCUUUUUAUUUAUUUAUUUUUUUAUUUAUUUAAGUGGCUCUUUUUAAUGGUGAGUUUCUCUUUGUCACAUGAAAACUGGCUAUAGACCAUGUCUACUUGAACAGAACAUGUUAAAAUGGCACAUUUUAUCUAAAGAGGAGUUGAACAAUAGGAAUAUAACUCAAGCCACACGUUCAAGUUAAAAUUUUCUGAUAGCCACAUUAUAUUUCCAUAUAUAAACAUAUAUGCACAUAGGUAUAGACAUAUAUCUGUAUAUAUGAAUACAUGUAUAUGUAAAAUUGCAUUUCAUAAUGUAAUCAAUUUACUAAACUGUUAAUGAGAUGUUUUAUAUUAUCAUUUUCAUUUUAAAUUUUCAAAAUCAAAUGUAUAUUUCACAUUAGCAGGAUAUCUCAAUUCAUAUUACUCAACAGAAACUCAAUAGCUACAUGUUAUUAAGGGCCACUAUAUUUAACAGAAUAGAUCUGAUGCCAGGAUGCAGGCCUGUCAAAACACCAAAUGAUGUUGCUUUAGUCUUGGGUACCAGAAGGUUUAGCUCUAUUUGGAUAAUUUUAAAUUUGUUUAGAAAAUAUUUGGCAGACUUUUACUGUUGGGAUGCCUGCUUGUUUAUAAGUGGGAACCACUAAAGCUAUUUCUCAUGUAGACUUUUAAUUCAUCAUCUCAUUUCAGGUUCAUAUCUCCUUGCUUCAUUCUGUACCUGCUGAUUCAAUCAUCUUGAAGCAUGGAUGUUAACAUCCUUUCUUAGGAUUAUUAUAUUAUUACAUUUCUAACUUUUUUACUUUAAACCUUAUCCUUUCCAGAACCAAUAAUAAAGACUGGGCAAACAUCACUGUUUGAAAUCAUAAAUCUGGUAAUUUAUCACCCUGAUUAAAAUGUUCACAAAUAUUUGUAUUGGCCAUAUAAUAGAUUACAAAUGCUGUCUGUGACUUACAUUGGUCACCAUCCAACAGAGACAUAAAAAGUGAAAGGAUGGUGGAAUGAGAUGGACAUUAUUACCCUGUAUACAUGUAUGAUUUCCCUACCAGUGUAACUCUGCACCAUGUACAGCCAAAGGAAUGAGAAAUUGUGCUCCAUUUGUGUACAAUGGGUAAAAAUGCAUUCUACUCCCAUGUACCACUAAUUUAAACAAAUAAAAAAAAAAAGAAAUGCAAAGAAAAGCCACAAAUUAUAAAUCGAGCAAUAACAGAGGAUUUAAAGUAAUUAUAACAGUUAUGAAAAUUAAAAUUCCAUUGGUGGAAAUAAUAAUGAUGAUGAAAAGAACUUGUUAAAUAUCUUAUAUACCAAUAGAUAUCUUUUCUAUCACUGUUUUGUUCUUGAAUAUAUAGCUAUUACAUUUUAUAGAUUAAAUCAUCUGAGAAACAGAUAUACUAAAUAACUUUCCUGAAGUCAGAGAAUCAGAAAGCAGAUAAGAAUUCUGGUAUAUUUAAUCUUCUCUCACAUGUUCCUAAUUCAAUAGCACGUUAGUCGGCUUUCCAUUAUUACACCAAAAUAACUUAAAAAGAGCAGUGAUUUAUUUUGGUUAAAAAUUUUGGUUUUAGUCCACGUUCAAUUGGUCUCAUUGCUUUUGGACUACAGUAGGGGCAGCACAUCAUGGAAAGCAUGAAUGAUGGAAGACACUGCUCACCUCAUGGUGGCUGGAAAACAGAGAUAGGAAGGGACAGAAGUCAUAUCCCAUCAGAGGCACUGCCAGCAAUGACUGAAUUUCCUCCCAUUAGGACCACUUCCUAAAGUUUCUAGCAUCUCCACCAUGAGCAAGACCAAACUUUAACACAUGGGUUUUUGGGAGACACUUUUUCAAGCCAUAGAAAAUGUUUUGACACCAAAUACUGCCACAGGCUUCAUGAAAACAAGAUGUUUUUAUUGUGAUUGGAAAUAUAUAUAUAUAUAUAUAUAUAUAUAUAUAUAUAUAUAUAUAUAUAUAUAUAUAUAUAUUUUAAGUUUUUUCGUGUUUUGGAAUUUGACAAUUUGACAUGUUCAAUUUCCUACCCAUUUCAUUUGAAGGACUCAUAUAAUCUAAUUUAGAAUUAAAUGGUUAUAAGAAGAUUAUCAAGCAUAUAAUCAUAACAGUGGUGCUAGCUCUCCCAGAUUCUUCUUCUAUUUAGUUUAGUCCUCAGCAAAAUAACAACAAAUAUAUAUGUGGGUGAAUCCAUGGUUUCAUUAAUCUGUUCAACUAAUGCUAUGCAGCAUCUACUAUAACCCCACAAGAACAAUAUGCAGAUUUAUUAAUUGAUCCUUGUUAUUUCAGAUCUCCAGGUUAAUAAGAGAGAGAACAUGUUAAAAGGUAAUUACAGCACAAUGUGACACAAAGGAACUAUACAAUUUUAACUGAUGAAAGUAGUUAGAGUUAUUAAAAAGAUGUGGAAAAGACAUUGUUGAGAUAUGAACAAGAUAUGACAUCGUUGAGCUGAAUAGUAAAUAAUACAUAUGUUCCAGCCAUAUAUGAUGGAAAAAGUAUUCCAGAGAUAGUAAACAACAUGCACAAAGAAUGAUUGCAUCAAGCAGCCUGGUGUUAGUUAAUUAAACUGAUGCAACACACAGACAAUAUAAAGAGAGAGGACUUAUGUUAACAUUCAUUCUUUUUGCUUUUAUUUAAUUCAUAUUAAUGUAUAAUUCACAUACCACAAAAUUAAAGACUUAAAAGUGAAAAAAUCAGAGGCAAUUAGUGUAUCACCUCUAUCUGACUCUAAAACAUGUCAAUCAUGAUAAAAUAAAACCCUGUAUUCUCUAAGCCAUUACUUCUCAUUUCUUACUCUGCCUAGUCCCCAAAAACUACCCCUCUGCUUUCUACUUCUACGGAUUUACCUAUCUGGACAUGUCAUAAAAAUAAAAUCAUACAAUUUAUGACAUUUUGAUGUAUAGCUUCUUUUACUUAGCAUGAUGAUUUUGAGGUUAGUUCACAUUAUAACAUAUAUCUGUAUUUUCUUUCUUUUUAUGGCUUAGUAAUAUCUAUUGUACACACAUACUACGAUUUUUCUAUUGAUGGUCAUCAAUGUGUACAACUUAUUCAAGUAUUAGUUCUCAUACCAGUCUUCAAGUACUUUGAUUGUAUACCUAGAAGUGAAAUUUUGGGGUCAUUCUGUUUUACCUUCUGAGGAAUCACUAACCAUUUUCUACAGUGACUGAAACAUUUUCAGUUACCAGUUGGGAUUCUCUUUGCUCAUACAUAGUAGAACACUUUAACAAAAAUGUUUAAAUAGAGAAAUUUAUUGUUCCUUCAUAAAAAUAUAGAGGCAGGUUGGGGAUUAUAUGACAUUCUGCUUUGUUUAGCAAGCCAGUCUUAUUAUUUUCAGAUGUAAACAGACUAUUUUCCACAGCUGCCUAUAUCUGUAAAUUAAAUUUUACUGAUGUCCAGCUAUUCCCAUUCAUUUAUAUACUCUCUAUUGUGGUUUAGGCAUUAUAUGGCAGAGUUGAGCAGAUGACACAGACACUUUAGCCUGCAAAACCAAAAUACUUAUUCUUGGCCUUGUUACAGAAAAAGUUUGCUAAAUUCUUUCUUUCUCUCUUGGCCUGUCAUCUUGGGCUUCCUACUAAUGGGCCUAGAUGGCUUUUUAACCUCUAGUCAUCAUGUUCUCCAUCCAACCAUCAGGAAUAAGGAAGAACAGAGAGAGGGCACUUUGCUUUCUUUAAAAUACUUCUCCAAGGAAUCUCAAUUACUUUUGAUCCUGCUAUUAUUUCCACAUCCAUGACUAGCUGUAAGAGCAUAUUGGAAAUUUAGGUGGGUAGGAGCCCUUCUAAAAACUGGAUUCUCUUCAGAAGGGAAAAGGAGAAAAGGCAUGUUCUGAAAGACUAGAUAGCUCUAGCACAGAGUCAGUAUCUUAGUAGAAAAGACCAUUAGCCUAGAUAUAGCCCUGAGCCUCAAUCUUUUGCUUUUUAUUAAAUUUAUUUAUUUAUUUAUUCUAAUUAGGUGUAUAUGACAUCUGAAUACAUUUUGAUUCAUUAUAUACAAAUGCAGCAAAAUUUUUUAUUUCUCUGGCCGUACAUGAUGUAGCGUCCUACCAUAUGUGCAGUCAUACAUGUACCUAGGUUAAUGAUGUCCAUCGCAUUCCACUUUCUUUCUUGCCCCCAUACCUCCUCCCUCCCCUUUGCCCAAAGUUUCUUCAUUCUUCCCAUGCCCAGCCCCAUUAGGGCCAGGGAUAUAGCUCAGAGAUUGCCUCGCAUGCAUGAGGCUCUGGGUCCCAUCCCCAACACCACACACACACACACACACACACACACACACACACACACACAGAGAUCAACCAUAGCAAUAGUUAAAAAUACAAAUAACAUUUCUCACUUCUAAUCCUUGACAAUCAAAACCCCUAGACAUGGCUCAGGAAAAUGAGUCUCAGUCUUCCUGAGAACUGUAGAAUCUGGAUAGGCAGAACUCUUCAGGACCAGGCAAAGACUAUAAGAACCAAUUAGAGUUCUUCUUUCUCACUUCAAAUAUCUCACAGCAAUUAGAAAUAUGUAGAUCAGUAAAAAAUCUCUAUCUUCCUUUAUAAACAGAGUGAUUUCUAAGUUCACUAGGUCUCAUUUUCUGCUUAAUUUAAAAGACUGAUUAAAGUUUUACCUCUCAUAAUUGAGAUCAAUGUAGCAUAAUCUCUUGUUCUAAUUGGAUUUCCAAGGGUUUGCAUUUGGAAAGGAAUUGAAAUUCAGGCAAGUUAUCAAUGGCACACUUUUCAGAUUGUGACAACCAAUAGAUACUAUUUUUCUGAAUGGGAAACACUUUAAAUGUUGUUUCUACAUGAGUUUUAGCCAAAAUAGCCAUAGAAGAAAUAAGAAUGAGAAAAUUAAACAUAUGUUUUAAUUUGGGACUAGACACAGGAGUGUCAGAGUAGAAUGUAUGUAUACUUGCAUAAGGCACUAAAUAAAUUUAAGAGAAAAUGUGUAGUAUUUCUUUCACUUAUUUUUUUUAAUUUGCCUACAAAAAGUGAAAUAAAUAUGAGAUUGUUUUUCUGUGAAUUUUCAAAAAUCUGAGUAUAAAAUAAUGGGAUAAAUUAAUUAAGCAUGCAUUUUAUAUUUACAAAGUCCAUCACUAGGUUACAAAAAAAGAGUAAAGAAUAUUAUAUUUCAAAUAAAUAGGCCCAGAAGCUUAUUGAUUUAUUCACAUCAAUGUCAUUCUGUUUCCAAACUGUGCUCAUAUUUGAGCAGAACAAAUGGGAACUUUUUAUAAGAUUGCAAAACUCCAAUGUUUAGUUUUCUUUGCUUUUUAGGCUUUUUAUUUUUUAAUUUUUUUCUGAUACCAGGGAUUGAACCCAGGGUCACUUAACUACUGAGUCAUAUACCCAGCCCCUUUUUGUAUUUUCAUUUAGAGACAGGGUCUCACUAAGUUGCUGAGGGCCUCAUUAAGUUACUAAGGCUGGCUUUGAACUUGCUAUCUUCCUGCCUCAGCUUCCCAAACUGCUGGAAUUACAGGCUUGUACCACUACACCUGGCUGCUUUUCAAUUUUUAAUCUGUUUGAUGUAACUAUCACUCUGGUUGUAUAGUUCUUUGUUUUGAAAGAUGCAUGGAUCAUAUGACUUCUGCUACAAUCAAGACACAGAACUCUUCCAUCACCCCCAAAAUGAUCUUGUUAUGUCACUUUGAAUUCAUUCCUUGUAGUUUCCAGGGUAGGUAGCCUGUGAGUUUUUCUUAUUAAAUUUAGCAUAAUUCAUUUAAGAUUCACCCAUAUUAACACACAUAAUAAUAAUCUUUUUCUUUUUACUGCUGAGUAGUAUUUACUCAUAUGGAUAAAAAUUCAUUUGUAUAUCCAUCCCCAAUUGAAGGGCUUUUCAGUUGUUUUCACUUUUAUCAGUUAUGUAUAAAGACUGUCUACACAUGUACAGAUUUUCACUUGGACAUACAUUUUUAUUUCUUUGGGAUCAGUAGUUAAAAUAUAUUGUUGGAUCAUUAGGGUAAAAAUAUUAUUAAUUUGAUAGUAAAUUGCCAAACAGCUAGAGUGCCAUUUGCUUUUGUACUAGCAAUUUAUGAAUGUCCCAGUUACUUCACUUCCUCCCCAGUUCUUGGUAAUGUCAGGAUUUAGAUUCUCCUUUCCUGCUCUCCCCUAACUUCCUUUCCUCUGUCUUCUCUUCCACUCUCAGGUUUCACUAUUGUAAAUCCUUUUAAUUGGCUCUGGCACGCCUUUGAAAUACAUGUAUCAAGAUGCUUUCUAAAUAACUUCCUUACUUUCUGGCACUUUAAUAUGUUUCAGCCUUAUUUUAUAUACUUCCUGUCCCAAUUCUAGAUUCUUGCCCAUUUUUAAUUGGUCUUUUUAUUUUCCUGUUUUUGAGUUUUAACAGUGCUUUUUUUUUCUUUGAUAAUGUCUUUAACAGAGAAAGAAUUUUAAUUUUGAUGUAUCCUUUGCUCAUGGGUCAUGCCAUCGGUAUUCUAAGAACUCCUUGCUCACUCAAUAUCAAAAAUAUUUUCUAAUUUUUUUUUUUUUUGCAAAAACAUUAGGAUAGUAAUUCUACAUACUUAGGUAUAUGAUUUACCAAGAUAUUUUUAAAUUUCUAUAUUGUAAGGUGUAGAUCAACAUUUGUUUUGUAUACAUGAAUAUUCAAUCAUUCCAGCAUCAUUUCCUUAGUAGAUUUUUCCCCAUUGAAUCAUAUUUAUUUAUAACCUUUUCAAAAAUUAGCCAUAUGUGUUUGAGUCUAUUUCAAAGUUCUCUAUUUUGUACCAUUGAUCAGUGUGUUUUAUUUUUCAUCUUUAUCACUACACUGUCUUAAAUACUGCAGUAAGUAUUGAAGGUAUUUGUGUGAGUGUUCUAGGUUUUAUUUCUUUUUUAAAUUCAAAAUGUAUUGGCUACUCUAAUUUCUUGUCUUUAUUUGUAAAUCUUACAAUCAGUUUUUCAAUAUCAUUAAAUAUCCUUCUAGGAUUAUGAUUUGGAAUAUGUUUAAUUUAUAGAUAAUUCCAUGGAAUUUGACAUUUUUUUACAAAAUUUUCUUCCCAUCCAUGAAACUAGUAUAUAUUUUUCUCAAACUUAUUUGUUUAUUUCCAUUUCUUUUACUUUUUAACCUGAAGGCUCGUUGCUUGGAAUCAGUCCAGCACUAGCUUUCAUUCUUAUUAGUACUGUAGAAUUAGGUGCUAGAAUAGCCCCUUGAUAAUCCUCAUUGCUGAUAUUGUCCAUGUAGUAAUUAUCUGCUUUUUUAAUUUUAUGAACAUAUUUUUGCAUUCCAUGUCUCCUAAGUGUUACAUACUAUUUUUGGAAGUUUUUUUUUUUUUUGCCUUCUCGGUCAAUGUUUAAUAGGGAGACUUGUCCAAAAACUUCCUUUAAGAAGUCUACAGGUAUUGGACGUAUUUAUUUUUUUCAGUAUUUCAUAGGCAAAAUCUAUAUGUCACAAAUAAUGAACACUGAAUAAAAGCUUGAGGACUAGAUGUGUCUCUAAGGUUCAGUAUUUUAUCAUUGAUAUGUAUGGCUCAUUUACAGGUAUACUCCUCCAACUGCUUUUCAUGGGUUGUAGGUUUUUAUGAUGAUGAUAGAGGGUGGUGAAGAAUAAUAAAACAGGGAAGUAUUUUACAAUGUCAUUGGAGUCUAAACUUUUGGCAAAAAGAAAUUAACUCACUUGAGUUAGAUAUCAGACAUGCAUUGCUUUCAAAGCCAGUUAUUGUAGGGCUGGGAGUCUUAUAAACAUUAUUAUACCAUCUGAGAUUUUUGUACAAAGAUAUCUUUUAUAUGUUAUCUUAAAACCUCAGUGAGGUAAGCUAUAAAUGAAGGGGGACAAGUAGUUGUAAUGAUAGCUACUAGUAAAGCCCAGAAUCUUCUGACAUCAAAGAAAUCAAUUUCUAACACAAUUCUGUGUGAGUGAGGAUAUGAAUCGUGGAUAUGUUAAUGUUCUUUCCCAUAGUCACACAAAAAACAUAAAGCUAGAUCUUAUCUUUCCAUCUUCUUUCACCAUAAUAAAAUAUUUCUUGUAUUUUUAUUUAAAAAAUAAAUAGUCUUGAAGAUUCAAGAUCCACAAUGAUCAUGAAAGACAUAUAGAACAAACUAGACAUCUACUCAUUUAUGUAGCAGUGUCUCACACAGUUCUAAUAUUUAACUGAACUUCUGGUAUGUAUCAGGCACAGUUUGGGGCCCUGGAAGAGCUAAUGAGCAGACAGAAUUUCCUGCUGUUAUAUGGCAUGAAAUCUGAUUAGAAAAACUGAGCACAAAUGCAGUAAUUAAUUAAGCAUCUACUGUAUCAGAUAAAGAUAAAUGCUAUGGAAAUAGAGAAGGAAAAUGUGGAGGGGAGAUAGUAAGUUUUAGAGAUUAUAUUUUUAGAAUUAGGUGGCCAAUAGAAGGUUUUGCUAAGAAGGUGAUAUUUGAAUAAAUUACUGAGAAGAUAAAGGAGUAAGCAGUUUGGAAGUGUAGAGAAAAGAAUUUGUAGACUGAGGGAGAAGCCAGCAGACAUGUGUGUGGUCCCCAUAUACCUAUGUUGUUGAAGGACUAACAAGAAGGUUCUUUGUGCUCAAAUAAAGGGAGUGAGAAUGAGCACAGUGAGGAAGAGUUGGAGGAAGUGUCAUAGGUGAAUAGGGGGUGGUGAACUCAUUUAUAUGACUUUUUUUGGGCAUUGUAAGGAGUUUGUGUUUCUCUGCGAAUUAAUAGAGAAGAUAGAUCUGAGCAAAAAGCAGACUCGGUUCUUAAAUUGAUUCUUAAAUUUUUGGCUAAAAGUCAAGUGGGGGAAAGAAACUUUGAUCAAAUAAUCGUGAAAAUGAAUAUAAAAGCAAAAGUGAUAGAGGCUAAAAUGAUAACCACUCAAGUGGAUCAGGGUUAAUUAUCAAAUAAAAACUGAUAUUUGAUCUUGGAUAUGAGAGAUCAGUAGAUGUUGACUUGCUAAACAAUAUAAUGUUAAUAGUGAUGUUUUAUUGAGUGUUGCCUUCUAAGCAGCUGUGUUUUCAGCACUUACCACUGAUGAGCUCAUUUUAUCUUCACAGUAAUGCAAUAAGUGACACAUGGUUUUUAUAUUUUGUAGGUGAGGAAGCUGAGGAACACAGAGAUCAAGUAAUUUGCUCAUUUACUAUUUAGUAAACAAGAAAAAAAGGGAUAGGAAACCAAGAAAACCUAUCACAGCAAUGCUACUGAUCUUACAUGGAAAAAAAAAAAAAACAACAAAACCCUCCUGGAUCUUGACCUAUGAAAUUCCCUUACCACUCUUGUCUAUUGGCUCUAGCUGUCAUAUUUCAAUGCUUGCCUCUAAUUCACUCUGUAUCCUUUUCUCACCUUUCCCGCCAUUGUAGAUGAUUUUUAUGAAAUUCUGAAGAAAGGAUGAUCAUUCAGUGACCUCUAUUUGGUAAAUAAUUGCUCAUUAUUAUGUGGCAUCUUUUCCAAUUGAGAAGAGUUUUCAAUAAAUUGUUUAUGUAAUUUCAUGUUUUUUGAACUUUAAUUUUGGAAAUUGAUUAUAAGUCCAUAGAGGUUUGAGCAAAGUAAAAUGCAAAUGAGAUGAUUGCUUAUUUAUGCCUCAUAUAUUAUUGGGCACAAAGUCCUGCAAUAAUAUACACCAGACAUAGAACAAAACAGAAAGGGAUCCAGGAGUAAGAAGAAAUCUCUCAAAAAUCACUAGUGAUUUACACUUUUUUUACAAAUCUAUUGACUGUUAAGCCUAGGUUAAUACCCAAUAAAUCUAUUAUUUAUUAACACUGUUUUAUAGUAUUCAAAGUAGCAUAGGAGACAGCUAAACAGUAAGUAGAUAACUGAGUACCAAACAAGCAUGAAACUCCAAUAGAUGUUUGGGUGCAAGAACAACCUGAGAUCUAAGACAAGAGGUGAAAUAUUUAGUGCAAAAUGGAAGACGAACACAAAACAAUUAAAAGAGAAAAUGCCAGCCAAGUUGCUUUCUGCCAUUACCCCUUCAGUUCUCUGUGGUGCUUGUGAGGCAGAGCUUUCCUAUGGACAGGUUAUCCAUAACACCUGGAAAAUGUGAACUGCACAGGACAAAAGGAUAAUUUCUGUCCUUUUUGGCUCUUAGAUUACUAGCCAAUUGGAUGUUAUUAAGUCUCACAGGAGAGUUCACUGCUUCUGCCCUGGGCCUGCUCUCAGCUUCACUAGGACUCUAUCUAAUGCAUCCCUUCUUUGGGGUAAAAAUUUCCUGUUGUUUAAAAUGAAUGAAUUGAACCUAACUGUUUCUGAUACUCUGUACUUUAUGUCCUUCCCUGUCUUAUGUACAAGUAGAAUUCUGUGCAGAAGUUGAAUUUUUCUUUUUCCUUCCUCUUGAAGAAGUGUACAUUUACUUGUGCCCAUCUGUGAUGCAGCACUGCUCUAUGGCAAGUUCUGCUACAGUCAAAUGUGCUGCAUGGAAGCUGGCUAUUUCUGAGGUUUAGUGUUAAGAUGUUAUAAUCCCAAAUACAACACACUUCAAGUAACGCAUCAAUAAUACAGGGAUUAUUUCACUCUCCUAAGAGUUUAUAAUUCUUGGCCUGACAAUUUCUUUUGUCAAUGUUGAGAUUUUAAUUCAUCUGAAGUUGAUUUGGUUUUCAAAUUGAUAAGAUAUAGACGUUUUAUUUGAAUCAUUUCCUUUCUUGAAAAUAAAAUAAUGGUAUUUCUAAGAGUUGGUGGAAUCUUUGGUCUGGUGGAAUAUAAUAACAUAUUAACAAUUGGCUUUGAAAUGUGGUAUCUAGUAGUGCAAAUAUUUGUCCCUUCUAAUGCUAUGUUCUGGGAUUAAUAAGAAUAUGCUGUUUCCAAGAAUGGCAAGUACUCAUUUGGAGCCUGGCUACAUUUGAAAAUGAAUUUCACAGUCCAGCCAAGUUUGCCAUGUUUUCUACCAAAGGAUAAUUAAAUGGCUUCACUUUUAAGAUUGUUUUUGCAUUGCUUCUGGAUGAAAACUGCCCCUGCAUACCACUCAUCCCCAUGUUUUUAAUUCAUAAAAAUGCCAUUUGUACAAAUAGAGCAAAGGCCCAAGGGCUUCUAAAUGAGGCUGUUAAUAGGACUUGUCAAUUAACUUCAGUGCAUUGAAUGAAAUAUAUUAUGUGCUUAAUGAUCUUUAAUGCUCUCAGCUCAAUCAUAACAAAGAAUCCAACAUGUAGAUUUGUAGCAGCUGGUGGUCUCCAUUUGUCUCUUCUUUUGAAAGUAGAACGUUCAUUUAAUAAAAGCUGCUGAAACAAUGGUCUUCAUGCCCUGUGUGUAUUCCUGAAGUUUCUGAAAAGAAACAAACACGUGGCAGAUAACAUUUUUCAAGGUUUUAGUACAUAUUUGGUGGAAAGCAGAGAAUAGGUUAGGUUCCAGCAAGUGAUGGGAGAGAGUAACAUGACGUGAUGUUGGGAGUUUGUGGCUUUAGCAUUGGUUUCUGUGGCAACUGACUUUCCUAUAGUUACAGCAGAAUGUGAGCAAUAUAGGAAAACACCUAUAGGAAAGAUACCUGCACAUAGACUUAAAAACUGUCAACUAUGAUUGUGCCAAAUAUUAGAGGGCUAACAUAGAGUGAGGGAAACAACAGAAUAUUAUAUAAGAAACAAAUAUGAGAGAUAUAAAAUUCCCUGAAAUAGACUAAAAGAUGGUUGUGCAGUUAGUAUGAAAAAGAUAGAGUUACUCUUUAGAGAGUCCUCAGCUAAUUUCUUAUUUACUUGUAAACCAAAAUUUAGAUCUUUCCUUUUAGAAUACACUAGUAUAAGUGUCACAUGUCUAAUGCAGUUAAAUGUCAAAAGUAAAAAAUAAAAAUAAAACAUCUGUUGUAUAGGGCACAUACAUGAUCCUCAAAUAUAGGAGGCCUUUGUCAAUAUUAAAAAGAUUUAUCAACUGAGUUGUAUAAGAUAUUGUGUGGCAAUUUCUAGCGGGGCUUCUAGUUCAGGAUAAUAAAUGAGUAGCUAUUUCUCUCCUUUACUUCAAAAUUACCUCUGAAAGAAAAAAAUAAAAGAUAAGUCAUUCAUAUAUGUGCCAAUAAUGGGAAGUGAGAACAUCAGUGGAUUAUAGAUUUGACAAGUUUCUGGAAGAUGGAGAGUGGAUUGAAUCAUGGUAGGCAAUUUGGAAUGACCACAGUCCAGUCUGGCUGCUGAAGGCUGUUGUACAAGUAAGAACUGGCAAAGCCACCAGGUAACCACAGACCAGAAUUCACAGCUUGACAGAUUAUGAGUAGUAGUGAUGACAAAGGCUAAGAAAUUAAAGAAAUGUCUAUCUGGAAAGAUUUCUUCCAAAAUAUGAUGAAUAUUACAGCAAAUACACUUCCUGCAAAAAAAAAAAAAAAAAAGGAGGAGGAGGAGGAGGGAAUAAACUGCUUAGAGAAAUGCUGGUGCCAUAGGAAAGUUUUCCUUAUUUUGCUUUUAGAGUAAGAAGUGGGAGAAUUGAAGAGGCCAAACCUGUGUUUUCUACACUCAAACAACCUAUCCUGAAACCUGGCAAUGUGAUAGACCCAAUCCGCAAUUGACAGAAAUUAUACUGCUCAGAUAAAGAUGGCUGACAAAUGAACUAGGACUUCUCAGAUGACAAAGAAGACUAUCUUCCUGCUCCUAAUUCAUACAUAUGGAUAGGCAGACAUGUUAGGGCAUUACAUUGUUAGAGUAACAGAAUACAUACAUCCCUUUUAAAAACAACAUUGGAUUUUGACAAUUACUAAAUAAAUAACAACAAUGAAAAAGAGAAACAUAUUCCGUUUUGUGUAAGACUAGGAAAUAUAAUGAAUUACAAUGUAUGAAGAUUAGAAUAUAGGAUGGAGUGGAAUCUAGCAUAAAAACUUGAAAUAAAUGAAAACAGAACAGAACUCCUCAGAAGGAAAUAGGAAUAAAUAUUCCAAUUCAAGCAACAUGCAACUGCAAAGCUUCAGGUGGAGAAUAUCAGGUGCUUCAUGUAUGAAGAUGUGAGGAAAAAAAAAAGAAUAGCGUUACCUUAGACUAAGUGGAGAGAAGUGAUUGGAGAGGAGGGGAGGGGAUGNUUGAGAGGUAGAUGUUUUGGUAAGUGAUUUAGAUAUUUCUCAAAAAUGGGAUCAAUGCCUUUAAAGUAGACUGAAGCAUGUUUGGUGUGCUGCUUCUGCCACGUGAAGGCACAAAAGCAAGGUGUCAUGUCUGAAACUUUUAUUAGACACCAAAUCUACUGGGGCUCUGAUGUUGGACCUCCUAGAUGCCAGAAACAAAAGCAAUUAGUUUCUCUUAUUUACAAAUCAUCUAGUCUAAAUUAUCUUGUUAUAGCAGCCUGAAUAGACUAAGACCAAAAAAAUGAAGCUGUAGGGAAAAAACCUUAUUUUAUUUUAUUUGCCCUAAACCUCAGCCUAAAGCCCAGAUGCACGUCAUCUGAGGUCAUGAGAUGUACUGUGGCAACUGGCCCUACAUCACUGCCUGACAAAAUCUGAGGCUAACUCCUUUUGUAGCAGGAAAAUAUCAUAAAGAACUUCAAAUUAAUUAUUUGAUUUAUUUCAACUCAGAUCAGUUAUCUAUUACAAAUCCAUAAUUAUGUUCUCUUUGAGGACUGUGACAAUACUACCUAAAAUUACAACACUUUCCCCCAGAUUUGCUUUAUUUUUCUACUUAGGCCUUGCUGAUAGCACAUAAAUCACUUUCAUUUUUAGAUUGUUUCCUGUCUCUCUCACUACAGUGUACACACUGGGAAAGCAGGGGUGGUUUGUUUGUUACUGUAUCCCCCAAAUCUAGGUCAGUGCCUGGCCUGGAAUUAUUUGACAAAUAAAAAAUAUCCAUUGCCAUUCAUAUGAUAUGCCAUUCAUGUGGUUACAGGACUUGAGAGAAAUACAUCAACAGUCUAACAGUGAUUACAUCUUAGUGGGAGACUGUAAUUUUGUUUCCAGAGUUUUUUUUUUUUUUUAAUUUCCAUGUAUUCUACCAUUGCCACAUAUUAUUUCUGAAAGUGUCUUAUAAAUAUAUUAUUUUGUUGAAAGCCACUAAAAUAGAAAUUAUAAAGUUUAUUCCCCCUUACAAUUUCAAUGUUCAAACUCAGAAAUAAAUUACAAAAAAUUACAUGUGAUCUUUUAGUACAGUCAUGCUGGUAUAAUCACAUAAUCUCCUGUGUUCUCCAUUUUGACACACUAUAAGCUGGCCAGGUUAUAUGACUGUGGUGAUGGCACAGAGCCAGGUUAGCCAGACUGCGAAUUACUCCCUCCAGCCUGUUCAUACAGUCCAGGAUUCUAUUAUGUUGCACAAUGCCUCAAAAAUACAGACACUGUUAAGACAGAAAGAGGCUUUGUUCCUGACAUCUAUUUCAUGGGCUCCUACGUGUUCUAACAUCCAAUGUCCAUUUUUCUCCAUAGGCAUUGAGCAUUGUAAAAUAUUUAAUUUAAUUGAAAAUAAAACCUGUAAUUAAUAACCAGUGAUUAAUCAUAUUUAAUGUCUUACCAAUAGAUGGCUUCUGUAACUUCAUUGACUGGCUAUAAUUAUAGCAUACAAUAGAAGAACAUAAAGUUGGGAGUGGACCAAAACGUUGGAAUAGAGAAAUUCAAUUUCCUGUUUUCUCCAAGGCAUGAAAACAAGAAAGCAGACAGGCAGCUUCUCAGCAAGGGAAUUAGGAAUCCUGAUAUUCCCAUUAAUGGGCAAAUGCACAAGUUUCUUCUGAGUGUUAAGGAGACCACAUCCUGUCACUUGUGGAAUGUUAUCUCUUCCAGCAGUGGAAGAGAUAAGAAUGUGUUGCAAAGAGGUCUGGGCAGUGCCCCCAGUGUGGAAAAUAGUAGGAGCAAGAACCUUAGCCCUUGGAGCAAUGAUGGGGUAGAGAUGGCAGCAGUCAAGGAAUCCACAGAGCAGACUAAUACUAGCAGAUAGUAUUGAGAGAAGAAAUUCCCCACCUGAGGAGUCUGACCAGGCAGUAGCAUGGCCACAGGAGAGGGAGACACCAGUCAUGGCAGGAGAGGUGGAAUCUUCAGAAAAGUGCGUCUGGACAUGUAGAAUCUGUGGGUGAAUGUAGGAGACCAACCUUGCACGUGACUGAGUCACACUCCCUGGCUGGGUGCUGAGGUGCUCAGUGGCAGAAAUGUGGCAGAGCUUUCACCAGACUUCUUGGGUUCGAGGGUCAGUGUCUUCUGCAUGGGUGUGUCUUGCUACAGCCCCAUGGGUGAAGCUAUGCUCACCUGUUCCUUUGUAAUAUAACCCCUUUCCCUGUUUAGGAUAGAAUCUUCCAUGGAAGUGCCUUGUGUGUGUCCCCUGCUCUUACUGUGCCCUUGGGUGUGGCCUACCCAGGUGUCAGUCAACCUGCUGACAGUGGACAACAUGAAGAUGGACUCAGCCCCCUGAAACCUGACCCCUUGCCUCAUUUGAAUAGCUUCUCCUCAAUAAAAGAGGGUCAGCACGUGUUCUCGCUCUCUCUCUUUCUGCGAACCCUUAAGGUCAGAGGAGCCAUCACAGCGACCCCAAAGAAAAAGAUAUUUGUGUCUCUUGUGUGGUUAUUUUGUGCAGCCCAAUUACUCCAGUUUAACUGGAGUGACCCCUGAGACUUUUAGUCUCGAGAACAAAAACUCGGCCAGUGAAUGUCCCAAUUCUGCGGCUUCAGUGGGAGUUACUGGGGUGAAGGUUUGGUAUGAUGGUCUCUCAGGUCUCACCUGUCAGGAUCAGAGGGACUGAACUGCAAUGGACAUUGGGGACCAGACAUGUAACAUCAGGUGUGCAGCUUUCAGAUUCCGUUUACCACUUUAUGGAACAAAUUUUGUGGGUCAUUGAAUUCAUGAUGGCAUCUUCACUUAAUUAUGAUGACCCAGUCACUGAGCCACCAUAGAAGACUCAGUAUCCUCCCCCUUGAGCUCCCUUGCUUCCCAAUACUGUAUCCACAAUCCACCUUCUCCCACAUCUGCUUUCUGAAGAGGAAGUUUCAUCGGUCAUUUCCACCAGGGAAAAGGAAUCGUACUGUACGUUCACUAUCCAGAACCUGCACUUUCUCUACCCUUUUGCUGAUGCAAGUAAGGAUGAGGAUCUGCUUCCUGCUGGCACAGAAGAUCAAAUCCAUUAAAAAAAAAAAAAAAAAACAGAAACUAGUGAAAGCAUUUAAGGAGAAAUUUACCUGCAAUGGUACUGGAAUUGAGAAUCCAGAAUAUAGAGAAGAAAUUCAGCUACUGGGUAAAUAGCACAAGAGCAGAGAUUGGACCGAUCAAGGAUGAUCAGCUGAAGGUUCAUGGGUUUUCAAUGUGUGUGGCUCACUGAAGCUUAAGUGAGGAUUUCCUUGCAAUGAGUACAAUUUCUCGUGUCCCUUGUCACAAGUUUAAAGCUCUCACAGCUUUUUUUAUGUAACCAUUUUGGAUCCACUAUAAACUUGGGACUAAUAUAACUCCUUCAUGCAAUAAACUGAAAAAAAUCUAUGCAGUCUAGUCUUGAAGUUUCUCAUUUAAACAGACAUCAGGCAAUAGGUGCCUUGCAGUGUCCACCCUGAAACAAAACAAUAAUAUGAUGUUUCAGCAAAACCCAGAGCCCCAAGAUCACAGGCAUCUGUUUCUGGCCAGAAGCUCCUUAGCUCUCCCUGAGCAGAGUCCCCUGCCCUAAGAGUGUCAUGACCUGAACAAUAAAGAGAGGAUGAGAUAAGGCAACAACAGCAGCUGUACCACUAGAGGGAAUUUUUGGUAAUAAAAAGAGCUCAUAGUGUCUCUAACCUGAUCAGGUGGGCAGAUUUCAGAGACUACCUUCCUUCUAGUGAGAUGAUGCAGCAUCUGGCUUUCCACCAAGGUCUUCUUUUGGACUAGACAUCUUCUAGCUAAGGGGUGUCCAAAACACCAGAAUGUGAAGCCAGCCGAAUAUUGAUACUGGCGUUGAGAAUCAGGUUUGAGUCCCGUUCCCCAAGGUGCUGAAGAUUGAACACCCAAGAAACACUGAGGCAAUGCAAAAUGUUUUAUUUAAAGGAGACAGAGAGAGGCAGACAGAAACUCCUCUACAGAGGAGGGCUUCCAAGUUGGUGCCUGAAGGAGUGUGGGUGUCCUGACUUUUUUAUGGAUUUCAGAUUUUCUUUGUUCUCAUGCCCCCCUCCUCCGGAUACAUUGCCUAUGUGACCAGUGACCAAAAUGUGGAGUGACCAGCGUCAGGAAGAGAGUCAUCCAGGGGUUAUUCAUUAACAACUUCAUGUAGGGAGGAACAAUUCGCUGGAGGCAGGUAACGGGGCAAAAGUUUGGAGGAGAGGGAAGUGCUCUGGAGGUAUUAGCAUUUUAUUUCCUCUUGAGUAUGUCCCAUCUUCCUGACACAAUCAUUCACUACCUACACUGUCCUUUGCCCCCCCAUCCUCAAUAUCAGUUAAUUUUUUUGAGGGAGGUACUGGGGAUUGAAACAAGGGCACUCAACCACUGAGCCACACCCCCAGCCCUAUGUUGUAUUUUAUUUAGAGACAGGGUCUCACUGAGUUGCUAAGUACCUCACCAUUGCUGAAGCUGGCUUUGAACUCAGGAUUCUCUUGUCUCAGCCUUCCUCCCAAACCGCUGGGAUUAGAGGCAUGUGCCAUCAUGCUUGGCAUCAGUUAAAUUUUUGAAAAGGGAACAAAUACAAGCUGUUGUUAUCAGUCCUGUAACUAGCUAUAGAGCUUGCAACUUACCUGCAACUCACUAGCUAACCAGUGCCAAGUGAAGUAAUAAAUUGGUUUAUGGUUUUCUUUUUAACUUCUAGUUUUAAUAUUACAUAAUGUAUUUAAAACCUGAUAUAAAUAAAACUUGUUUUCAGGGGAGAAAAACAAAGCUUUAUUGACUUGUACAGCUAGAUACAUUAUCUACAAUUUUUUUUUAAAUACGAGCAAUAUCUUCCAGAUUAAUGUUAAUGUUUUCAUGGGUACUUCCAUCUGUGAGGACAGCUCUUGAUUCUUAUUCUCCUCUCUGCCAUCCUGCAUAGGCUAUGAAAUUUAUGUUUCCCUUGAGUGAAAUGAGCUGUCUGAGAAAAAUGGCAAAAAAAUCACACAACACAGAAAUAAUUUUGAAAAGUGAGGGUGAGACAGUGUUGUGACCUUAGUGGUCCUGUUUCCACACUGGAAGAAGAGAGAGAGAUAGGAGCCUAGUUUGCUUUAUUUAUACAAGGGUCUUCAAAGGAUUUCAAUGGAAUGUUCUUUUGCCAAAUAAAGUAGGAGGGGGGCAGUCCAAGCCCAACAGGUAAUGCCCUAGUCCAAAGCUACAGAGCAAUCUCUCUAGUCCAGCGAAGACUGAGGUCAUCACGUGAUUUGCAUAAUAAGCCACAAAAUGACUUGCAAUGCCAAACCAAAAUCUCCUUGGCUCCAAGGCCCAGUAGAGGCUAUUCAAAUAGCCCAGAGGUGGCCCCCUACAGAAGGCCAUUUGGAAAUUAGAUGAAGUAAACUUCUCAGUCCAAUUUAUAGAAUACUGUCAUUUAGGCUUCUGACCACCACCCUUUCAUUACUCUUCCACAUCACAUACUGGCAAAGUCUAGAAGAUGACACAAGGAGUGGAAAGUGUUUCCAUAAGAAAAUGCCUAUUGCAUCUGGGGUCUAGUGAUCCUCCAAGAAAAGGUCAGCUCCCAUCUGUUUGAUCAUUCUACAUUUAAGCUUAUCAGUCAGAAAAACCGUAGCCUUCUAAUCACUCUCAAAUGUAUUUAUACAAAGUGAACCUAAAGGAAAGAAAGAUGGAAGAGAGUAAGGGAGGGAGCAGAAGAAGAAGAAAGGAAAGAAAGAAUAAAAGCAAAGUCUCUCCAAGUCAUUUAAGGCAUUUUGACAAAGCUCCUAACAUGAAAGUUGUAGAACAAAGCAAAUUCCAAAAACACAAAUAUAUCACAGACUAGAUGAAUAUGUCAACAGUGUGUUUUAAUUUACAUGCACAAAAUAUAUUUCAUUGAUGAAAAUAAUAGGGUGCUAUUAAAAAUCAAAAAAAAAUGUAUUAAAAUGAGCAAAGUAUUGAAAAAGAACUAUUAUAGGGCUGGGGAUGUGGCUCAAGCGGUAGCGCACUCGCCUGGCAUGCGUGCGGCCCGGGUUCCAUCCUCACACCACAUACAAACAAAGAUGUUGUGUCCGCCGAUAACUGAAAAAUAAAUAUUAAAAUUCUCUCUCUCUCUCUCUCUCUCUCUCUCUCUCUCUCUCUAAAAAAAAGAAAACAAAAGAAAAAGAACUAUUAUAAAAAGUAAACAGAAUGAGGUAAGAAAAAGUCAAUAUAUUUCAGUAGGCAAUCAAAAAAGAUGAGAUUGAUUUUAUGUGAGGAAAAAGUGUAAAAAAAAAUUUAAUUAAAAUAAAAGGCAAAUCAGACAAAGGGGCACAACCUACCAGUAAGCAUCCUAGUAAAAUCAAGGAAAACAAAGGAAAGGAAGAAAGAAAUAAUAGAAAAUUUUCUGGAACUGAAGAACUUCAGGUAUAAACUGAAAGAGCCAUAGUGUUCCUGUUGCUUAUUCCCACGAAUGAAAUAAACCCAUCAUUAGUAUUAGCAAAGUAAUGGGUAAAAAUCUAAUUUGCUAGAGGAAAUAAUACUUAAUAAGAUUCAAAACUCAUUAUCUAAAGUAUAUAUUAACAUGUUAAUGUAUAAAAUCUUUUUUUAUUGUUGUUUUAUUUUGUGUUUUGGUACUAGGGAUUGAACUCAGGGGUACUCGAACACUGAGCCGUAUCCCCAGCCCUAUUUUGUAUUGUAAUUAGAGACAGGGUCUCAUUAAGUUGCUUAGCACCACACUUUGGCUGAGGCUGGCUUUGAACUUGUCAUCCUCCUAACUCAGCUUCCUGAGCCACUGGAAUUACAGGUGUGCACCAUUGUGUCAGGCCCUUAUGUAUAAAAAUCUUAAUUUUAUGGAGGAAGAAAGAAUAUUCUGCAAGAUUUAAAACUGAAUAUAAAAAAUUCAACACUUAUUUAAAAAAAAAAACUUGAAUUAAACUAAGAAUGGGAGGAAAUGUCUCUAAUCUACUAAAAACAAUUUAAAUAUUACCCCAUUCUAAAAGUGACCUUUUAUGAUAAAAAAAACAAAAUAUAGUUAGAAAUAACUUUGUCAUUAUAUUUAAUUUGCAAUUCUAUUAGGCAAUGUUAAAAAAAUUAAAAACUGGAAAAAUUGUGAACAUAAAAUAUUAUAUCUUGUAAAUUAAAUAUUAUGGUUAUUUGUAUAGAAGGCACAUGAUAAUACAGAACAAACAAUAGCUAUAGAAUUCAGAAAUAUAGUGGAAACAUUUUAACAAGUAAAACUUUUUAGUAAUUUUUAAAUACUUUUAUGUACUUGUAGUUUAAGAAUUAUAAUUACUCAAGACUGAGCAAAUAUAAAUUUGCAAUGACCUUAUGGUGAAAAUGUCAAAGUGCUAUUAAAGGGCUUGGAAGAAAAGUCAUAUAAUUAUGAGAUAUAUCCACAUAUAUACAAAGUCUUGCUAUUAUAGUGAUGUGAUUUGCCCAAAAGUAAACCUAAAAAAUUCAGUGUUAUUUCAAUCACAGAGCUAAUUAGACUAGAAAUCUAAUUCUUAAAGUAAUUUGAAAAAAUUAAUGACAAAUCCAAAGUGAACAAAUAUUUAGGAAAAUGGGAACUUAUAGAUACUGUUGAUAGUUUCAGUUGGUAUAGUUACUUUGCAGAAGAGGUUUGUAAGAUCAAGUCAAUUUUCAGAUGAACAUAAGUAUCACCUGAGAUUACAACAUAGCUUUUUAGAUGCUUAAGAAGUCUAUGAUCUAAUUACAAAAUUGUUUAUAAUAACAAACGGCUGAUCAAUAUAAAUAUCCAUCAGCAGAAGAAUAUAUAUAUAUAUAUAUAUAUAUAUAUAUAUAUAUAUAUAUAUAUAUAUAUAUAUAUAUAUAAUCUAUUAUGGUAUAUUCAUAAGGUAUAAACCAGAGAGCAACUCAACUAAAUAAAAAAGAGAAAUAUAUCAUAUGGGAAUGAGUAGGCAAGAUCCAGAAUGAUAUAUAAUGCAUGAUAGAUUUAAUGGCAUGCAAAACAACAAUAAAUACUGUUUAUAGAUAUGUACAAAUGUAACAUGCUGUGAAAACAUUUAAUGCAAAGACCCAUAUCAUUUCUAUAAUGGUGGUUAUCUCUAGGAGAAAAAGUACAUUGGGACGGAAAGGAAUAUAAAAUGUUUUUUAUCAGUCACGUUUGACUUCAAAAUAGUUUGGAAAGAAUUUGUUAAACAUAAGAAUUGAUUAUGUAUGUUUAUUAUAAUACUCUAUUAUUUUCUGAACAUGAGAAACUUUUAAUUAAAAUUUAUCAAAAUAUAUACUUGAGUUAUUAUUUUCCUAGUUUCUACUUUAAACUAUUUAAAACACAUUGCUCUUUUGGUUGCAUUAAAGUCCUUUUGUAAAUUAGGCUUUAUACAAAAAGUAGCUAAACAUUACCAGAUGGGGAGGAGUUGAACAUUAGGUAUAUAAUGACAGCAAUUAAAGAGAGAGGUUUAAGAUAUUUUAUAGGUAGUGCAUUCUCUGUAAUGCAAGGAAAAAAAUAGUAGACAGAUGUCUCAUUAGCUAAUGCACCUCGUAUAUUUUUCUUCUGUAAUUUUUUGACAGCAUCACCCAGCAUCCCAAAUAAGCAUAAGAAUGAGUUUGGUUGUGAAAUGAAACAAAAUAUAGAGGGUUUGCUAUGGCUAUCUUUCAAUCUGGACAGAUGACAUUCAUUCACUGGAAAAUAUAUUGGGCUUGGUUAAAAUUGCAUGGUGAUUUAAAUAGGCUUGGCAUGUCUCCAGGGCCACUGGAGGGUUGUCUUCAGCUUUUGAGACUGAAUUUCCUGGAGGUGUUCCUUGGACUGGUGUGACUUAGUUUAUCUCUAUUCAUAACAUUAUCAUUUUUUUUACAUAAUCCCAUGUAUAUCAAUAACUUUCUAAUUAGAAUAUAACAGCAGCUAUUUAGUUUCAAAUCUCCAGGAAAGUGUCACCUUGUCAGGGAUUUUUAAUGUGCAUUGAUAACUAAGAAAAUGGAUGUUCUGAGGCCAUAUAACAUGAAGGAGAUGAAUUUAUUGCUGUUAGUGAGGACUUUGACAUCAAGAAAUAGUUUUCUGCUUAUAGUCUAUAUACUUCUCAGGCUCUAUAGUGCUGAGUUGAUCUUGUUGCCCUUGCCUAUUCUGAACUUUCAGAGAUAUAAAUCGUCUCUAUUUUAGAUUCAUAAGUUUUAUACUGUUUCUUUUCAUCAGGGAUAUUGGAGUUGAAAUUAGUUUCAUUAGAAUUUCUCCAACAGUGCUUGAUGAAAAGCAUUAUCACUCUUUCCAUAUUAUUAGUGUAUUCAAAAUGAAACAUUUUGAGGAAUUGAAAUGAAUGAUGGAUGUAUAUACAGUAUUGGUUAAAACAGUUGCUGGAAAUGGCCUUGCCACAUGCCUGAGAAACAGGAAAAUCCAGUACCUUUGAUCAUAUGUUAAAUGCACACAUACAGUAAGUAAAUAAGAGAUAAAUAAGUAACUGUGACUUUAAAAGUAGUGAUAAAGUUUGGUUAUUUUCAUUAGCCAAUGAGUCCAUCAAGCAGGAAUACUUGAAAUCUGGUAUAUUAAAUUACUAUGUCUAAAUUUUUGAGAAAGUAAAGUGAUAUUUGCAACUCAAAUGUGUAUGGAAAGCAAUAGUAAUGGAAAAAGCAUGAACCUUACAGUUAGGAAAAUUAUGGUGACUUUUUGGCUUAGGUGUCACUAUUCUAUUUCUGUUGAGUUUUGUCCACUGUUAAUUGUACGAUGAUAUUUUAGUGAUUGUCAUGAGGAUUUCAUUGUCUGAUCUACAUUCAAUUAUCUCUAAUUUUGUCAGGCACAUAGUAGGGGACUCACAACUAUUUUUGAAACAAUGGUAUUCAUAUACACAAACAUUCAUGAAUGCAUGAAUAAGUAAAAAGGGUAUGGUCUUGCACAAAAGUGGUUAAUAAGUAUUUGUUACACUUCUAUUCCUUCUGCCUUCAGAAUAGUUGUGAUCAUUAAACACGUGAAUAUAUAUAUAUAUAUAUAUAUAUAUAUAUAUAUAUAUAUAUAUAAAGAGCUACUGAAAAAAAGUGUCAGCUUUCUUUCAACAUCGUUGCACACACGCCCACAUAAACAUGUCUUUAUCUAGCAGUCUGUAAAUGCAUACUUGCUUCUAAAUUAUUGUACAACAAAAUACUUAACCACUUAGCAUGGCAAAGACAAAUGUGUAGUAGGUUAACAGCAAGUUGAAUAUGUGGUUAUUAUUUAAUGUAUCUAAAAUUAAACUAUUCAUUAUACUUCCCAUCCACUCUGAGUCCCAGAGUAUGUCCAAUGUAUGAGAUAUAAUUCAGCAUUCAAUUCUAGACGCUUAUAAAAUUCUUUUGUCUAGGUACAUCUGCCACCUCCAACUUUCUGAUACAUUACAGUUCUCUGAUAGUAGAGCUAUAACUUCUCUUAUGCCAUAGCACAAAGCUAAAUAUGUCUAUCAAAUUACAUUAGUUAGGAUGAUGUGAAUUAAUAUUCCCUGGUAUGUCCUUUCUUAUUAUCAAGUGAACAAUACUUUUACCUGUUAUUGUUACUAUCAUCAUGCAAAUAUUCAGGGAAAUCAAAAUAACCUAGCUAUUUAUAAAAGACAUACCUGAAACAAAAAUAGUAUCAAAAACUUGGAAAAAAAAGAUAUAAUUCACUAUGCAAAAAAUAACAAAAUACAGUGGAAAAGCUAUGAAUAUGACAUAAAAUAAAAGUUUAAAAGAAUUUAGUGAAAUGAACAAAAAUUUUUGAUUGAUAAAAGAUAAAUUCUGCUGGGUACAGUGGCACAUUUCUGUAAUCCCAGCAGGUCCCAAAGCUGAGGAAGGAGGAUUGUGAGUUCAAGACCAACAUCAGCAACAGUGAGGCACUAAGCAACUCAGUGAGACCCUGUCUCUAAAUAAAUACCAAAUAGGGCUGGAGAUGUGGCCUAGUGAUCAAGUGCCCCUGAGUUCAAUCCCUGGUACCCUAACCACUGCCCCCUCCAAAAAGAAGAUAAACUCCACUGGAGAGGUAUAUCAGUUAAGAACUUUUAAGAACUUAAGAAAUGCAAAGAAAAUAUAUAUGAUCACAGAAAUUUCCUCAGAAAAUAAAAGAACAAGAUAAGAAAUACAAUCAUCCUGUUUCUAUACAGAUGCAUAGGUACAUUUAGAUAUGAAUCUUGUAUGUAUUUGGGUAAGAUCAGACUCAUUUCUCUGAAACUUCAAGUAGUACUGAUGGACCAAAAAGUUUCAAAAUACAAAUGUAAUUAGGUUAGAGUCAGUGGUUCAGAAAGACAUAAUGAUCUUCAGCUUCCUUCUGGGGUUCACAGGCUUCACUUCUUGCUACUCAUGCUUAACCUUCUGUUGUGGCUAGGGACAUGAGAUAAAGCCUGUGUGAGUAGACCAAGCUUACCUGGUCACACAGGUUAGAGACCCUGACCAUUCAGCUGCUGGCAGACCAGGCCCAUUAUGUGUGGUUUCCAUGACUGCAUAAUGGUUAGUAAUCACUCAUUCUCAUCAUGUAACUGAUAAAAAUAACAUCAGAUGAGUUAGGGUAUAGAUUAUAGCAAAGCCUAUAGAUAACAUAAAGUAUAGGAUAUGCCUUUUAUUCUUAAGUGUGGGAUUUUAUGAAGAAGCUUGGGAUUCCCAAGUAUCACAUGCCCAGCAGGAUACCAAAGAUUUGCUACCUUAAAUUUAUAUGCUCACAGAUAUCUGAACAGAAAAGAUAAACAAAAUAAAAUAUGUAAGGUACAACUAUGUCCCACAUACCAUUGAAGAUAUCUUUUAUGGUAUAGCUGGAUAUAUGAGUGUUAGACACUGCUAACAUUUUUGGAGAAGGCACAGUAAAACUGCAUCCAUUCAUUGCUGAAGGCCAAUGGAGAUUAACAUCUUUAAAAAGAUGCUCUACACUUUUGAAUAAUUUGAUGUGUUAAAGUUUAAUAAUGUAUCACAGCUGGAGGCCACAGUGGUUUUUUUUCAUUGAUUUAAUAAACUUUGUUAAAAAUAAUUUAAAUGAAAAUCAAUUAUUUUGACAGAAUAUUAAAACAUGUUAGGAAGUACAGUAAAGAUAUUAAAUUAAUUAGACCUUUCAUUCUGCAAAUCUCUAAAAUUAGUGAGAUAAACAAAUUUUUAAAAAUCUUAAAUAUGAAAUGAAGAAACAUUUCAGAGUGUAGUACUUUCUUUCGGCUAACUUAAAAGACAGUAACCAAGAAACUGUUGUAAUUAUGAUUGCCCAUUAAUAUAGGCCUUGAGAUACGAACAUUCUUUGUGAAGAAUAUGGGCUUUGAGACUGCCAACAUUACUUCUGUGAAAGGGAAAAAACCCUGGGAAUUAUGUUUUUGUAUGAUCCUGGAUUUUUUGAUCUCAUGUAUAUGAUUUGCAUCCUUGCUAGAAAAACAACAAAAUAAAACAAACAAACAAACAAACAAACAAAAAAGAGAAAAUAAUGAGAAGGAAAAAAAACCCUCAAGUUCAUAUUACCACUGUUGCUGGAUUCUCAUCCCUAGAACCUCUGUGGUCUUCUGAUGCUCAGCAAGUGUCCAUAAGUGUGUACUUACGGGUAUUUGAAUUCAACAGAAUAGUCCAUUUAUAAGAAAACACCCACAUGCAUGACCCACUGUACAUAUGCACACUCACAAAUACACAUGACACCCCAAUAACUGCCCAAACACAGGAUUUAUUUGAUAUAAUCUCUUUAAAAAACUCAAUAAAGGGGGCUGGGCAUGUGGCUCAAGCAGUAGCGCGCUCGCCUGGCAUGCGUGCGGCCCUGGUUCGAUCCUCAGCACCACAUACAAACAAAGAUGUUGUGUCCACCGAAAACUAAAAAAUAAAUAUUAAAAAAUUCUCUCUCUCUCUCUCUCAAAAAAAAAAAACUCAAUAAAGCCAAAAUUGAAUUUAACAGGUUGUAAUAAAGCUAAUCACACUAGGAUAAGUAAUACUGUGAUUUUAAAAAUACUAGCAACAAAAGUAGAAUAUUUGAAGAGAAAGUAGAAAGAAAACCCUCAGAAUUCCAACCUAAAGGAUCUAGCCAAAAAGAAACAAUCUGGAGAAUUUAUAGUCUUGAAAAUAUCCUUUAGGGAAUUCGACACUGCCCAUCCCCAUUCCACCCUCAAAAGGUGACUAGAGGUAAACAUAGUUGUGUGUGUGUGUGUGUGUGUGUGUAAGGAGAGAGAGGGAUAAUCAUCCCUCACUAUCCAUGGGAGAUCAUUCCAUAACCUCUUCUGGAUACCAAAAGUCACAGAUGCUUUAGUCUCUUAUAUAAAAUGACACAGUAUUUGCAUAUAACCUGUAAAUAUUCUCCUGUAUUAUUUAUCAUACCUAAUACAAUGUAAAUGAUAUGUUGUUGUAUUUAAUCAUUAGUGAAUAUAGUUACAUAGUAGUUAUAUUGCUUUGGGAAUAAAGACAGGGAAGUUUAUAUGUUCAGUAUAGAUGUGGCUGUUUUCCUUAAUGUAUUGGUUUUGUAGGUAUAGAACUCAGAUAUGGAGGGCAGACUGUAUAUGAAAACCACAGUAGAAUUAAAGAAUUAAGACAGAAGCAGAAAAUAAGACUUUCUUAAAGUUAUGCUAUGAAUUGAACACAUUUUGUAAACUUUUCAUUCCACUGUAAACAUUAAAACAUUGUAUACUGAAUGUUUUAAAUUAAAAAAAAAAGGUUUAAAAUGCAAGAAAAAAUGAAUUUCCAGGGAUUAAAGUAAAAAAAAAAUCACCACGUUAAACUAUGAUUGGAACCUGAAGCUACAUAAAAUAAGAAGUGAACAUAGCAGCCUGGUUCUUAACAUAUGUGUACAAUAUGGGAAGCCUGUGUAUUGCAGCCUGUGUAUUGCAAGAGGUAAAAUUGGAUCCACUGAAGAAAGUUUGCAAUUGCCUAUUCAUGGAUAGAACUAAAAUAAUUUUAGAUCUUAUCAUCUCCCAUAUCCACUCCCACUCCUGCUCAAACUAUAAACCAAGUUAAAAGAAAAGCCACAGAUUGGAAAAUUGUUAUGAUUAUUGUAAUUGUAAUAUUAUCAUUGUAUGGGUUAUAAAAAGAUACUUAUAAUCAAUGAAAAUAAGGGGAAAGCGAUUAAAAAAUAGUAGUUCAAGAAUAUAAAUAAAACAUUCACAGAAGAGGAAAUCCGGCUGUGUUUCUAUUUACCUUCUCAGGUUCAGGGAAUUGGAAAUUGCUGAAUAAUGACAUGCCAUUUCCAGCUAUCAUACUUUUAAAUUGGCUAUAUAAUCUUUUAGUUUUAACUAGGAUGUGAGGAAGUAAACAUUCUCAUGACACGCUAGGAGCUGUGUAUAUAGAUGACUUUUGCUGUAUACAACUUAUUAACGAACUUUCAAAAGCUACAUGAAAUAAACGUAUUUUAGAAAAUGACAAAUUAAUUCAAGAUUCAGAGAACAGACUAAUAGAUCAACUAUGUUACAGGAAAUUGAAAAUAAGCAUAAGAAUGCUGCAAAAAUGUAGUAGGCUUACAAAAGUUCAGAAUCAUUUUUUGAUUAAACAUUCCAGUAUAGAAUAUUUGUUCAAUAUGUCAUAUUAACUAUUCAUAAUGCACUUAUUUCCCCAUAGGAUAUAUAAGGUCAGCUAUGAUACAAAAAUUAGAGAAAUAAUACACAAAACUUAUAAAACAAUAUUAUUUAUGGAAAUCCAAAUAUCCCAAAUACAGUUUUUAAUUUAAAUUUCAAUAUAUUAUAAUAAAUAAUCAUAAACAGGAGAUUAUCCUAGUGAUAAAAUGGUAUUUCAAUAUUUUAUUGUAUUAUAAACUGUUAUAUUAAAAGAAUAAAACAUACUGUAAAUAUCUCAGUAGUUGAAAAGCUAUAUAAUAUAGUUCAACACUUAACUUUUUUAGAACCUCAUGAUAUGCUAAUAAAAUCAGUAAAAAUGGCUAAAUAUUUUCACAUAUAUAGCUAGAUACAUAUAUAAAAUAAAUAUGCAUCUAUCAUCUAUCUAUAUAUAAUUUCAGCCAAAUUUAUUGUAAAAGAUCAGACAGUAAAAUAAUUUUAGCUGUGUUUCAUAUUCAAAUUUGCUCAAUAUUGCUGUAUAAAAGUACUUAUGGAUGAUAUGUAAAUAAGUGAUGAUGGCAGAGUUCCAAGGAAACCUUACUUAUUUAUAAUAACCAGCAACUGGGAAUUUAGUUCAUGGGUCCUAGUUUGCUAAAUUCUACCAUAGAAACUCUGUUGAGACUUAAACUCAUGCAUGAACAAUUAGAAAUAUUGCCACAAAAUUUAGGAACAAUAUAUAGAAACACAUUUUCUUAAUCCAUUUUAGUUGCUAUACGAAAACACUCUAAUUUAGGUCAGUUAUAAACAACAGAAAUUUUGUUUCUCCCAGUUCUGGAAGCCAGGAAAUCUUAGAUCAAGGUAAAUUUGUUGUUUGAGAGGGCUCUUUACUCGUGACAGCUACUUUCUUACUUUAACUUUCCUUGGCAGAAGAGCAGAAGGAUUUUUCUUGAAUCUCUCUGGUAAGGGGAAACUAAUUCUACUCCAUGUGGCUCUGUCUUCGUGAUCUAAUCGUUAAUUAAACCAUCCAGUAUAGAAUAUUUAUUUAAUAUGUCAUAUUAACUAUUCAUAAUGCAUUUAUUUCCCCAUAGGACAUAUAAGGUCACUCCUAAUAUAAUCAACAAGAGGUCAAGAAUUUCAGCAUAUGAAUAUGGGAGUGACAUAAUCCCAAAGAGCACAACCCCAAUGACCUACUUCCUCCAGCUAUCCCUCAUUUCCUACAGUUACCACCGAGUAAUCAUUCAAACUAUUAAGGAAGCAAAUGGAUGAAUGCAAUGAUUAUGUUUCAGCUCUCAUAAUCUAAUCAUUUCACCUCUGAACAUUUCUUCAUUAACAUGUGAGUUUUUACAGUUAUCACUUCAUAUCCAAACCAUAACAUAUCCUUAUAUCUAAGAUCAACUCUACCACUCUAUACUCGUUUCAUGUAUUAUCCCAGUUUUGUUCUAAAUAGUUGACAUCAAAGCAUUUUGGCCAACUCCAACACAACCCAGUGUUUGCUAUUUUCUCCAAUAAAAAUGUGUGUGUGUGUGUGUGUAUAUAUAUAUAUAUAUAUAUAUAUAUAUAUAUAUAUAUAUAUAUAUAUAUAUAUAUCUUAUAUUUUAAAUAUACUUUUCAUGUUUCUGUGAUAUUCUAGGUCUAAAUUCUGUUAUGCCAAUGUUGUUUCAAUUAGCUGUGACCAAAAUUUCUGACAGGAGCAGUGUAGAGGAGGAAAUAAUUAUUUUGGCUCUUGGUUUCAGAGUUUGAGUCCAUGGUCAACUGGCUCUAUAGCCCUGGGCCCAAGGUAAGUCAGAAUAUCAUGGCAGGAGGGUAUGACAGGGAAAAGCUGCUCAGGACAUGACAACCAGGAAGCAGAGAGCUUUGCUUACCAGGGACAAAAUAUAAACUGGAAUGACAUGACCCUAGUGACCUACUUCUUCCCAUCACAUCCUACCUGCCUACAAUUAAUGCCCAGUUAAUUCAUAUCAGUGAACCAAUCCAUUGAUUAAUCAAAGAUUUCAUCAUCUCAUCAUUUUAUAAUAUUCAUAAUAUUAUAUAUAAUAUAUGCAAUAUUAUAUGUAAUAUAUAAUUCAUAAUAUUAUAUAUAAUAUAUACAAUAUUAUGUGUAAUAUAUAAUUAUUAUAUGUAACAAAUAAUAUUGUAUAUAUUAUAUACAUAUUUUAAUAUUCAUAAUCUCUGAAUAUUCUUGUAUUUUCUCACACAUGAAAUUUUGGGGGGGAUACCUCAUAUUUAAACCAUAACAAAUGUAGAAUUCAAAACAAAACAUGUUAAAGACAUAUCAGCCUCAUAUCAUAUUCAGCCUCUAUUGUUUCUUGUUUCUAAAGGCAGAUGAUUAUAGUUUAGCUUCUACUAAUGAAAGAACACAUAUGGGAUGGAACUCAGAACUGAGUAAAAUGGAAAAAGAGAUUGGACCAAGAGUAGUCAUUUUUGUUGGCUUGUGUUUAUCAAAGACAGCUGAGUUCUAGAGUCAGCCACUAGGAAGACAAAUUCCUGAUUCUAUUACUUUAUGAUCAUGACAAAGGCAGUAUUGGUACUACAUCCCUACAUCAAAACAACAACAACAAAAAACAAACAAACAAACAAAAAACCGCAGCUUUGGCUUCCAGUUUUUUAUAGUUUCCUUCCUAAGCAUGGAAGAAAGUACAAAUCUGGAAACAAUAUUGAUGUAAGUAGUUUCCUCAAUCAGAUCUUCCAGUCAUAGAGAGAGCAGUGAAUCUUGCCUAAAGGAUCUUUCUUGGCAUGCCUUUUAUGUUCUUCAAACUCUUUAUGUUUCCCAAUAAAUCUCUUUCUGAUUAAAUUAUCUAUAGUGGAUUCUGUUAUUGGCAACUAUGAUUCCUAAUGGACCAAACUGCUGUGGGGUUGGUAACAUAGAGGCCAGAAACAAUGAGAUAAAAUACAUUGCAAAAGAAAUGGUUAUUAUUGUUACUAUUACUAUUAUUAUUAUGUAAAUUAUUUAUGAAUGCUUAAAGUUGUUUAUAAUUAUGUAACAUUCUGGGUUCAGUGAUAAAUUGUUUGCUUUGUUUUGUUAACACCCAUCCACACCUCAACAUGAGCCAGCAUUCCAAAAGGAUAUAAGAGGCUGACACUAGAACCACUAUUCUAGUUUUUACUGGGUGUUUGUAAAACUGAUUUUCUCACAUGACAUGUUCUCAAUUCUUUCUCAUGGGACUGUACUUUACCUAAUAAGGAAAAAUUGGUGAGGAGUAAGUAUAUAAAGUUUAUUCUUAGUUUCUGCCUGUAUUUCAUGCUCUAGUCAUUCAAAUACCCUUACCUACAGCAUUACUAUAGGCAAUUUAUCACUGAGCAUAGCCUCAGAGUGCUUAAAUCUGAGUCCUCUUGCUUUUCAUUUCAACAAAUGCUUAGCACAAAGGGUUCUUAUUUGUUGUUGGGAAAAUCUCUGUCUUUAACAGUCCAUUUGUUCUCUCAUUUUGCAGUAAUAGAAAACCAGCUGUGUAACUAAAAUGCAUGCAUGACAUAAUUCUCAUCAAAUGAUAUUAACUUACUCAGGUAAAAUAUUGAACAUACAAUAACUUGAAAAUAAUGUAUUAUCAGCCACCGGUUUGCUUCAGUUUUAUGUUUUGUAUACCUAGCCUAAAUUAACUUUUUUACAAAGGAAUAAGAAUUUUAAAAGCACUAGUAUGGUGUACAUUCCAUAAGAACAAGGACAGUGUGUUAACUCAUCUUUCAUCAAUGUGACAGAAACAACAACAACAAAAUAACAAGAACAACAUAGAGGAGUAAGUAACUUCUGAUAUCAGAAGUUCAGUCCAUAGAGAACUGACUCCUUUGCUCCAGGUUCAAGAUGAGGCAAGAGCAUUCUGGUAGAAGGAUAUGGUGAGAGGUGCUGCUCCAUUCAUUGCAUCAAGGAAGCUUCCUUCCAGGGCAUACCCUCAGUGAACAACCUCACCCAAUCACCUGCCUACUGUUAUCACUUAGUCCAUUCAAAUUAGGAUGGACUGAUUUGAUUACAGCUCUUGGAAUCCAAUCAUGUCUCCUCCAAACAUUUGUGUUAUAACACAGGGUUAUUUUAAGGGACACCACAUAUCCAAACCACAACAGAAAAGUUCUUAAACUCAUCUCCAAAGUAAAUUUAAGGAAAAGAGCAAAAAAUUGCCUGCAUUGUUCAGAACUAUCAGUCUUUUGUAUUUUUUUUAAAUCCCAUUUCUUAAAGCCAUGGGGGAAAGAAAGAAUAGAAAUGACUGAGCCCUAGAGAAGAGGGGAUAAACAGCUGAUAAACAUAACUUGUUUUUUCCUAGAAUAUUCUGAGUUUCACCCUCAUGGUUUCUGUCAAAGAUAAUAAUAACAAAAAUAACUAAAACAAAAACAAAGAAUGAAUUUGCUUUGAAUCAGUCUGCGUGGCCCAGACAUCUUUGAUGAGGAAGAAGAUUCAGAUUCUUCAUUAUAUUAAGCUAUAUAAUUUUUAAAAAUUUUUUAGUCUGAGUCUUUCUUUAAUUUAGCCUUCUGAUAAAAUAUAUUCAAACUUUUUAAUUAGUGUAGAAUAUUUAACUAGUUUAAAUUUAACAUUAUGUGACUAUUAAGUGGGAAUUAAAAAAAUAAAAUAAAGAGGAUUCCCUAGUUACCUUCACUCCCUUUCUCCACUCUUCUGGAGAAUUUCGGUACCCUAUAUUUGCAUUAUGCAACUGGUCUCCUUGUUUCAAUAAGUUCCCAACUCAAAAAUUAGUAAACUUUUUCUGUAAAGAAUCAUUUAGUGGAUAUUGUAGGCUUUUGUCUCUGUUGCAAAUACUUAACCGUAUUGUGCAAGCACAACCACAAACAAUAAUUAAACCAACAUAUCUGACUAUGGUACAAUAAAACUUUUUUUUAAUAUAAAAACAGGGAUUAGACUAGAUUUGGUGUAUAGACUUCUGUUUUCUGAUCUCUGCCCUUAAAUUAAUUAACCAAUCAAUCAAAAUAAUUUGUUUUAAAAAAGCACACCACCAGUUUGGUAACUAUAACAUUUAAAAUAUUCUUUGGAGAUGGAUAUAGUGGAUUUUUUAAUGUCAAGUAAAUGUUAUUUAACAAAGAAUAUCAAAGGACAUUAGAUUUGGGGUCCAGGGCAGAAAAGCAAGUAGUGGUUUCAACAUUUACAAAAAAAAUGUCCAGAAAAUCAAAAGCUUUUGCAUAGGAAAUAUGGUCAGGAGAAAACAGAAGGUUAUUUGCUCCUUCAGAGCAUUAUGUUCCAAACUUAUAGACAUUCAUCUUUCUCUUCUGCUUUCCUUCCAAAAUCCAUUUGAUGAACAGAUUUGUCUUCUGGUAUAAAGACUAUGGAUCAUUCGAAUUAAGUAACCUGAAAAAGGUGAACAUUGAAAAGUGUUCAAAUGAAUUGUACUUAGCACUUAGCUUGAAGGGGACUUUCAACAAACAAAUGUUUUGGUAUCUUUUUUUUCUUUGAAAGGUAAUUAUUUAUUAUGGUAGAAAUUACAUAAAAUACACAUUGAUUUAUUGUGCAUGUUUCAUGUUAAUUGAAUCUUCAAGUCGGAUAGCUGCUAUAACUUGAUACAUUUACUUCUUGGUAUUGUCUUGGCAAUGUAUGUAAUUUUUGAUUUCUUAUUGAGGAUAAUGCAUAUAAGUUUCAGAAAUAACCUCUAAGCACCAAGACAGAACUUUUGAUGUCCAUUUUGAUUGUAGUUAUUUUAGGCUUAAAACAGCCAAGAUCCCAUUCCACAUGAAAACAUACACUAACCCUCUGAGAGUUGUCAAAAGAAACAUUAAAUCCCCAUAUUCAUUGAUAAAGACAAUUUCAUUUUGUUGCUCCUUCUUUCCUCUCCAUUUCUUUCUUAAUAGUUUUAUUUCCAAGUAUUCAUGCUAGACAUACAAAAUGACAUUAAUGCACUUGUAAGAGUUUGGAAGAUGAUAGAGCAGAGCAUAUCAAAACUAUCCUAGAAUCUGUGUCAACAUUUAUUCUUUAUCUCGAAAUAAAGAAAUGAAGAUUAUUAAUUUGAAAUGAACAUGUAUUUCUAAUCAUUAAUAUAACAUGCUUAACAUAUAUACCCAUGUUUUAUAAUACACAUUUAUCCACUUAUAUUUAUUGUAUAGAUUGACAUUAGUAACUUCACUUAGUUUCUAUUAAAGAUGACCCUGUCUCAUAUGGAAUUGCCAAUAUAUCCUGAGCAAAGAGUCAAUAUUCCCUGAUGUGGAAUGCAUAAGACUAUAAAUGCUGUGGAAAAGUCUCAAUAUGUCUCAUUUUAUAUUAUGUGUUGUGAGUGAUUUUAUCUUAAAAUAGCAUGCUAAUUAAAAUAUCAACUUUUUUCCAAGCCACUAAAGAAUUAUCAUAGAAGCAGUAAAGAAAUUUCAAAAAGAAUAAAGAUCAUCAACUAUUGUUUAAAAAAACAAUCAUUUAUUAUUGUUUUAAAGAAACUACUUAAAAUGAUGUUUUAAAGGAACAAAUUUGUUUUGUGGAAUAUUUUUAUAAACACAAUUCCCAGUUGAAAAAGUGGCUUGAUUAGAAUAAAAAGUAAACAAGCAUUUCAACCACUGAAAGGGACUCUAAGUAGAUUUCAUUAUUACUACCUUGUUCCUAUUCCACUGUUUCCUUCCCUACUUCUGUAUUGAGAUGAGUUCUUGAAGUUCAUCUCCCAUCAUGCCACUACCUCUGUAAACAUUCCCUUCUUGAAAGAAUUGUGUUCAACACUUUGUGAUCAUAUUAUUUUUUUUCUCAUCUUUCAACAUUUUAUUAAAAGCAGAUACUCUUGCCACAUUAGACUACAUGAGCAUUUCUAUAUAGGCUUUGUCUAGAAAAUCAUGGACCUUUCUCUUCCCUUUCUCUAUCAAAUCUUUGCAUUGUCAAAUGCUAUCUUCUUUAUAAGUCAUUUUCUAUCCUCCCCAUUGAGAUUUUACCUUAUUCUUUUAUGUUCUCAUUUUUCAUAGUUGUCUUAUCUUUUAUGUGGUUUGAAAGAAACAACUAUUUUUUUUUCUUAUUUGUCAUUGUCCACAUAAGGGUUCUUUGAUGAGUUGAAUUUGUUUCUCCUACUCCAGGACCAUAAACUGUCUCUACUUGAUUUCUUUCUGAGCCCCAUCACUGAAUACCCUUUAGUAUGAAAAAUAAUUUUUCAAAAUUUUUGCAGCCAUUUUUAUGUUUAAUUAAAUCAUGCACUUCAGGAGGGCAAAACCCAUGAAUUAGUUUUUAUUCAAUCCUGGUGACACCUAAACCAGAGCUUACUAAGUUUAUGACAGUUAGUAGGUAUUUGUUAACUAAGCACAUAAGCAUUAUUUGUGAUUUAAUGCUAUGGUUUUGCUUAGUACUGGACCUAUACUCAAUAUAUUUUGUAUCAGAUUAUACUUUUCAAAGACAAUCGCAUAAUAUUUCUCUUCCAUUAACACUGUCUAUGUUAGGAAGUAAAUUGUCUGUACUCUCCUCUUGCACUUGAGUAGGCUCUUGGGUUGCUUAUAAAUAAUGCAAUGCUGUGGAAACAAUACAGAUAACUUCUGAAUCUUAGUUAUAAAAGACUCUGGGGCUUCUUGCUUUGUUUUCCAGAACAUUCUUACUUGGAGACCUGAGUAGCCAUAUAAGAAAUCUGACUACUGUGAAACUACCACCGUCUGAGGAAGCAAGGAGAGGAUACAUGUUGACUCUACAGUUUGAAAUCACAGUCUUCUGAGUUCAGGUGUCAGUCAUGUGAGUGUUAUAGUCUGAACAUGUUUGUUUCCUCAAAAAUUCAUGCUGAAACUUAAUGCAAUAGUAUUGGAAGGCAUUUCCUUUGGGAGGUGAUUAAGUCAUAAGAGCAGAGUCUUCAUGAAUAGGAUCAGGGGCUCUUAUGAAAGGCAUUGACAGAGGCCUUCUGUCUCAUCUACCACAUACAGAAACAUGAUCCUUCCCUCUAGAGAAUGAGGCAUCAAGGUGCCACAUUGGAAGCAGAAAGCACACACAUAAAUUAUCAGAAAAGCACCACUAAGGAUUCAUAUUGGAGUUGCAACUAGCAUUAUUCAAGGGUUUAUGGUAUAUUUUUAUCAUCCAACUAAAAUGAAGUAAAAAAGACUGGCAUUGCAGUCAAGUUCAUAUCAAUGCAUCGAAGGGAAAGAAUCAGCUAAUGUUAUACUUGCUUACUGACAUCAUUAAUUAGUGAUAUUCAUUUGAUCUAGGUGUAUAAAAAUAGUAGAUAGAAUUUAUUCUUGAAAUAAACCAUGGAGACUAAAAUUGAUAGUAGUACCUAAGAGAGAGGAAAGGUUAUAUUUUGGAGUUAGUUUCAUAGUACAAAUCUAUAUAUCACUGUGCCUUUUUAAUGCAUCCCUACAUUAAUCUUAGAUUUAAUGUGUGAAGUAUAUGGAACAAAGAGACCUUAAGGAUUGUAUCAGAGAAAAAGGAACUUGGCUUUGUUUUUACUAUUUUUGAGCACAUAUUGGUUUGACUAAUUCCCAAGAACUAUAUUUUAGUAAUACAUAUUGAGGGUCAAGUUUUAUUUAUUUAUAUAUUCAAAUUUGCAGGAAAUUCUCCACGAUUCCAAAGAGAAUGUCCUCUUUCUCCAUUUACUGUAGGAUUAUUUCAUUGCCUGGUACAUGUUUCUGUGGAAUUAAAGUAAUGUGAUUUGAGUUGGAAUAAAUUUGCCUCACUCAAAAAAAUAAUAAUAAGCACCAAACUUGUAGGUGCUUUUUAUUUGAUUCAUUUACUCAAGAAAACAAAAUUUUAUUUGUAAUUAUUGGUUUGAUUCUUUUGAGGAGAUGCCAAUACUCAUACUUACCUAAGACAAAUAUUUAUAAAUAAUUAUCGAAUUUUCCUCAUUUAGUCUGGUAAUAGGGUCAGAAUUCAUAAUGGAGUGAUUCAUUGAAUAUCUAUGAAAUUCUGAAAAUUGGUGUAUGACUUGAAAUGUUGUCAUUCUUGUUUACUGGUAUCAUUAAUUGAUAUUUAAUAGAGAUAACUAUAUACUUAUUUGGGAAUAAUUGAAAUCAAUAUCUAGAACUUGCUACUGGCUGAUUAUUUUUAAUCUGACAUGUAUAUAUAUGCAACUUCUAUAGAUUAGAUAAAUGUAUACAUUUAUUAAAAUUUUAAUAAAACAGUGCAUGCAAUUAAUUUUUGUACCUUAAGUAUGUUUGAAAUUCUUUUUUAAAAAAUUAUAUACAGGGGCCGGGGUUGUGGCUCAGAGGUAGAGCCCUUGCCUAGCAUGCAUGAGGCACUAGGUUUGAUCCUCAGCACCACGUAAAAAUAAAAUAAAGGUAUUGUGUCCAUCCGCAAUUAAAAAAUAAAAGUUUAAGAAAAUUAUAUAGAAUUUCUUUCCAGAGCAGUUGGAACAGAAACAUAUGAAAAACUUUCUUCUUCAUGCUUUCUUUAAUUUCUGCUCUAUAACAAUUUAAACCUAACCAUAGGUAGAUUACAUUAUAAUCAAAGUGCUUCAACAAAGAGCACAGACACUUACCCAGAAAAGGAUAUGGGUAGGAAUAUUUUAGGAUACGAUUAUGUUGUCCUAUAAAUGGAGGCAAAUUCUUAAAAAGAUUUUUUUUGUUUGAACUUCCAUAUAUCUGUGAUUAAGUUUUUUAUUGAUUCAAUUUAGUUAUGCAUGACAGUAGAAUUCAGUUUGACAUAAUUAUAAAAGCAUAGGAUAUAAUUUGUUCUAAUUCACUUCCCAGUACUUCCCCUUCAUCUCCCCUCCUCCCUCUCCCUUUUCCUGCCCCUCUGUUCUAUUAAUCUUUUUGCUCUCUACUUAUAGUUUCUUUUUAAUUAGUGUUUUAUAGGUGUGCAUGAUGGUGAGAUUCACUGUGGUAUAUUUAUUAGGUACAUAGGAAAAUUAGGUCAGAUUCAUUUCAUUGUCUUUCCCUUCCCUGCAUUUCCUUUUGCCUACUCCACGGAUCUUUCUUCUUUUUUUUUAAUAUUCAUUUUUUAGUUGUAGUUGGACACAAUACCUUUAUUUUUAUGUGGUGCUGAGGAUCAAACCCAGGGCCUCACACGUGUUAGACAAGUGUUCUACCACUGAGCCACAACCCCAGCCCUUUUCUUCUAUUCUUAAAAAGAAGAAUGACUUUAUGAUAUUUGCCAGUAAAUGAAUGGAACUGGAGACUAUCAUGCUAAGUGAAAUAAGCUAAUCCUCAAAAGUCAAAGAUCAAAUGUUUUCUCUGAAAUGCAGAAGCUAAUCCCAAAUAAAGAAUGGGGAAUAAAAAAAGAUUGAGAGAGAAUAGAAUAAAGAUCUAUGAUUAAGUUUUGAGGCACUGCUACUUUAGGAACAAAAAGCUUUCAAGCUUAAAUCAUUCUUAGUGUAAUGUUCUCCUAAAGACAAAUGGGAAUGUUUCUAGCUGAGAAGUUGAAAGGUGAGAAAAGGCUAAGCUAAAACUAUCCUCACAGUACAGUGUUUCACUUAAUGAUAAAUGGUACUGCUUCAACCUGAGAAGAUGAAAGAUUUUGCAUUUACUUUGAAGCACAGCAAAAGCCAAGUGCUCACUACUACUGAUUUCAGGUGUGUCUAAAUAAGUGGAGUAAAUGGUAGAGUACAAGCCAUUAUUACACUGAGAAAAAUGUCAUUACUUGUCUCUUUCUUCUGGAAAACACAUUUUGUGCUGCCAAGGAAAAUCUUGUUGUCCAUAGAAGAAAAUUCAAAAAAAAUUAAAUGCUUAAUCAAAUCAUCUUUUUAUUCUUUUUCAGAAGAAUAUUUUAGAAAAAAAAAGAUCAAAGCUCACCAAAAUUAUCAGUUUAUUACUUUCCAAAACCUUUUGUAAUUGAGUACUUGUAAUGUGAAGCAUCCAUCAAAGAAUUUCAAUUUAUUUUGCUUAAACAUGUCACAUCCAUAAAAAGAGAAAUUAUUUGCAUAGUUUGUUGAUCAGAUUUUGUGUACACAAAACAUCUUAAAAAUAGAAGAUGACUUGCUUUUAAGUGAAGAAAAGGGCAAGCAAGAAAGGAGAUAUGAGUCAGUAUUUGAAUAUAUGCAAGUGUCAGGAUGUCUAUCUCCCAGAUUUUCAUUCAAACAUUUCUCACAAAAGGAUUAUUUUUCAAUUUUCAUAAAGGAAUGGUCCACAUUUAUAUAUCUCCACUGGCUUAUGACCAGUGUUAUUAGAGAGUGAACAGAACAUUCAGUCAGUAUUAUCCUAGAAAUUAUAAUUCUUAAAAGAGUACUAUUCCACCAUCUACAAUGACAACACAACUGAGAUUGUAGAUAAACUAAAACUUAAAUAUCUAGAAAUGACUAGAAUAAUUAGUGCCCAUAAAACAUAUAAUAGCUCUCAAUUUCUUCUUAGAUAAACUAUAAAGUUGUUCUUAUUUAGCUAUAGAUCUUGCUCUAAUUAAAAAGAAAAUGCUCCUAACUUUCUCUUUCUAUUGGUUUAUUGACCUGACUUCCUACCAUAAUCUGUUCCCACAAUUAGACUUGUAAAAUCAACCAUUUUUCUUUGCCUACUAAGACUUUUCAGACUAGAAAUAAGGGGGAAAAGGACAAGGAAACACAUUAGCUUGGUGACCAAUUCCUGUCCAUUUCCAAUAUGAAAUAUUCCAGGAGAAACUGCCUUGGACACUCUGCUGAUGCCAUGUUCUGCCCUGUGUUAAAAAUGGCCAUCUGAAUCAGAUCUUGGCUUGCUGUGCCUUUUGAAUACAGUGCCAUGGACUGCUCAUGGAGACUGGUGAGUUCUGCCCAAAUGAAUCCCUAACAUUCCCAGUCCAUUCCCAAACCUUUGCACAUUCAAAGUAUUUCUUGACUCCUUUAGAAUAAAUUUUUAGUUUCUUCAUCAUUGUCAUGUGGGUGGAUACAGGUUGAUUAAAAUUAGACUGUGUUGCAUGUAGUUUAUAAAUCCCUGGCUAAUUAUUUUGUUUUCCUUUUUCUUUCUUCUAUUUUUUGAUGAUAAACUUUGACCAGGGAGGGUUGUAGGAUAAUAAUGGAAAAUGCUAAUUUUUAUUAGUUCUUAAAAAUACUAUUUAUUGUAUAAAAACCAUAAGUUGCUGGGGGUGUAACUCAGUGGUAGAACAUCUGCUUAGCAUUUUUGAGGCCCUGAGUUCAAUCUGCAGGACCAAAAUAAAUAAAUAAAUCAUAAGAGAGAAGAAUAUGCAUUGAAGCAUAUUCUUUACUCUUCCUGAUAUUUAUUUUGUCACUAUGCAAUUUAUCUGGCUAUAGUGAUCAGAUUUCUGUUAAAAGAAAUACAUUUAUCUAUAUGUAAGUCUAAUUGUGUGUAUACAAGCAUGCAUAAGUUGUGGUGAGCCAUUCUUAUAGACCGUGGCCGCCAUUAGAAGAUGGCGCCGGCUUCCACUGUGGCCUGUGAUAAACAACUCCUUUUUUGGAGAGUUGGCACGCAAUCCCUUACCACCCUAUGAGAGAGAUCCACGUGGCAGCUUGGGAUUGGUAUGCGGGAGGCUUUAUUAGGCUGUGUUUGGGCACUCGGUGGGGGGGUCACUAGAAGAUGAUACAUGAAUCAAGGCCUGAAUAAACUGCUGAAAGAAGAAUCCUGUGUCGUGUUUUCCCUUGCCGGCGAGGGGUCGCGACAAUAAGUGUGUGUAGAUAGAUAGAUAUGAAUCUGUAUUUAUUUUCUCUUUCUCACUGUGAUGUGUAGCCUAUCGGUUUAAUUCCCUUGGCAGUUGAAAGGGCUGCCUGAAGCUAUUCUUCAAUCCCAGCUGUAUUUUGGAAUUUUCUUGGCUAAGAAAGUUACCUAUCCCAAAGUCACAGUUUCUAAGAUACAUCAUAACUAAUGACUAUUCAAUGACAGAGCAUAAAAAUUACUUCCUCCCCCCAAAUAAUAAGAAUUCUGAAGGACUAUAUGAGUUUCUGGUUGCCUAUUGUUUCAGUGAGACGACGUUGUAGCCCAUCUUUUUUCUCUGAACUAUCUUAAUUCCUUCCUUCUGUCUCCAGGAUGCCAUUCUAAAAGUACUCCUGAUAAAUUUCUUUCAUGCUGAUCUUCAUCUCAGAGUCUACUUCCCAAAGCACUCAUGUUCUAAUACACUAUUCUAAAAAGUCAGUUUAAAAUACUUAAAUAGUAUUGUUAUUAAAGCCUGGAAUCUAGGGCUUUUUUAUUUUAAUAUUCAUGAAAGGUUCAGUUAGGAUAAUAGAAGCGUUACAGCUCCAUUUGUGCAAAANUCAAACUUACUCAUAAAUGAGUCAUUCCACUCAAUCAAUUAGAAUAAGAAGAGCAAGAGACUACAACUUAAAGUUUCAUUGGUAAAUUUCAAAGCUCAAUGAGUCUGAUGGAUAUAUAUCUGGAGAAAAGUCUAAUGAUUUCAUUUUUAUCUAUGCUUAAUCUUACAUCUAACAAAAGAAGGAUAAGGGAUAAAAAAUAUAACUGCAUGUGUUAUCUAUUAUCUGCACUCUAGUUAUAAUUAUUGGAAAAUUUGUCCCACAUGUCACUGGAAAUUGAGAUUCUAUUUUUGACAAAAGGCAUUCAAAUGGUUAUUUUCACACCAAACCCAAAAAUCACAUUUACAGAACACAUUUUAUUCCCUUAAAGCACCAUUGAUACUAAAGGCUCAGCAAACAAUCAAACUCUAUUUAAUUAUUCACCAUAAUGCUUUUUAGUAGAAAAUCAAGUUUUCUAGUUUUUAUUAGAUUUAUAUGGCUGGUUGUUAUCUUGUUAGAGCUUAGGCUUUCUUUAGAGAGGAAAUCAACAUAACUGGUGCUAUGAAAGCAAAAAUAAAGAUCUUUUGUUUCUGGAAAAACAAUAACUAUAAAAUCCAAUCAGAGUUUGUGAACUUUUGGAGCAAACUGCUUUGGGGGCUUAUUGAGGGUACCUCUUCACAAUUACAUCAUUCUGCCUUACUGUUUGUUCAUCUGAUUUUUUCCAUUCAAAUUACAACAUCCUUUACUUCUUGAAUGGUAUAAGCUUUUCUCUCUUGGUCUGCAGCAGGGGGAAUCCAGAAUAAGGAAAGAGCUGUUGGUUGAUUAAAAUUGACAUAAUAACAAUAACUAUCCUGCUUUGUACAUGAUCUUGAGUAUGCUUCUUUUUAAUAUAUAAAAACCAUAUGAUGAUGACACUUCUCUUUAUUCUUUUCAUUAUUUAUUCUUUUCCCAGUAUUUGUAACUGUAUUCUUAAAUGCUCAGACUUUUCUUUUUUAUAGAAUCUUCUUGACAGAUGCCAAAUUUAUUGCUAUGCACAAAAAAAGAGAUCCAUUGUGAAGUAUUAUAAGGUUAAAAAAAUCAGCUGAAUUGUAAAGAUAGAAAGUCAUACUCAAACUUUUAGACCACUUAGUGUGUGUUUCUGGAACUUGAGAGUGCAUAAGGAUCAAAAUAUUUUAUUAAAGACAGAACAGAGCUCCACCCACAGAAUUUCUAAUGGCAGCAUGAAGGUAGCUUAAAUUCAUUGGUGGGACUGUAACAGGGACCACUUUGGCAUUUAUACACAAUGGAAUAUUACUCAGCAUUAAAAAAGAACAAAUCAUGGCAUUUGCAGGUAAAUGGUGUUGGAGAAGAUAAUGCUAAGUGAACUCAGCCCAUCCCGAAAAAACAAAUUUCGAAUGUUUUCUCUGAUAUAACGGGGGUGACUCAUAGCGGGGUAGGGAGGGAGAGCAUGGGAGGAUUAGAUUAAUUCUAGAUAGGGAAGAGGGGUAAGAGAGAAAGGGAUGGGGAAGGAGGUUAGCAAGGAUGGUGGAAUGUGAUGGUCAUCAUUACACAAAGUAAAUGUAUGAAGACUUGAACUGGGUGUCAACAUACCUUAUAUACAAAUAGAGAUAUGAAGAAUUGUGUUAUAUAUGUGUGUUAAGAAUUGUAAUGCAAAAAAGUACAUGUAUAAUGACAUAAAUUGAUGUGAACAUACUUUAUAUACAGUUAUGAAAAAUUGUGUUCUAUAUGUGUAAUAAGGAUUGUAAUGCAUUCCACUGUUGUUGUGUAUUUAAAAAAUAAUAAAAUCAAUAAAAAAUAAACAAAAAAAGAACCAUUGCAUUGGAGCAAUUUUCUUGUAGACAUGUUUUCUCUUGCCUUGUCAUUAUGCACUAUAAUUUUUUUUUAAAUUUGUUCCCAAUGUUUAUCACUUGGAAGAUGUCACAAAAAGUUCUUUCCCUGGAUACUCUAACAAGAUAAAAUAAAAUAAAAAAUUAUGUCAGCAUGUGACUACAUUCACACAAAACAAGAAUCUUUUGAACCAAGCAGCAGCCACAUGCUAUCAAUGAGCUUCAUUGUGAUCAGUUACUCUGGCUUACUUGUCUUUUAUCUCUAAAUGUUCCAAGUACCAACAUUUUGAUAUACAGAGUUUCCAUUGUCACAUGUUUUCACAUUUUAAAAUUUCCAUUUUGAAUUCUAUUUUAAUUUAAUUUUUAUUUAUUGAAUUUUAUUUUAUUUAAUUUUAUUAAUUUAAUUUUUAUGUAUUGAAUUCCAUUUUUAUUUUAUUUCUCUUUAAUAUAUGUGUUAUUUAGUAGUGUGUUUUGUCUGAAUAUUUGUAUCAAUUGCUCUAUGUGUGUAUACGUGUAUAUAUACAUAUAUAUAUAUAUAUAUAUAUUUACAUAUAUGUGCAAUGUAUACAUAUAUAUGAAACUAUUUUUAGUCAUUGUUUCUAUUAUGUUUAGAAAAUAUGUUCUGUAUAGUUUUAUGAAGGACAUAUUAUUAUACUUAUUUUUAAAAAUUUUUGAGAAUUCUCACAUGCAGUUUAAAAUGUCAGUUUUUGCAAAUGUUCCAUAAGCAUCAAAAGAAUAAUGUCUGUUGAUUUGGACGUUCAUUAUAGAUCAAUUAAAUCAUACUUGCUUUUUAUUUUACAAGUAUUCUAUAGAUAAUCAUUGUUUUUCUCCUUAUAUUAAUUUCCUCCAUGCAAUUGUGGGUAUGUUAAUUUAUACUUAAAUUGUUUUAUUUUUGCUCCAUUGAAUUGCCCCAGUGUUGGAAAUAAUAUAUUUCUACCAACACAUUUUUUCCAGUUUUUAAACUUCUAAAAAAUGUAAUAAUGCAAUUUGCAUUUUAUUGUACCUGACUUAUUUGCUAAAAGUAUUUUUGAGACUCACCCAAGUGAUUUUACUCAUCAGAGGUCCAUUUUUUAAAAAAAUUGUAGUAUUCUAUUGUUUGACUAUACCACAAUAGUUCUUUAUCUUCCCAUUUGCUGUUUAUUCCAAUGUUUAUCCAUUUAGGUUAGAUCAUGUUCUUAGUUCUAUUAGUUAGUGACUGCUUUGCUCCUUUUAUCUGCAUAGUAUGCAUACAUUCUAAAAAAGUACAAGUGCUGACUUUGUCAAAGUUUUUGCUAUUACUAAAUUAUUGACUUAAUGAGCAUCAUAAAGAAAGCAAUUCCUCACAACCUGUUUUGACUGUUAGUCAGCUACUUACUUAGUAAGUAUAUUGAGUAUAUAUAUAUAUAUAUAUAUAUAUAUAUAUAUAUAUAUAUAUAUAUAUAUAUGACUCUAGAAAUGCUGAAAUCAAUUAGUUCCUUGUGACACUGAAUAUGUAGAAUUUUUAUGAUGUGAGUUUAGUGCUGUGAAUCAAUAACUAAAAUUUGUGGUAAACUCCUUAAAGGCACAAAAUAGGAGGUAAAUAUCAGUAGGUGUUCAAAUGCAUGACAAGUUUCAUCUUGGUGAAGAAAAAGAGCCUUCCUUGAAAUUGUAGUCCAGAAAUUUGGUGGUGAGAUGGUUAUGAUCUGAAUGAUCAAACAUUGGAGAAAAGAGGAAAUAUUUAAUUUAGAAAAAAAAUAAUAUAAAUAGAAGCAUCUAUGUAGAACAUUUUGUUAUUAAAUGCACAAAAUUAUAUGCAUAAAAUUCUACAAUUUUUGUAAGAUAUGUUCAAUGGCUAUGUAAAAUCCAAAGAUUGUAAAGCUUUUAGUAGUAAUUUGAAAAAUCAACACAUAAGGUAGGGAGAACAGUUCCUACAGUGUGCCUGAAAUGGAAAAGGUAUGAAAAAUGGUAAUGGGACAUAAGAUUACAGUAUAGAUUGAGAUUAUCUCUUGAUUCAGAAUAAGUUAAAUUUCUCAUGAGCCUUUCUGAUUUGUACUUUUGAAAACUAGAAUGUAAUGCUUAAUUCAUUUUCCCAUAAAGGCAGAAAACAGUGACUUGCCUGAUACCUUACUUAGGUAGACCAAGAACUCAUCAGAGGUAUGUGAGUAAAUAUUGAUUCAGUGUAAAUGAUGUGAUGGUAAUUACAGUCCAAAGGAAGAUUUAACUGAGCUAACCUUGCAGGGCAGGGUGAUACAUGCUGCAAUUAACUGGCAUAGCUUCACAAGAAUCUCGUAACAUGGACAAAAGUCCUGCUUACUAGACAAACAAGAAAAAUAUAUGUUAUAGGUCUGGUCAUAGCAAUAACAGUAGCUGUAUUUGUUUUAGUUAGUGACAUGCUGUAAGGCAGCCUAGUGAUAAUGUAAUAAUGCUAGAUGCUUUUUAUGGACAUUAUAACACAUUUUUAUACUAGAGGAAUUAUUGAGUUGUAAUUAUUACUGUUUUGUUUUGCAAUUAUUUUAUCUAUUUGAACUAAACUCCCUUCAAAAUGCAGUAUUGAAGAAAAAAAAAAUGACUCAAAUUCAAAUGGUUGAAAAUCCUGGCUAAUAAACAAUAGUAUCCAGAUUAAAAAUUCAGCUUUUUAUUGAAAGUUAAGAGUUAGGGAAAUUUUAGAAGUGUUAACAUUGAGCUUAUGAUUCUCAUUAUCUGUUGUUUUAUAAUAAAACACCCCGAGAGUUAAUGACUUCAGUAACAGUUUCUAUUUUAUCUCAGGGUUUGUGAAUUGACCCGGCAUAGUUGGGCAGUUCUCUUUUGGAAUCUCUGAUGCAGUGGGAGUGAGGUGAGAUGACGAUAUUUAUUUGAAGGCUCAGCUGAUGUGGAUAUCCAAGAGUGCUCCUACUUUUGGCUGGAAACCCAUUUGCUGUCAGAAGGGAACAUGUCUCUGGGUUUUAAACAAUCAUUUCUAAAUAUUGCCUCCAUGUGGUCUCUCCAAAUGAUCUGAAAUUCUCAAAGCAAGUGAUUCUGAGAAGCAAGAUCUUGAAAAUGAGCAUACCAAGAGGCUGACAAGUCAACAAAGGGCUUGUAUUAGUUUCCAGUACCAAAGUGUCACACACUUUGUGAUAAACACAUUCUAUGGCUUAAAGCAACAGAUAAGUAUCUAUCUAUAUCUAUCUAUCUAUCUAUAUCUAUAUAUAGAUAGAUAGAUAGAUAGAUAGAUAGAUAGAUAGAUAUAGAUAGAUAGAUAUAGAUAUAGAUAUGGUUUGUUUGUUUGUUUUGUUUUUGGUCUUCCAGUUCUGAGAACAGAAGUACAAAACCAAGUUGUUAGUUAGGCCACACUCCCUCUGAAAGUGUUGAUGCCUCUUUCCCAUUUCUAAUAGCCACCAGCAUCCCUCAUUUCUUAUCAAUAGUAAAUGAUGAAUGUACCUGUCUCUAUGUCUUUACUUUCUUUUUUAAUAGGGACACUGUUCAUAUUGGAUUAGGGCCUUCCUAGGAUCUCGUUAUAUCUAUAAAAGCCUUAUAUCCUAACAAAGUCACAUUCUGAUUUCCUGGAGAUUAGGACUUGAGCAUAUAUCAUGUCUUGAGGACACAAUUCAACCCAUAAUAGGACUAUGUCUCAACUGACAUAGUAGAAUAGCUUCUGUAUUCUAUUGAUCAAAGAAAUCUCAGGGUCUGCCCAUUCUUGAAGAGCUAGAGCAUAUACUCAACUUUUUUAAUGCUUUGGUAAGUUAUAUUCAAAACAUUUUAAGGAAUCAGGGGCAGUGAUAUAGUCAUCUUUGGAAAACCAGCCCCUCAUAUUACACACUUCACUCACAGUGAUAUAGUUUUCUUUCAUAGGCAAUAUUCACCCAUUGUAGAAAUCAAAUUGCAGCACAUCUGAACCAAAUGUUAGUAUGUGUAAAGCUCCACAGGUACAGUUUCUUGAGGAUACCACUUUUUCUAGUAUAGUCACUUAAUUUGAAUGUCUUUGAACUAAAGGGAGAGUUAUCUACCCCUCAUACAUUGGCAUAUGAUAUUAAGAUAAGAAUAGAUAACCACAGUGGACUUUCUGGUCCAAAAAGUACAGAACAUAAUAUCAUUUAUAGCAUGUAUUAAUCUGUAACCACACUAAAAUCCAACUGGGUACUUGUCCCCUGUUUCUGUGUGAGGAUCCAGAACUUUUCCCUGCUAGUGAUUUUGUGUGUGUGUGUGUGUGUGUGUGUGUUGUUCUACAAUUUAGGUUUUGGAACUAUUAUCAGAGUCAUCAUCCUUUUCUAUCAAAAACAAAAUGGUCUAUGUCUUCAGCUGAGUAUAUUUUUCAGCCAACUUCCUCCUUGUAAGUUUGUAGCUACUAAAAAUGAUGGGAAAAACAAUCCUAAGGAAAAACAAUCCUAAAAUUAGAUCUAAAAUGAAAUCUCUAUACAAAAAGUUACAAAUAUUUUAGGUUGACUUGUUUAACAUGCAUUUCCAAGUUCCNUAUCUCUAUCUAUCUAUCUGUAUCUAUCUAUCUAUCUAGAUAGAUAGAUAGAUACAGAUAGAUAGAUAGAGAUAGAUAUAGAUAUAGAUAUAUAGAUAUAGAUAUAGAUUGUUUGUUUGUUUGUUUUGUUUUUGGUCUUCCAGUUCUGAGAACAGAAGUACAAAACCAAGUUGUUAGUUAGGCCACACUCCCUCUGAAAGUGUUGAUGCCUCUUUCCCAUUUCUAAUAGCCACCAGCAUCCCUCAUUUCUUAUCAAUAGUAAAUGAUGAAUGUACCUGCCUCUAUGUCUUUACUUUCUUUUUUAAUAGGGACCCUGUUCAUAUUGGAUUAGGGCCUUCCUAGGAUCUCGUUAUAUCUAUAAAAGCCUUAUAUCCUAACAAAGUCACAUUCUGAUUUCCUGGAGAUUAGGACUUGAGCAUAUAUCAUGUCUUGAGGACACAAUUCAACCCAUAAUAGGACUAUGUCUCAACUGACAUAGUAGAAUAGCUUCUGUAUUCUAUUGAUCAAAGAAAUCUCAGGGUCUGCCCAUUCUUGAAGAGCUAGAGCAUAUACUCAGCUUUUUUAAUGCUUUGGUAAGUUAUAUUCAAAACAUUUUAAGGAAUCAGGGGCAGUGAUAUAGUCAUCUUUGGAAAACCAGCCCCUCAUAUUACACACUUCACUCACAGUGAUAUAGUUUUCUUUCAUAGGCAAUAUUCACCCAUUGUAGAAAUCAAAUUGCAGCACAUCUGAACCAAAUGUUAGUAUGUGUAAAGCUCCACAGGUACAGUUUCUUGAGGAUACCACUUUUUCUAGUAUAGUCACUUAAUUUGAAUGUCUUUGAACUAAAGGGAGAGUUAUCUACCCCUCAUACAUUGGCAUAUGAUAUUAAGAUAAGAAUAGAUAACCACAGUGGACUUUCUGGUCCAAAAAGUACAGAACAUAAUAUCAUUUAUAGCAUGUAUUAAUCUGUAGCCACACUAAAAUCCAACUGGGUACUUGUCCCCUGUUUCUGUGUGAGGAUCCAGAACUUUUCCCUGUCGCGACCCCUUGCCCGCAAGGAAGAUGCAACUCGGGAAUCUUCUUUCAACAGUUUAUUCAGGCCCUGGAUAUUUCUUCUUCUCCCCCUCUGAUGCCCCUCCCAGCCUUAAUAAAGCAUCCCAAGCCCCAAUGCAAAGCUGCCGCGUGGAGCUUUCUCACAGGGUGAUGUACAGGGUGGUGAAAAAUCAUGUGCCAACUCUCCCAGAUAAGGAGUUGUUUGUCACAGACCACAGCGGAGCCAGCGUCAUCUUGUAAUGGCGACCAUAAUCUGCAGAAACGGCAGAAGCGGCUCACCACAUUUCCCUGCUAGUGACUUUGUGUGUGUGUGUGUGUGUGUGUGUGUGUGUGUUGUUCUACAAUUUAGGUUUUGGAACUAUUAUCAGAGUCAUCAUCCUUUUCUAUCAAAAACAAAAUGGUCUAUGUCUUCAGCUGAGUAUAUUUUUCAGCCAACUUCCUCCUUGUAAGUUUGUAGCUACUAAAAAUGAUGGGAAAAACAAUCCUAAGGAAAAACAAUCCUAAAAUUAGAUCUAAAAUGAAAUCUCUAUACAAAAAGUUACAAAUAUUUUAGGUUGACUUGUUUAACAUGCAUUUCCAAGUUCCUUCUUUUUUACUUAUACAGAGGAUAGCUACGUUUUUCCUCUCAGACUCCUUGCAAUUUAUGAUGUAAUUCUCAUUAAUAAGAUGUAAACAGAAGGUCCCCAUGCUUCCCUCAUCAGAAUAAUGCUGUGAGAGCUAAUUGUUAUCUGUCAUCCAUCCUGCCUUCAAAAUGAGAAGGUCAAGAGAAUUUAGAAAUCUGGGCCCUGAAAUCAUUAAAUUGCUGGAUUGAACUUACAACUGAAUCUUCUGUUGCCAAGAUCCUUUGAGUAAUUGUGUACAUAUGUGAGAACCAUCCCAAGGCACAACAGGGGAGCUACAGAUUCUAUGAUUUAUUGUUACAGAGAGAAAAAGUAGGCACUUACUUUUUUUUUUCCUUAUGCUGCUUAACACAAUUUUACUUCAAGAGGCAACAAGAAGACCACUAUUCUAUUUCUUUGAUAUAAAAGAAUGUAACAGAAAACUUGGUGAAGUUCCUACUUUUAUGUUUCCCAAACUUUUUAGGUAUGGCACAUAGGAAAAUUACAAAUGUUUAUCUUUACAUAUGGCACAUUUUUUUAACAGCAUGCAAAGGCAAUAUGUGAUUGUCUCAAGAAUACUAUCAUAAGUUGGCCAUAAAUAUUAGACUUAAAAAAAGAUUAGCCUUUAGUAAUUAUUCAACUGUAACACAGGUUAUGUUUUAGAAUACACUGAAGCUUGGAGACAAGUUGGUUGGGGAAGGACUGACAUUAAAAUUGUCUUUCAGCAUCAACUAUAGAAUGCAUUCCAAUUUUUAAAACAUAGACAAAAUUUAUGCCUGAAAACAAUAAAACUAAUACACAGUGCAUAUCUUAAUUAUAUUUGGUAUCAAAGAGAUGUGUCAUAAAUUUAUGUGCAAAGAGUUUGAAAAUAUCUGCAAUACCAUUGAUGUUAAUUUGGAGCCAGUUCUGAGAAGCUGGACAAAAAUAUGACUGUACUUGAAUACACCAAAAUUCAACCAUAUUAUACAUUUUGAGAAAGUUUCAGAAAACAUUAAGAAUUUGCUCAGCAAAGAAAAUUUAGAACUACAAGACUGAGAGGAAUAAACUUUGUCAGUAUCCACAUGAAGUAAAGGAAAAGAUUCUGAUUUCUGUAGCCAUAGGACUUCUAACAUGGGUGAGAAACCCUCAAAUUUAAAUCAUGCUUAAUUUUCUUGAUUACCUAGAUCACUGAUCAUUUAGAUUCCCAUGCAGACUUGCUGAGAGGGAAACAUUCUAGCUAGGAUUUAAGUAUUUCUCUCUGUGAAGCCCCAUAAAUACUUUAGACAUAAAUGGGAGUAUUUAAUUCCCACAACACCAUAAGACGGAAAGGUUUCUAAAAAUCUCAUAAGGGAUGACAUACCUGAGAAUCAAUAGUAGAAAUCAAAUGGAUUCUGGCUAAAGAGCUUCGAAGAGUCUGAAUCCUGGAGUGAGACUUAGACAAGAAAGCAGAAUGCAAUAAACAGGAGCUUAGGGCUCUGUGGCAGCCCACUGAAGUGGACCUAAGCCAAAGAAGUAAGGGACGUUUUGAUUAGCACAUUCCUACAAAAUGGUAUUUAUUGAUAGCAACAUGAAAGACACUAAUCAUCCACUUGUACACCAGAAAAAUAAUCUAUGACCUCCAGUAAUGCAUACUAAAACUGACCCCAGAUCCUCCCAUUCUUUUUUCUCCACUGAAUUUAACUCCUGACUUUUGAUUUUGUCCUUAAAAGAUGGAGUCUAUACUUACAGACAUAGCAUGUUUUCAGGCUUCAAGUCUGGAGCAUGAAGACUAACAUAUUGGUAUUUUGUUCAAGAAAACAGUCUUCUUUGCAGGGACUUCUCUCUUUACCCCAUUGUGUGGUGCACUCUGGCCAUUUAACACCUUAAUUGUAGUGAAUUUACUCCAGAACCAUUUUGUAACUCUUUAAAAGAUUUUAAAGAUUAAAAGAUAAACCCUUUAAGAUCUUUAAAGAUUUUGAAAAUCUUUAAAAUACUCUUCAUUAUUCCAUUUCAAUUAAAUAGGUAUCACGAAAUGCUCAGGUUCUUGAUUUGCUGUCAACUGAGUUUCUUUCCCUCACCGGCUGUGAGGUGGAAAUUAAUCAAGAGUGAAGCUUUGCUACAGCAAGAACAUGUCAAAAGAAUAAAGAAAAUACAUGAUUCUACUUGUGGAACUUUAUAAAAGCAAUUUAAAGGUGGUGUUGUUGUAGAAGCAUUAUGAGUAAAAUUUGUAAAAAGCAUAACUCUGACAUAAGAUAAAUUGUAGUAAUGAAUUUUAUCCUAAGGCACUAGAAGCUAUGGAAGAAUUCUGUGUCGGGUCUACCAUGGUCAGAUGUGUGUUUUAAAAACCUCUCUGCCAGCUAUGCAUAUUGAUUAAUUUUUGAUGCUGAUAGGAGAAUACAAUCUUAAGGAAUAAAUUCUAAUGGAAUAUAAAUGAAAGAAAAAUUUCAAAAGUAUUGGGAAGAAGAAAAAAGACACAUGCCGCAAAUGACAAUAGAGGAAGCAAAACGUAUAAGCAAAAACAGUGAAUAUGAAAAAAUAAAUGGACAUAAAAUUAAAUAUUAAAAUGAGGUCUGGGGAUAUAGCUCAAAGUCAGAGCAUUUGCUUGCAUGUUCUAGGCUCUGAAUUCAAUGCCCAGUACUGAAACACACACACACACACACACACACACACACAUAAAACAAACAAACAAACAAACCAAAGUUGAUCAAAUUAAAAGUGUAUAAGUUAAAUUUCCCAGUUGGGAAACCAAAUUUGUAAAACAUAAAAUCCCAUUCUUCCCAAAGUCCCAUACCUACUUCUGUGCUCUCCAACUCAAUGAAUGGCAUCAUCAUGCAACAUUUUCUGGAAAGAUAUUGGCUUCUUAUUAAAAGAGAGAAACUCUUAAUCAGGUUUCCUGUCAGAUACUAAAUGAUUCAACAAUUUGAAAUAUCUUAUUAAGACAACAUUUCAUUUACUCAGGGCUGUCCAAGACUCAGCAACAACCAAAUAUUACCUAAUCCAAAGCAAGGAUUUUCAAAGACAGAAGGACAUGCAAUUAAAUCUCAGAAAUGUCACAUAUGAUCACUUCUAUUCUGAAAGGGUUUUUUAACCACUAUACAUUUCAGUUUUCUUACCUCUAAAAUAUUAUUUUUCCCCAUUAAGUACUGAAAUAAUUUUAUUUUGUAAUAUAGUAAUAAAGUAAGUUACACUAACAGAACUCUCAAUUUUAAGUCAGCUUUAAAUUUCUGAAAGAAAAAAAAAAUGGUUAGAGUGCAUUAUUUGGAAAUAUGCUCUUGUAAUCAGUUUUCUAGUAUAUAUUAAUAUUGUCUACACUUAUAAGUGAUGUACUGUUACUUUUUGUUGAGUUUUGUUUGGAAAUAUAUCCACAGAUCAGGAAAUUUGAAGUGUUUUAUAAUAUUCUAUGUUUUAAGAAAAUUUAAUGAACACAGAAAUUCUCAUUUUCUUGAGGAUUGUUUGAAAAUGAUCAAUAAAAUCAUCUGGGUCUAGUGUCUCUUGAGAAGUAAACAUGUGAUUAUCUUUUACAUGUCCUUCCCAUGGUUGAUGGCCAAUUCAUGUUUUUUAUCUUUCCUUGUGUUCAUUUUCAUAAAUAAAUAAAUAUCAUUCAUCUCAUUGUCUCAGGCAUACAGAUCACAAAAUCUGGAGUUAUUUUUAACUUUUCUAAUUUUUCUCAAAGCCAUCAGCAAAAUACUAUCAGUCUUCAUAUCAGCAAAGUAAAUCAUUUUAUUAUUAUUAGGUAGCAUACUUUGAAAAACUUAUAAUUCCAGGAUUUUUUGAGGACAANUAAAUGAAAGAAAAAUUUCAAAAGUAUUGGGAAGAAGAAAAAAGACACAUGCCGCAAAUGACAAUAGAGGAAGCAAAACGUAUAAGCAAAAACAGUGAAUAUGAAAAAAUAAAUGGACAUAAAAUUAAAUAUUAAAAUGAGGUCUGGGGAUAUAGCUCAAAGUCAGAGCAUUUGCUUGCAUGUUCUAGGCUCUGAAUUCAAUGCCCAGUACUGAAACACACACACACACACACACACACACACACACACAUAAAACAAACAAACAAACAAACCAAAGUUGAUCAAAUUAAAAGUGUAUAAGUUAAAUUUCCCAGUUGGGAAACCAAAUUUGUAAAACAUAAAAUCCCAUUCUUCCCAAAGUCCCAUACCUACUUCUGUGCUCUCCAACUCAAUGAAUGGCAUCAUCAUGCAACAUUUUCUGGAAAGAUAUUGGCUUCUUAUUAAAAGAGAGAAACUCUUAAUCAGGUUUCCUGUCAGAUACUAAAUGAUUCAACAAUUUGAAAUAUCUUAUUAAGACAACAUUUCAUUUACUCAGGGCUGUCCAAGACUCAGCAACAACCAAAUAUUACCUAAUCCAAAGCAAGGAUUUUCAAAGACAGAAGGACAUGCAAUUAAAUCUCAGAAAUGUCACAUAUGAUCACUUCUAUUCUGAAAGGGUUUUUUAACCACUAUACAUUUCAGUUUUCUUACCUCUAAAAUAUUAUUUUUCCCCAUUAAGUACUGAAAUAAUUUUAUUUUGUAAUAUAGUAAUAAAGUAAGUUACACUAACAGAACUCUCAAUUUUAAGUCAGCUUUAAAUUUCUGAAAGAAAAAAAAAAUGGUUAGAGUGCAUUAUUUGGAAAUAUGCUCUUGUAAUCAGUUUUCUAGUAUAUAUUAAUAUUGUCUACACUUAUAAGUGAUGUACUGUUACUUUUUGUUGAGUUUUGUUUGGAAAUAUAUCCACAGAUCAGGAAAUUUGAAGUGUUUUAUAAUAUUCUAUGUUUUAAGAAAAUUUAAUGAACACAGAAAUUCUCAUUUUCUUGAGGAUUGUUUGAAAAUGAUCAAUAAAAUCAUCUGGGUCUAGUGUCUCUUGAGAAGUAAACAUGUGAUUAUCUUUUACAUGUCCUUCCCAUGGUUGAUGGCCAAUUCAUGUUUUUUAUCUUUCCUUGUGUUCAUUUUCAUAAAUAAAUAAAUAUCAUUCAUCUCAUUGUCUCAGGCAUACAGAUCACAAAAUCUGGAGUUAUUUUUAACUUUUCUAAUUUUUCUCAAAGCCAUCAGCAAAAUACUAUCAGUCUUCAUAUCAGCAAAGUAAAUCAUUUUAUUAUUAUUAGGUAGCAUACUUUGAAAAACUUAUAAUUCCAGGAUUUUUUGAGGACAAAGUUUAAACCUUUCCUUGUAUAUUGAAAAAAAAUGUUCAAAUAUACCUCAUAAAAAGCUCUAGAAACUUACUGCAAAGUCAAUUUUGAUUUGUUUGAAUCAUGCAGCCUCCAUAGCUAGAAUGAGAAAAGAAGAACCAAGCUUAGACUUAAAUGGUGAUAGAAUUCAGGUUGCAAAGUCUAAGGAAAGAACCAUUCCAGGCAAAGAAACAACAAGAGCACUGUUUCUCAGUUGAGAAUGAAUUUACAUACAUUGAGGAUACUGGAAAUGAGCUGUUUUUACUAGAAUAUAAAUGAAUGGAGGCAGAGUGAACAGAGACAAAAACUAAAAUUGAAAGCUUUGUAUUUGAAAAAUGAAGUUCGAAAAUUAUUUUUGGUGGGUGGGUGCAGAAUUCUAAGUUGACAGUCUUUUGCCUGUGUGUGUGUGUGUGUGUGUAUGAUUAUUGUUUAUUUUGUGAACACUUUAAAGAUGUUAUUGCAUGGCUUUUUGGCUUGAAUUGUUUUCAGUGAGACUUCUGCCACCAUUUUUAUUUUUAAACCUCAGUGUGUGUCAUUUUUUUCCUGGUGGUUUUAAUGAGUUUGUUUUUAUCACAAUUUUAAGCAAUUUGAUUAUGAUGUGCCUUUGUGCAAAUUUUUCAGGUUUUUUACUUUGAUUUCAUUGAGCUGCUUGGAUGAGAAGGUUUAUAGUUCACAUCAAAUUGGGAAGAUCUGGCCAUUAUCUUUAAUUUUAUUUGUCUUUCUUUCCCUCCCUUUUUAUAGAACUCUAAUUACCAACAUACCCAUGAUAUUUUGUUCUAUAGAUCACUGAAGCUUUGUUAAUCUUUUUUCUUUACUCUUCUUCUCCAUUUCAUUUUGGAUAGUUUCUUUUGCUACAUAUUCAGGCUCACUAAUCUUUUUUAAAAUGUGCAAUCUACCAGUAAUCACAACUAGUAUAUUUUUCAUUAUUCUAAUUUACAUUCAUAGAAGUUUGAUGUUGCACCUUUUCUAUUUCCAAUCUCUUAUUAUGCACAGUCUUCCCUCUAAGUUCUUAAACAAGAUGGAGUGUAUUUAUAGUAAACAAGUUUUCAUUGUCUCCUAAUUUUAUUAGGUCUUUUAUUCUAUUGAUUAAUUUUAUUCCUCAAAUUUUCCUACAUUUUUGCAUGCCUGAUAAAUUUUGAUUGGUUACUUGUACUAGUUUCCAAAUGUAACUACAAAAAAAUUUGACAAAUUGGGUGGCUUAAAACAACAGAAAGGUAUUCCCCCGGAGAGUUUUGGAGGCUAGAAUUUUGCAAAGUGUUGGCAGGAGUUAUGGUUUAGACGUUAAAUGUUCUCCAAAAGCCUCAUGUGUGAAACAAUGCAAGAAAGUUCAGAGGUAAGAUGAUUGGGUUAUACAAGCCAUACAUUAAUCAGUGCUUAAUGCUAGGGAUUAACUGGGUGGUAACUUUAGGCAGGUAGGAUGCAACUGGAGGAGGUGAGGGACUUGUCCUUAGGGUAUGUAUUUUGUCCUUGGUGAGGGGAGUCUCUCUCUCUGCUUCCUGGUGAUGUAGGAAGCUGGUUUCCUCUAUCACACCCUCCUUGAUAUUCAAAGAUAUUCUGCCUCACCUCAAGCCCUGAAAAAUGGAGUUGGCUGUCUAUGGACAGAGACCUCUGAAACCAUGAACCAAGGAUAGACUUAUUUCCUCCUCUAAAAUUAUUCUUGCGUAGGCUUUUGGUCAUAGCAGUGAAAAAGUUGCCUAAAACAGCAGGAGUGUGCUCCUUUCAAAGUCUCUAGGGAGCUUCUUUUCAUGUUUUUUCCAGCUUCCGGUAGCACAGCUAUUUUUUGGCUUAUGAUAACAUAACUCCAAUUUCUGCUAUUGUCUUCAAAUGGUUAUCUACCCUCUGUAUAUAUCUGUCCUAAAUUUGUCUUUUCUUAUGAGAAUGCCAGUCAUUAGACUAAGGGUUCAUCCUAAUGACCUCAUUUUAACUUGAUUACAUCUACAAAGACUCUGUUUCCAAAUGUAAUCAUAUCACAGAUAUCAGGACUUCAACAUAUCUUUUAAGCAGAUAAUCCAGUGUAAAAUAAUGCCAGAAUGUUUGCAUUUUACUUUGUUGGGUGGUGGAUUGUUUUCUUUUUGCAUUCCUUUAAAUAUUUUUGGGCCUUAACAUGUAUUACUUGGGAUCAAUUUGAUUCUGUCAAAGUCUAUUUUAAAACUUUGUUAGGUGAGGCCUGAACGACCUGUAGUCUGACUAUGGUUAAUUUGGCCCUACUAAUAGACAUUCUGGGUCCUCUCUCUGAGGUGAAUUAUGAGGCUUUUCAUUCUGACUAGAAAUAUGAACUAAACCCAGCUUUGUAUAAGCUCCAAAGAUUAUUCUACCUUAUCCUUUCAAGUGGUUCUUUCUCCACCUCAGUAAUUUCCUCACAUAUAUGAGCAGAUAGGAACUCAGACUCAAGAGAAAUCUCACAGAAUUAUGGAGUUCUUGCAUAGUUUUCUUUUGUUUUUGAAUUCUGAUUUCCUUGACCUCCCAGUCUCUGAACUCCUUUUCUACAAAUGAGGGCGAUGACAAACUUUAGUUCAACUCUCUCUCCCUGUGCUUUGGCCUAGAAAUUCUCUCUAUGCACAAAGCCUGUACAACUCUAAGGCUCAUAACUUUCUUUUCCUUUCUCUUAUGAAUUAUUGUUUGACUAUUGUUUUCCCAAUGGCUGAAAUGUAUUGUUUCAUAUAUUUCAUACAUUUUGUCUGUUGUUGUGGUUGUAGGAGGCGGAAAGGUAAAUCUUUGUUAUUAAUUUAAAGCUAAAAACAGAAGCCUCAAAAAUGGAGUUUGGAUUACACUAUCAUUGUGUGGUCACUUCCUGCAGAUUUUAAUCCAUAGUGUAAUAUCAUCAGAUUUAUUUAUUAUUUAUUUUUAAAUGUCAUUCUUCUUAGAAGAACAGAUUGAAGAAUUGGAGUAGACAAAGGGAGACCAGAUAGGAAUCGAUUUCUCUAGGCUGGGUUACAUUUAGUGAUUUCUUGGGCCAGGUUUAUAAUAGUAGAGAUAAUAAAAAGUGAUGGUUUGGUGAUCUUGUUGCAAAUGGGUCUUAUUUAUCUUGCUGAAUGAUUUGAUGUAGAGUACAAGGAAAUAAGUGGUCAAUAAAAUAUUUCAAAUUGUUGAAUCAUUUAGUAUGUGACAGAGAACCUAGCUAAGAGUUUUCUCUCUUUUAGUAAGAAGCCAAAACCUUUCCAGAAAAUCCACAGCAAGCAUCUUUUUUAUGUCUCAUUGACCAUUAUUGGGUUCACUGGACCUCUAUGACUAUGGGGAAAGGAUAGAGCAAGAGGCUGGAGGAUUUCUAUUGGGAAGUUAAAUCAUUGCUAUAUUUGUUGCAUUGCUUUUGAUGUUUGUCAGAUGAUGACUUCAAAUCAUCCUUUUAGCCCCUUGGAACAUCAGGAAAACACAGUACAGUGUAGGGGGGAAGGGAAAAGUAUUUGCUUCUUAGGAAAUGCAUUGUAUCACUUUUAGCUCUUUCUGUGUUCUGAAUUAUUUCCAUGAUACAUUAGUGUCCAUAAUGCAGUCAUGGAUGCCCAUAUAAAAUGCUAGUUUGGCAAAUGUGUAAGAAUAAUCUGUUUUACAAUGUAAUCAUUCAUCAGGGAGCUGAUGACAGUUUUACUGAAUUAGAUACAUAAAAUAGUUUAUAAUCGGAGGACACUAGAGGGCAAAUCACUAGUUGUAGUAAUUACUCAUGUGUGAUGCACCUGACACAUGGGGAAAUAAAAUAAUGUGAAUAUGGGAACAGCUAAAGCAAUAUAUGAGUGUUCUGAAAUCACUGUAGGUAACUUUUCUUACACUCUAGAAUGUCAUACACUUAAAAUAAUGUAGUAUGAAUAUGUGACUUGAAAGGAAUACCUUAUGCAGCAGAACCCAAUCUCUGCUCCUUGAAAAGCAGAUUUUUUUGUGCUAAAUGACCAAAGAUUAAUUUGGAUUAAUCCAUUGAUCAUAGAUCAAGUUGAAGUAGGAAGUUUCUUUUAUUCAGUUCUGUGUGAUCUACUAUCUUUUUGCCUCAGUGGUCUACAUCAACAGGGUCAACCAGAGCUGUUCCUGUCCCUGAAGCAUCAGCCAUAUUUCAAUUUGCUAUUACUUGCAUUGAAAGGAAUUUUGGUUUAGGACUGAUUCUAAAUUCAUCCUGUAAUUACCACACAAAUAACAUAUUGAGAAGUUUAAUUUCUGAAUUGCAUCUUCAGGAGUUUAUUCUACCCACUGGUCAGUUCUCAGUUGCUUACUCUCAGUGAGGGAGGGAGGAAGACAUCUUAGGACACAUUAGACAAAUCUUGACUGAUGAUUACAGUUUAAGAAGAUGAUCAGCAGUUUUUUUGCCUAAUGGGCAAAUUGACUGAAUUUUCUUUUAUGGUACAAUUUAAAACAAAGUCAUUUUGUUAAUCUGGCUCAGUUAGAGCAGGCUAAUUCUAUGGCAAUAAUUUCAAAGGAGAAUAUGCAAAGAGGUUAUAAACCUGUUAUCUUUUUGGCACUAUUUUACUUUACUUUCUGUUCUUCUGGUAUGCUUUAACACCAUAGUCAUUUCUUCCUCUUUGAGUAUCUCUGGUUCUUAUUCUGAGGCAAAAGAUGGGUUGUGCUUUGAUAAACAUUUUACUAACCACACCUGAAGUCCUAGGAAAGUGCUAGGUGUGUUGUGGUCAUAGAAGAAAUUAAUCAGAAGGAUUGAUUCCCUUGGGUCAACCCUCUCUCUUCUGUAUCAUCAAUUCUCUUCUCUGCUUAUUUCUAUCAGCAUAUUCAAUUUUUUAGGUGUAUCCCAUUUCUAAAGCAUAAACAAAACUUUAGUUCAUUCCUCUUGGUCCAUGCACACCAUCUAGCAGGCCCCCUGUACUCUCUUUCAUCACAUCCUAACCAAAGCUCUAUUGUAUAUCACUAGAAUUAUUGUGCUACCCUUUGCUUAUUUUCUGUUCUUUCCUCAAGCAUCCUUGAAAUCCAUUUUACACCUAACAUUCAUAGAUAUCCUCUCACAAAUCAGAUCAUAGCAUUAAAAUUUUAAAGCCUUUUUCCCUUUAUCUUAGAGUGAAACCCAAACUCCUUUCACUGUCAACAAGAUUAUACACACAUUAUUGUCUUUACUUCAUUCUCCAAAGUUGUCUCAAACCCUGCUGUCCCCACAUUUUUCACAAAGACAUCAUCUGAUUCACAACGUGUCAGCUUCACUCAUUAUUCUUCUGUCCCUUGAAUACUUCAAGUUGUUUCCCAUCUUAAUUUUCUAUUCUCUAUUCUCUUUUGGGGUUGUUCUUAUUCUUUUGGAUGAUUGGUACCUUCUUAUCCACCCAUUGCAUCUCAGCUCAGUGAUUCCAUCCAAAAUUCAGGCUUCCUUUCCUCCCUGCAAUUAGAAUUGUAACCCACAAAUAUCCUCCCUGAUUGAAGUCACCUUCAUGAAAUCCUUUACACACAUGGAAGUAUAUCAUUCCCUGAUUUCUUAGUUCAUAUUGCCUGCUGUCGCAGUCACAACAUACAGAUAUUGAGGUACACAUUUAUAUACACACAUUAUGAAUGUAGGCCCAUUGGGAGUAUGCAUCUGCUUCAUUUUUUCACCUUUGUACCCCUGAAAACAAAGUAAAAAGUGGAUAAUAAUUUUUCAUUAGUGAUUCUUCUUUGAUAUGUGGAAUUGGAUUAAGGGAAGAAAGGUAAGGGCAGAAAUAAAUCUGAUUAAUAAUAAACUCAUUUAUUGCCUUCUAAUUGAGGAAAGGCAAUGCUCUGAACACUUUAUACAUAAUGCAGUUUAUCUUUUGAAUAUGUUAUGGUGUGGGUGCUACUAUCAUCUGCGGUUUACAGAAUAUGAAGCAAAAUCGUAAGAGGAUCAUCUGUGUUCUGAAUUUUAAAUUAUAUCCAGUGCUUUCUGGUGGCUCCCAAGUGACUAUCUCAAGCAGAAGAUGCAGUGGCUUUCACUUUGGAAUUUGGAAACCCUGAACAUCAUUUGGAGGGUUCAACAUGUACUUUCUCUGACAAAAGCAGGUGGUGGUCCACUAAGUAAACAGUAAUAUAUGAGGGUCAAAACUAAGAGAUAAAGAAAUUGAUGAAUAUUGCCAAUAAUAAAAACGAAUAAAUACUUCAGUGUACUUCAAUGUUGUCCACUUUAGCUGCUGUAGUAGGUCAGAGGAAAGGAUGUCUAAUGAUCAUUAUAUAUGUUAGCAGGUGCUCACAGGGAUCCAUUUUAGAUGCAGGAGAGGGAAGGAAGGAAAUAAAAUAUUUUCUCAUACUCAGUGCAAUCUUCUUUUUUUUUUUACUUUUUCCAUUCCUUUCUAUUUUAAAUAAUUCCUCUAUAUCAAGCUAACUCGUUCUCAGUCAAUACUAUACCUUCCACUGCAUUCUCUUUUGUUUCAUUCACGCAAAUCACUAAAUAUUUUGUUACUUUGAUGUUGGGAUCAAGGGGGAGGAUUAUAAAGGUAAAUGAAAUGUAAUGCUUGUCUUUAAGGUUGUGAGAAUCUCACAGGGAAAAAUUUCAUGUCUAAGAAUUAAAGAGUGGUAUAUUCCAAAUGUAGCUGUGGUAGGUAGUCAAUUUUUAUGAAAUUUAUUUUUUAAUAAUCAGUAUAUACAUAUGUGUGUGUGUGUGUGUGUGUUUCAUAAGGAUAUAUAAAGAUGACACAGAACCCAGGGUAUAGGAUUUUGAUUUUUUUCCUGCUUCAAAAGUUCUAAACUAAUACACUAAAAACCAUAAGAUACUGAUCAUAAUUCUGAUCCAGACAUUUUGUCACAAGAUGUUUUUCUUCUUAAAAAGCUAAUUUGUUUAAUAUAACUUUACUAAAUUUUGGUUUUUUAUCAUAUUAAAUAUAUCAAGGAAACUUUGUUUGUUUAUUUAUUUAUUUAUUUAUGGUGCUGGGGAUUGAACCCAGGGCCUUGUGCAUAAAAGGCAAGUACUCUCCCAACUUAGCUAUAUCCCCAGCCCCAAAACUUUGUUCUUUAAAAGACCUGUACUGAUAUUUUGUUUGAAAAUUUUGGCAUUUAUAAAUAUUACAAAGAAAAUAAAUUCAUAAAACACAUGGCUCAAAAGUGGCAGAGAAUUUACAGGUUCUUUGGUAAGCUGCCAAUAUCAUAUUUAACAGGAACUCUGAGGUCCAGAGAGUAGAAAUGAAUUGCCAAAGGUCACAUAUUGAUUUAGUGAGUAGUUUACAGACUUGCUUUCUCCUUGUGGUACUUUGCCCCUUUUCUUUGUAUAUCCGAAAAUUCUAAUAAAAUGCAUUCAUUAGUGAGAAAAAUAUUUUUGUACAAUAAUUAUAACCUUGAUAAAAGUAAAUAAUUCAGGAAUUGUCUGUCAAAAUAUUUUCUGAAAAAGUGAAAUUUUUUCCAACUUUUUACCUCAUUAAUUCACUUAAUAAAUAUCAGUUAAGCUUCUUCUAUUUAACUCUUUUCCUAAGAAUAUCACAUCACAAUCUAUCUAUCUCUCUCUCUCUCUCUCUUUCUCUCUCUCUCUCUCUCUCUCUCACACACACACACACACACACUUUAAAAUAAUUUCUGAGAAAUUUAUCCAUGGGGCUUAUCAGAUCAGCAUUAAUUUACCAUUAAUCAAAUAGACCUAUAAAAACACUAUGUUUUUAAAUACAAAUAAAUAAAUAUAGUUUUUUUUUACUCUAAUGUUUAUAUAAGCUCAUUAUAGAUCAUUUGUAUAAUACUGAAAAACUAGUAGAAACAAAAUAAAUCAUCUAUAGAUUCACAAUCAAGCAAGCAUACUUAAAAUACAUUAAUUUUUUACAUAAGCCAUUCAAAAAUUUUGAGGUAUAGUUUAGAUGAUAGUGCAGUCAUAAUCUCAUAAACUCAUAAAAUUUAACUUUAGUGUUAAUGCAAUUACUGCCAAUUAUUUGUAUUUAAAUGUUAUUCCAUUGCCAGAAUGCAUUAUUAUUUAUUUAGGAAUAUCCUUCAUAACAUCUAGUUACUAUUGUUAAUUAUAAUUUUUACUUUUUCUCCAACCCUUGAAGAAUCAUUCAAAAGAAAUAUAGCUCAGCACUGAGAUACUAGCUGUGCAUUAUAUGACUUAAAAAUGAAAAAAGGAGAACCUGUCAGAAAGUAUAUAAGCUCUACAACUACAGUCAUUUAACUAUUAUUUAUAAGCUACGUCUCUCUCCACCGUCAGGGACCUAUUUCCUCCUUGGGCAGAAGAUUUUUACUGAGCUCCAAUUACAUACUCUUAUAUUGGCAAUUGAGUCAUUAUUAAUGCUCCUGUUGUAUUUUUUUUUUAAUUUUCGUCAUGUUUUUUGUGAACAAAACCUUUGUGUUAGUGAGUUGUAAAAGUCUCCAUUGCUUCUCAGACACAGAAAUGCUUUGCCUUAUUCUCACCAGACUUCCUUUAGGGAUGUGGAUCAAAUUUCAUUAUGUUGACAGACUCUUGGCCUGAGCUUGUAAUUGCUUUCAUUUAUUGAUUCAUUCAUACAUGAAUAAAUUCACACAUUUAUUCACUAGCAAGUAAAUUUAUACAUCCAUGCAGCAAUUUCUCCCAAAAGUUUGUAAAGCUCUUCUGCAUACCUGUCACUAUGAUAUGCUACCUUCUGUGUAGCAUAACAUGUGUUAAUAAAUUGGACAUUUUGCCUGUGAAAGAGUUUUUUGUCUUGCAAGCAAGAAUAAUUUAUAAUAAAUUUCAAAUUUCUGACCCAUACCCUCUUGUUCUAACAAGUCACACCUGCAAGGAAGUACUUCACUGUAUCCUUACUUCUUAUUUGGAUGUAAUAGUCUGUGAAUGGUUAGUUUGAGGAGUCAACUAGACUGGCUUAAGGAAUACCAGAAAACUGGUUUACCUGUAAGGUGUUUCCAGAGGAGGUGGGGAUGUAAAUCAGUGGGUUGAGUGGGAAAGUUUUACCCUCAAUGUGGGCAGUCAACAAUCAGCUGGGGAUCUAGACAGAACAAAGAAAAAAAAAAAAGCUAAUUCUCUCUUCUCUCUCUCUCUCUCUCUCUCUCUCUCUCUCUCUCUCUCUCUCUCCUAGAGGUGGGACACAUUUCUUUUGCCCCUGGUCUUCAGAAUUCCAGGCUCUCCAUCUGCUGGAUUUCACAACUUAGAUAAGCAGCUCCCCAGAUUCUCAGACCUUCAACCUUGGAGUGAGAAUUACAGCAUUUGUUUCCUUGACUCUGAAUCUUUCAUACUUGGACUGAGCUAUGCUACCAGAAUCCAGGGUCUCCACCAAGCAGAAAACUUGGCCUGGGACUUCUUAACUUCAUAAUUAUGUGCACCAAUUCCUAUCAUAAUUAUCUAUCUGUCAAUCUAUCUAUCUAUCUAUCAUCUAUCCAUCUAUCUCCCUAUCUAUCUGUCUAUCUUUCCUCUUAAUCUCCUAUUUGUUUUGUCUCUCUGGAGUAAAUAAAUAUUCCAACUAAAUUGUCCAUGCAACCUAUAAAUGUGUCUCUCUUCCCAAACCUCAUUUCGCCUCUUCUAGUUAACUGUAUACUAAUGCAGGCAGCCAGACUAUGCCCAGCCAUCACUGGUUAUAUGGCAAGGAUUUAAGAAUUAGGAACACUCUACUACUACCCACUAAUUAUUACUCCAUUAAUAUUGAGGGUGUUGUCUGCAGAAAGAACUGAGUAGUCCUUUAUCUAAAUCAAGUCAAAGUUGUGCUUCUUAACAGCUAGAAAGAGAACAAGUUUUAUGAGUAGUUUUAUCUUUUCUGUUUUUGCUUAAAAGCAGAAAAUGAAUUCUCAAGGUUAAGUGGGAAAAUGAAACAGUUCAAUGAGUUUCUCUUAAGUUUUCACAUAAAGAGCCUACAAAAAUCCCCUGAAUGUCUCAAAUGUUCUGUUGAGAAGAUGGUAUGAAAAAAUGCUAAACUUCAGUUUUCCAUCUACUUAGAAUCGAAGAAUGGAAGACAGUAAUGAUAAGAUGAACACGGGAACGAUUCACUAAUCCACAGCUGAAAUUUGAGUAUUUUGCUUAUUACAGCCAUUCUCUACCUGGAUUUCUAAAAGUGCACAAUUCCCCUUUGACACCAUAAACUCAUUCAUGAAUAAAAAACACAGAAAGUCAUGACUUAAAAUGUGAGGCUAUAUGCACUCAGAAAAAUGAUGCUUCCUUUUCAUAGGUUAGUGAUAUGCUGUAUGAUAGUCUUUUGAUACCUAAUUUAUUUUUUUUGACAUUCAUUAAAUAAUCCAAAAUUUUAUUCAGAUUUUACCAAGGUAUUUAUUUAUAUAUGUAUGCAAUAAAUUCUAUAUAUUUUUCAUCUUUAUAUUGUGCCAUCUUUUUUACCUUUUUAAAAAUUUGUGUUAUUAUUUUUACUGUACACAUUUAUAGGAUACAUUGUGAUAAUUCCACACAUAUACACAAUAUGUUAAGAUCAAAUCAGAAGGGACUGAGGUUGUGGCUCAGUGGUAGAGCAUGUGCCUGGCAUGUGUGAGACCCUGGGUUUGAUCCUCAGCACCACAUAUAAAUAAACAAAGUAAAAAAUCCAUUGGCAACUAAAAAAUAUUUUAAAAAUAAAUCAAAUCAGGAUACUUGGCAUUUCCAUCUCUUUAAACUUUUUUAAAUAAAUUUUUGGUUAAAACAAUUGUCCAUAUUUAGGGAAAAUAAAAAUGUAAUAUUUCAAUACAUGUAUACAAUGUGUGCUGAUCAAAUCAAGGUAAUUAAUAUUUCUAUCUCCUUAUUAUUACUUUGUGUUUCAAGCCUUUGAGUUCUUUAAAUUCUAUAUAAUUUUACACCUGUGUAAAUUCAUGUUGAUACCUAAUUUCUGACUAACGUAAGUGUUCUGAGCAUGCGUGGGGUAGGGUAAACUAUAAUAUUUGGCAAAUCAGAUGUAUGAAAUGUGCUUGCAAUUUAAGAUAUUUUCAACUCAUGAUGGUUUAUCAGGACAUAAACUCAUUGUAAGUCAAGCAGCAUAUGUAAUGCAUUUGUUCUACUGCUGUGUCAGUUAUGAUCAUCCAGAAAAAUAGAAACAAACAGAAAUAGAUGGUGUGGGGGGGGGAGAGAAAGAGAGAGAGAGAGAGAGAGAGAGAGAGAGGGAGAGAGAGAGAGAGAGAGAGAGAGAGAGAGAAAGGGAUAGAGUCAGAUAGAGACUUUCCUAAAGCUUCCUACUGGCCUUGAGGAAGAAAAAGUCAUGUUAGGAACUGUCUAUGGAAAGGGUCAAACACACAAAUUUGGGAAAUUACAGGAAACAUGCAGAAACUAAAGGUCUCAAUUCCUAAACUAUAAGGAACUGAAUUUUGCUGACAAACUGAAUGUUCUUGCAAGACCCUGAACUGUGUAAAGAAGCACAGCAUGGCUCAUUGCAAGGCUGCCAGAACCUGAGGAAAGGACACAUUCACAAAUAGGUCAUAUGUACAAGCAUAGUUAUACACAACCAUGUACGUAAUAUCUACUUCAAUAUGUGAACACUAAAAUAAUGUAGGAAACUCGCAUAUUACACAUAUGUGUAUGUAUAAUUUAUAUGUAUGUGUAUAUAAGUAGGAGGUGUUUAUAUAUGUGUGUGUAGAUAUACAUAUAUAUAUAUAUAUAUUUAUUUGUGUGUGUGUGUGUGUAUAUAUAUAUAUAUAUAUAUAUAUAUAUAUAUAUAUAUAUAUAUAUAUUCAUUCUUUGGAUACAUAUGUACUAAAAAGAAAACAGUAUCAAAAUAGCCCCAGAAGCAUCAGUUUAUAGUUGUCAAUAUAUAUUGUCUAAAAUUUUGACUUUUUGCCAAAAAGUUGAAUUAUGAGACACAAGAAAGCAAUAAUGAUAAUUCAUAGACAGAGGGUUAAAAAAAAAGAAACAAAAACUGUAAGAAAUCCCAUAUGUCAAAUUUAAACAAGCAAAUGAAAAUUUCAAAAAAUCUAAAAAGACUUCAAAGAUAAUGAAGAUUAUGCAACUUAACAGCAAAAAGAAAAGAGCAUACAAUGGAUAGAAUCUCAGACAAAUAUGGUGUUAUAUUAAAUGCAUGAAUAUAUACAUAGUAGGAGCACUAGAAUGAGAAGAGAGAGAAAAAUGAACAUUGAAAAUUUUGAAGAACCAAUGGAGGAAAAAUUUCCAGCUUUGAUUAAAAAUAUCAAUUUAUAGCCCGGCAUGGUGGUAGACCCCUGAAAUCCCAGCAGCUUAGAAAGAUGAGGCAGGAGGAUUAUGCAUUCAAAGCCAGACUCAGUAAAAUCGAGGUGCUAAGCAAUUCAAUGAGACCCUGUCUCUAAAUAAAAUACAAAGUAGGGUUGGGGAUGUGGCUUAGUGGUUGAGUGUCCCAGAGUUCAAUACUUGGUACAAUGCCCCUCCCCCCAAAUCAAUUCAUAUACACAAGUAUUCAAUGAACUCCAAGUAGGAAAACCACAGAGAUAUCCACACUGAGACACCUUAUAGUAACAAUGUUGAAGGACAAAGAUGAAGAGAAUAUUUUUAAAGCUGGAAUAAAAAAAUAACUCAUAUAAGUUAUUACAUUUAAGUGAAAAUUAACAGUGGCCUUCUCACCACAAUGAACAACAGACUGCAGUGAAAUGCCAUUUUCAAAGUAGUUGGGAGAUAAUGAUAACCAGGGAUCUUAUAUCUGAAAAUGUGUGUGGUGGGGGGGAAGGGUGUUGUGGGGAUUGAACUCAGGGAUGCUUUACCACUGAGCAUUGAGCUACAUCCCCAGCCCUUUGUUUUUACUAAUUUACUUAUUUAUUUAUUUUUGAGAUGGUCUCACUAAAGUUCCUUAGUUGCUGAGACUGGCCUUAAGUUUGCAAUCUUCUUUGUUUCAGACUCCCAAGAACCUGGAAUUACAGGUGUAUACAAAUGCAUCCAGCCUAACAAAACUGUCUUUAAGAAAUAAGAAAACUUAAAUAUGUUCCCAGAAAAAUAAAAGAAACAUAAAUUGAAAGAAAUAGUAAGGAAAUCUCUUUGCUAGAGAAGAGUGGUCACAGUCUAUAGACAGGAUUCAUACAAAUAGGCAGAAAUAACUGAUAAAACAUUUAUGUGUUAAUAAAACAGAGUAUAUACUUAAGCACUUCUGUUUUUUAACUACAAUUAUAGAAAAUGAUAUUUAUAGCAUUAAAAAAUGUCAUAUAUCGCCGUGCGCAGUGGUGCAUGCUGUAAUUUCAGCAGCUUGGGAGGCUGAGACAGGAGGAUUACGUGUUCAAAGCCAGCCUCAGCAAAAGCGAGAUACUAAGCAACUUGGUGAAACCCUGUAUCUAAAUAAAAUACAAAAUGGGACUGGGUAUGUGGUCCAGUGUUCAAAUGCCCCUGAGUUCAAUCCCUCGUACCCCACUCCAAAAAAAAAAAAAGAAAAAAAGUCAUAUAUUUAAAAUUAGUAGCACAAAAGAGAUAAGUGGAAUCAAAUUUAUAAAAAGUAAGCAAAUGACACCAGAUAGUCCCAGAAUACACAUGGAUAAAUAAAGACAACCAGGUAUAAUGAAUUAAAAAGUCCUCAUGUCAAUGUGAAUAAAUAUAUACUUAUAAUUUCCUUUGUUUAAAGACAUAAAUUAGAAAAAAUAAGAAUUGUAAAACUAUAUUUUGUUUUAGUAGUAUGAUUAGUGGAUGCCUAACUUUAGUAUUCAGAGGGAAAAUGGAGAGUAACUGGAAAUAUUCUGUUUGGUGGUAUUGAUAGUUGCAGCAUAUUUUAAAUUAAAAAAAAAUGAACUGUACAAGCACAAGACAGACAGACACAGAGACACACACCCUAAGACCUACUGCAAUUUCUAUAUCCCAUUUCAUUAAUAAAUUUAACCAGGGAUUGAGCAGCAUAGUCAACAACUGAAGAUGAUCUUUUUUAAUUUUUUUUAUGUUUAUUUGUUUUAAUUAGUUACACAUGACAGUACAAUAAUCUUGAUAUAUCAUACAUUUGAAUCAGAUGGGGUAUAAUUUCUCAUUUUUCUGAGUGUACAGGUUGCAGAAUCACAUUGGUCAUACAGUCACAUAUAUACAUCCAGCAAUAAUAAUGUCUAUUUUAUUCUGCUGUCCUUCCUAUCCCCCCUUCCUCUCCCCUCCCCUCCCAUCACUUCUCUCUACCCAAUCUAAUGUGACACACUUCUUCUUAUUUUUCCCUCAAAUCAUCAUACAUGUAUUCUGUAUAAUGAUGAGGGUCUCCUAUCUUCCGUGCAAUUCCCCUUCUCCCUCCCUUUCCCUUCCACCUCUAUCUUAUAAAAUAUAUACUCUUUCCUAAUUCAUUACCACUUCCUGAGCAAUCCUCGGUGGGAGGAUAAAACUUUGGUGCACAAAUUUAGAAAAAAAAAUUUCACCAUGAUGCAGAAUUCUUAAUGGUAAUUUUAACUUACAGAAUAGUAAGAUAUUUGAGAAAAAUUUGCAUUCAUUCCAUUUCUGCUAGAUUAUUUUUGUCUACAGAGAAUACUAACUUUUAUUUUUUUUAUUGGUUGUUCAAAACAUUACAAAGCCCAUGACAUAUCUUUCAUACAUUUGACUCAAGUGGGUUAUGAACUCCCAUUUUUACCCCAAAUAGAAAUUGCAGAAUCACAUUGGUUACACAUUCACAUUUUUACAUAAUGCCAUAUUGAAUACUAACCUUUAUGAUAUAACAUGUCAUACAUUUCAAAAAUGUAUCUUCUAAAAUUAAAAAAUGGCCAUAUAUAUCUAGAUGUAAAAUUUUUGCUUUUAUAAGAACUAAUAGAUUUCUUGUGUACUAAAUAUGACACAAGUGCUUUCAAAGCUUUCAUUUUCUUGAUUUCAACAAGCAUAAAAUAGGUGGACAUCAUUUACAUGUGUAUGUGCCUACAUACAGCUAUUUUAAGCAAUAUGUUCCAUUACUUUACAUCAGCUUGUACUAUGUAUUGUAUCAUAAUACCUAAUCACAUGUUUAAAUUCUUAAGUAAUUCUACAUGCUAUUCCUAAACUUCCUUUACAUUCCCUUCAUUUUUAAUGCAUUGCAUGAUUUUAAAAAGUUAAUGCUACUACUAUCGAAAUGAAAUCAUUCUGUUACAUUGAUAAACUCCACAAAUGGCCUUGCUUCAACUUUCUUCAGAUUUUUACUAAUGUAGUCAUUUAAUACCAACUUGGAGUUUCAGGUACAGGUAACCCAAAUUCAUGGUUUCAUUCUACCAUGAGUAAAGAUAUUUUAAGGAGCCAAUAGGUUCUUUGUUUACUUGCUUAUUUACUUUUAUUUUUUUAACAUAAAUUUGGUUGUUGUCCCUGGGCAGGAUCCAUUGUAAUCUUCCCAGUAUCAUUUCAAUUUUAUACAUAUGCUGCCAGAUGAUCCUUCAAUUACUUAUUUUUAAAAUAAAAUUAUACUAACUAUUUAUUAUUUACAAGCCUGGUUAAUAUAGGAAAUGACCACAAGUGAAUAUAUUUCUUAACAUAAUAUUUUAAUUAUGGCAUAUGAAAAUGACAUUUGCAGAUAAAGAAAAUUCUUAAAUAUUUUAAUAUCUUAUGUUUCAACCUAAAUAUUUAUGCAAGAUGGAGGCAAACGUCAUGGUAUUGGCACCAAAAUAGUCUUGUAGACCCAUGGUACAGAAUAGAGGACACAGAGACAAACCCACAAAGUUAGUUAUAUGAGACAAAGUCGCCAAAAACAUAUAUUGGAGAAAAGACUGGAAAUCCAUAUGCAACACAAUGAAAUUAAGCCCCUAUUUCUCAUGAUGCACAAAACUCAAUUCAAAGUGGAUAAAGGACAUAGGAAUUAAACCAGAGACCCUGUUCCUAAUAAAAGAAAAUUAGGCCCAAAUCUCCAUUGUGUUGGAUUAGGCCUGACUUCCUUAAUAAGACUCCUAUUGUGAAAGAAUUAAAAUCAAGAAUGAGUAAAUGGGAUGGAUUCAUACUAAAAAGCUUCUUCUCAGCAAAAGAAUCUAUGAUGUGAAUAGAGAGCCUACAGAAUGGGAGCAAAUUUUUACCACACUCAUAUAUCAGAUAGAGCACUAACCUCUANCAGCUCCCCAGAUUCUCAGACCUUCAACCUUGGAGUGAGAAUUACAGCAUUUGUUUCCUUGACUCUGAAUCUUUCAUACUUGGACUUAGCCAUGCUACCAGAAUCCAGGGUCUCCACCAAGCAGAAAACUUGGCCUGGGACUUCUUAACUUCAUAAUUAUGUGCACCAAUUCCUAUCAUAAUUAUCUAUCUGUCAAUCUAUCUAUCUAUCUAUCAUCUAUCCAUCUAUCUCCCUAUCUAUCUGUCUAUCUUUCCUCUUAAUCUCCUAUUUGUUUUGUCUCUCUGGAGUAAAUAAAUAUUCCAACUAAAUUGUCCAUGCAACCUAUAAAUGUGUCUCUCUUCCCAAACCUCAUUUCGCCUCUUCUAGUUAACUGUAUACUAAUGCAGGCAGCCAGACUAUGCCCAGCCAUCACUUGUUAUAUGGCAAGGAUUUAAGAAUUAGGAACACUCUACUACUACCCACUAAUUAUUACUCCAUUAAUAUUGAGGGUGUUGUCUGCAGAAAGAACUGAGUAGUCCUUUAUCUAAAUCAAGUCAAAGUUGUGCUUCUUAACAGCUAGAAAGAGAACAAGUUUUAUGAGUAGUUUUAUCUUUUCUGUUUUUGCUUAAAAGCAGAAAAUGAAUUCUCAAGGUUAAGUGGGAAAAUGAAACAGUUCAAUGAGUUUCUCUUAAGUUUUCACAUAAAGAGCCUACAAAAAUCCCCUGAAUAUCUCAAAUGUUCUGUUGAGAAGAUGGUAUGAAAAAAUGCUAAACUUCAGUUUUCCAUCUACUUAGAAUCGAAGAAUGGAAGACAGUAAUGAUAAGAUGAACACGGGAACGAUUCACUAAUCCACAGCUGAAAUUUGAGUAUUUUGCUUAUUACAGCCAUUCUCUACCUGGAUUUCUAAAAGUGCACAAUUCCCCUUUGACACCAUAAACUCAUUCAUGAAUAAAAAACACAGAAAGUCAUGACUUAAAAUGUGAGGCUAUAUGCACUCAGAAAAAUGAUGCUUCCUUUUCAUAGGUUAGUGAUAUGCUGUAUGAUAGUCUUUUGAUACCUAAUUUAUUUUUUUUGACAUUCAUUAAAUAAUCCAAAUUUUAUUCAGAUUUUCCCAAGGUACUUAUUUAUAUAUGUAUGCAAUAAAUUCUAUAUAUUUUUCAUCUUUAUAUUGUGCCAUCUUUUUUACCUUUUUAAAAAUUUGUGUUAUUAUUUUUACUGUACACAUUUAUAGGAUACAUUGUGAUAAUUCCACACAUGUACACAAUAUGUUAAGAUCAAAUCAGAAGGGACUGAGGUUGUGGCUCAGUGGUAGAGCAUGUGCCUGGCAUGUGUGAGACCCUGGGUUUGAUCCUCAGCACCACAUAUAAAUAAACAAAUUAAAAAUCCAUUGGCAACUAAAAAAUAUUUAAAAAAAAAUCAAAUCAGGAUACUUGGCAUUUCCAUCUCUUUAAACUUUUUAAAAUAAAUUUUUGGUUAAAACAAUUGGCCAUAUUUAGGGAAAAUAAAAAUGUAAUAUUUCAAUACAUGUAUACAAUGUGUGCUGAUCAAAUCAAGGUAAUUAAUAUUUCUAUCUCCUUAUUAUUACUUUGUGUUUCAAGCCUUUGAGUUCCUUAAAUUCUAUAUAAUUUUACACCUGUGUAAAUUCAUGUUGAUACCUAAUUUCUGACUAACGUAAGUGUUCUGAGCAUGCGUGGGGUAGGGUAAACUAUAAUAUUUGGCAAAUCAGAUGUAUGAAAUGUGCUUGCAAUUUAAGAUAUUUUCAACUCAUGAUGGUUUAUCAGGACAUAAACUCAUUGUAAGUCAAGCAGCGUAUGUAAUGCAUUUGUUCUACUGCUGUGUCAGUUAUGAUCAUCCAGAAAAAUAGAAACAAACAGAAAUAGAUGGUGUGUGGGCGGGGGGAGAGAAAGAGAGAGAGAGAGAGAGAGAGAGAGAAAAGGGAUAGAGUCAGAUAGAGACUUUCCUAAAGCUUCCUACUGGCCUUGAGGAAGAAAAAGUCAUGUUAGGAACUGUCUAUGGAAAGGGUCAAACACACAAAUUUGGGAAAUUACAGGAAACAUGCAGAAACUAAAGGUCUCAAUUCCUAAACUAUAAGGAACUGAAUUUUGCUGACAAACUGAAUGUUCUUGCAAGACCCUGAACUGUGUAAAGAAGCACAGCAUGGCUCAUUGCAAGGCUGCCAGAACCUGAGGAAAGGACACAUUCACAAAUAGGUCAUAUGUACAAGCAUAGUUAUACACAACCAUGUACGUAAUAUCUACUUCAAUAUGUGAACACUAAAAUAAUGUAGGAAACUCACAUAUUACACAUAUGUGUAUGUAUAAUUUAUAUGUAUGUGUAUAUAAGUAGGAGGUGUUUAUAUAUGUGUGUGUAGAUAUACACAUAUAUAUAUAUUUAUUUAUUUGUGUGUAUGUGUAUAUAUAUAUAUAUAUAUAUAUAUAUAUAUAUAUAUGUAUAUAUAUAUAUAUAUAUAUAUAUAUUCAUUCUUUGAAUAUAUAUAUAUAUAUUCAUUCUUUGGAUACAUAUGUACUAAAAAGAAAACAGUAUCAAAAUAGCCCCAGAAGCAUCAGUUUAUAGUUGUCAAUAUAUAUUGUCUAAAAUUUUGACUUUUUGCCAAAAAGUUGAAUUAUGAGACACAAGAAAGCAAUAAUGAUAAUUCAUAGACAGAGGGUUAAAAAAAAAAGAAACAAAAACUGUAAGAAAUCCCAUAUGUCAAAUUUAAACAAGCGAAUGAAAAUUUCAAAGAAUCUAAAAAGACUUCAAAGAUAAUGAAGAUUAUGCAACUUAACAGCAAAAAGAAAAGAGCAUACAAUGGAUAGAAUCUCAGACAAAUAUGGUGUUAUAUUAAAUGCAUGAAUAUAUACAUAGUAGGAGCACUAGAAUGAGAAGAGAGAGAAAAAUGAACAUUGAAAAUUUUGAAGAACCAAUGGAGGAAAAAUUGCCAGCUUUGAUUAAAAAUAUCAAUUUAUAGCCCGGCAUGGUGGUAGACCCCUGAAAUCCCAGCAGCUUAGAAAGAUGAGGCAGGAGGAUUAUGCAUUCAAAGCCAGACUCAGUAAAAUCGAGGUGCUAAGCAAUUCAAUGAGACCCUGUCUCUAAAUAAAAUACAAAGUAGGGUUGGGGAUGUGGCUUAGUGGUUGAGUGUCCCAGAGUUCAAUACUUGGUACAAUGCCCCUCCCCCCAAAUCAAUUCAUAUACACAAGUAUUCAAUGAACUCCAAGUAGGAAAACCACAGAGAUAUCCACACUGAGACACCUUAUAGUAACAAUGUUGAAGGACAAAGAUGAAGAGAAUAUUUUUAAAGCUGGAAUAAAAAAAUAACUCAUAUAAGUUAUUACAUUUAAGUGAAAAUUAACAGUGGCCUUCUCACCACAAUGAACAACAGACUGCAGUGAAAUGCCAUUUUCAAAGUAGUUGGGAGAUAAUGAUAACCAGGGAUCUUAUAUCUGAAAAUGUGUGUGGUGGGGGGGAAGGGUGUUGUGGGGAUUGAACUCAGGGAUGCUUUACCACUGAGCAUUGAGCUACAUCCCUAGCCCUUUGUUUUUACUAAUUUAUUUAUUUAUUUAUUUUUGAGAUGGUCUCACUAAAGUUCCUUAGUUGCUGAGACUGGCCUUAAGUUUGCAAUCUUCUUUGCUUCAGACUCCCAAGAACCUGGAAUUACAGGUGUAUACAAAUGCAUCCAGCCUAACAAAACUGUCUUUAAGAAAUAAGAAAACUUAAAUAUGUUCCCAGAAAAAAAAAAAGAAACAUAAAUUGAAAGAAAUAGUAAGGAAAGCUCUUUGCUAGAGAAGAGUGGUCACAGUCUAUAGACAGGAUUCAUACAAAUAGGCAGAAAUAACUGAUAAAACAUUUAUGUGUUAAUAAAACAGAGUAUAUACUUAAGCACUUCUGUUUCUUAACUACAAUUAUAGAAAAUGAUAUUUAUAGCAUUAAAAAAUGUCAUAUAUCGCCGUGUGCAGUGGUGCAUGCUGUAAUUUCAGCAGCUUGGGAGGCUGAGACAGGAGGAUUACAUGUUCAAAGCCAGCCUCAGCAAAAGCGAGAUACUAAGCAAUUUGGUGAAACCCUGUAUCUAAAUAAAAUACAAAAUGGGACUGGGUAUGUGGUCCAGUGUUCAAAUGCCCCUGAGUUCAAUCCCUCGUACCCCACUCCAAAAAAAAAAAGAAAAAAAAAAGUCAUAUAUUUAAAAUUAGUAGCACAAAAGAGAUAAGUGGAAUCAAAUUUAUAAAAAGUAAGCAAAUGACACCAGAUAGUCCCAGAAUACACAUGGAUAAAUAAAGACAACCAGGUAUUGUCGCGACCCCUUGCCCGCAAGGAAGACGCAACUCGGGAAUCUUCAUUCAACAGUUUAUUCAGGCCCUUGAUAUUUCUUCUUCUAACCCUCGGAUGCCCCUCCCAGCCUUAAUAAAGCAUCUCAAGCCCCAAUGCGAAGCUGCCACGUGGAGCUUUCUCAUAGGGUGGUAAGGGAUUGCGUGCCAAUUCUCCAUAUAAGGAGUUGUUUAUCACAGGCCACAGUGGAAGCCGGCGCCAUCUUCUAAUGGCGGCCACGGUCUAUUAGAACGGCUCACCACAAGGUAUAAUGAAUUAAAAAGUCCUCAUGUCAAUGUGAAUAAAUAUAUACUUAUAAUUUCCUUUGUUUAAAGACAUAAAUUAGAAAAAAUAAGAAUUGUAAAAUUAUAUUUUGUUUUAGUAGUAUGAUUAGUGGAUGCCUAACUUUAGUAUUCAGAGGGAAAAUGGAGAGUAACUGGAAAUAUUCUGUUUGGUGGUAUUGAUAGUUGCAGCAUAUUUUAAAUUAAAAAAAAAUGAACUGUACAAGCACAAGACAGACAGACACAGAGACACACACCCUAAGACCUACUGCAAUUUCUAUAUCCCAUUUCAUUAAUAAAUUUAACCAGGGAUUGAGCAGCAUAGUCAACAACUGAAGAUGAUCUUUUUAAAUUUUUUUUUAUGUUUAUUUGUUUUAAUUAGUUACACAUGACAGUACAAUAAUCUUGAUCUAUCAUACAUUUGAAUCAGAUGGGGUAUAAUUUCUCAUUUUUCUGAGUGUACAGGUUGCAGAAUCACAUUGGUCAUACAGUCACGUAUAUACAUCCAGCAAUAAUAAUGUCUAUUUUAUUCUGCUGUCCUUCCUAUCCCCCCUUCCUCUCCCCUCCCCUCCCAUCACUUCUCUCUACCCAAUCUAAUGUGACACACUUCUUCUUAUUUUUCCCUCAAAUCAUCAUACAUGUAUUCUGUAUAAUGAUGAGGGUCUCCUAUCUUCCGUGCAAUUCCCCUUCUCCCUCCCUUUCCCUUCCACCUCUAUCUUAUAAAAUAUAUACUCUUUCCUAAUUCAUUCCCACUUCCUGAGCAAUCCUCGGUGGGAGGAUAAAACUUUGGUGCACAAAUUUAGAAAAAAAAAUUUCACCAUGAUGCAGAAUUCUUAAUGGUAAUUUUAACUUACAGAAUAGUAAAAUAUUUGAGAAAAAAUUGCAUUCAUUCCAUUUCUGCUAGAUUAUUUUUGUCUACAGAGAAUACUAACUUUUAUUUUUUUUAUUGGUUGUUCAAAACAUUACAAAGCCCAUGACAUAUCUUUCAUACAUUUGACUCAAGUGGGUUAUGAACUCCCAUUUUUACCCCAAAUACAAAUUGCAGAAUCACAUUGGUUACACAUUCACAUUUUUACAUAAUGCCAUAUUGAAUACUAACCUUUAUGAUAUAACAUGUCAUACAUUUCAAAAAUGUAUCUUCUAAAAUUAAAAAAAAUGGCCAUAUAUAUCUAGAUGUAAAAUUUUUGCUUUUAUAAGAACUAAUAGAUUUCUUGUGUACUAAAUGUGACACAAGUGCUUUCAAAGCUUUCAUUUUCUUGAUUUCAACAAGCAUAAAAUAGGUGGACAUCAUUUACAUGUGUAUGUGCCUACAUACAGCUAUUUUAAGCAAUAUGUUCCAUUACUUUACAUCAGCUUGUACUAUGUAUUGUAUCAUAAUACCUAAUCACAUGUUUAAAUUCUUAAGUAAUUCUACAUGCUAUUCCUAAACUUCCUUUACAUUCCCUUCAUUUUUAAUGCAUUGCAUGAUUUUAAAAAGUUAAUGCUACUACUAUCGAAAUGAAAUCAUUCUGUUACAUUGAUAAACUCCACAAAGGGCCUUGCUUCAACUUUCUUCAGAUUUUUACUAAUGUAGUCAUUUAAUACCAACUUGGAGUUUCGGGUACAGGUAACCCAAAUUCAUGGUUUCAUUCUACCAUGAGAAAAGAUAUUUUAAGGAGCCAAUAGGUUCUUUGUUUACUUGCUUAUUUACUUUUAUUUUUUUAACAUAAAUUUGGUUGUUGUCCCUGGGCAGGAUCCAUUGUAAUCUUCCCAGUAUCAUUUCAAUUUUAUACAUAUGCUGCCAGAUGAUCCUUCAAUUACUUAUUUUUAAAAUAAAAUUAUACUAACUAUUUAUUAUUUACAAGCCUGGUUAAUAUAGGAAAUGACCACAAGUGAAUAUAUUUCUUAACAUAAUAUUUUAAUUAUGGCAUAUGAAAAUGACAUUUGCAGAUAAAAAAAUUCUUAAAUAUUUUAAUAUCUUAUGUUUCAACCUAAAUAUUUAUGCAAGAUGGAGGCAAACGUCAUGGUAUUGGCACCAAAAUAGUCUUGUAGACCCAUGGUACAGAAUAGAGGACACAGAGACAAACCCACAAAGUUAGUUAUAUGAGACAAAGUCGCCAAAAACAUAUAUUGGAGAAAAGACUGGAAAUCCAUAUGCAACACAAUGAAAUUAAGCCCCUAUUUCUCAUGAUGCACAAAACUCAAUUCAAAGUGGAUCAAGGACAUAGGAAUUAAACCAGAGACCCUGUUCCUAAUAAAAGAAAAUUAGGCCCAAAUCUCCAUUGUGUUGGAUUAGGCCUGACUUCCUUAAUAAGACUCCUAUUGUGAAAGAAUUAAAACCAAGAAUGAGUAAAUGGGAUGGAUUCAUACUAAAAAGCUUCUUCUCAGCAAAAGAAUCUAUGAUGUGAAUAGAGAGCCUACAGAAUGGGAGCAAAUUUUUACCACACUCAUAUAUCAGAUAGAGCACUAACCUCUAGGAUACAUAAAGAACUUAAAAACCUUAACACCAAAAAAAAAAAAAAAAACGAAACAACAACAACAAAAAAACCAAAUAACUCAAUCAAUAAAUAGACCAAGGAACUGAACAAACACUUCUUAGAAAAUGAUAUACAAUUAAUCAACAAAUAUAUGAAAAAAUGUUCAACAUCUCUAGCAAUUAGAGAAAUGCAAAUCUAAGAUUUGAAACUACUAUUCUAAGAUUUCAUCUCACUCCAGUCAGAAUGGGCAGCUAUUAAGAAAAAAAAAACAAAAACAAGUGUUGGUGAGGACGUGGGGAAAAAGGCACACUCAUACAUUGCUGGUGGGACUACAAAUUGGUGCAGCCAAUAUGAAAAGCAGUAAGGAAUUUCCUUGGAAAACUGAGAAUGGAACCACUAUUUGACCCAGCUAUCUCACUCCUUGGUUUAUACCCAAAGGACUUAGAAACAACAUACUUCAGAGAUGCAACCAUAUCAAUGUUUAUAGCAGGACAAUUCACAAUAGCAAAAUUGUGUAACAUACCUAGAUGCCCUUUAGUAGAUGAAUGAACAUAUACACAAUGGAAUACUACUACUCAAGCAUUAAAAAGAAUAAAAUCAUGGCAUUUGCAGGUAAAUGAAUGGAGUUGCAGGAUAUCAUGCUAAGUGAAGUAAGACAUUCCCCAAAAAACAAAUACCAAAUGUUUUCUCUGACAUAAGAAUGCUGAUUCAUAAUGGGGAUGGGGGGAAUCAUAGGAGAAAUAGAUGAACUUUAGAUAGGGAGAAAAGGAAGGGGGAAGGGGGGUAGGAAAGAUGGUGGAAUGAUAUGGACAUUAUUAUCCUAAGUACACAUAUGAAGACACAAAUGGUGUGACUCUACUUUGUGUACAACCAGAGACAUGAAAAAUUGUGCUCUAUGUUUGUAAUAUGUAUUGAAUUACAUUCUUCUGUAAUAUACAACAAAUUAGAAUAAAUAUUUUUUAAAAAAAUCUAUAAAAAAGAAAGUUAAUUUUUCUUUUAAUAGUUAUUAAAUCCCACUUAUAUUCCAACAUGGAUGGAUGGUUUUACACACACACACACACACACACACACACACAUAUUUACUAACUAAAAUAAUAUGAAGAAGAAUAGAAGGGAAAUCAUUACAGUAAGAAAAUAAAUUAGGGGUAGAGAGACGAGGCAUGAAAGGAAAGAUACUGUGAAAGGAAAUUGAGCAAACAGUGUAUGCAUGUGAAAAUAUGGCAUAGUGAAUCCCACUAUUAUGUAUAAUUAUAAUGUGCCAAUAAAAAAAAAAGAAAGAAUAUUAUGGAAAUUAUCCUAAAAGCAGUCAAAAUUACAUGGGGAAUUGAUAUUUGAGUACAUUUUAAAAUAUAACAUAGUUAUAGAAUAAAUGUAUGCUUACAAAAAUAAUAUAGUAAUGGGGUAUUUAUUCUCACUCAGUAGUUUGGAAAGAUUUAGAGUGAAUAAUGAAGCCUGGUAAAAUAUAUUUAUGUAGGUAAGCAAUUAAUGUUUUGCAUUUUUUAUAAUAUCUUGAAAAUUUUACAAUUUUAAGUUAAGCUGCUUUUAAAAGAAGAAAAUCACCUAUAUACAAUCAUUAUACCCUUAUUUCAUUAACUGUUUCUAGAAUAUAUAAUACACAGAUGUACACAUAAAAAAGGUGCAAUAAUGUUUUGAGUGUGAUCCUUAUAUUGAUUCUGUAUGAGGUGGGGCACAUGCUAAACAUAUAAAUAUCACAUAUAGUAAGGUCAUGGACCCAUAACAUAUUACUCUAUAUAAACUAGUGUUUUUAAUGUUUUAAUUAUGUAAUAAUUACAUAUGAUAAUGAGGUUCAUUGUGAUUUAUUCAUACAUGCACAUAAUUUUCUCCAUUUAUUUCCCCAGUAUCUGUCUUUUUCCUCCCUUCCUCCCCCUGACCCUGAUUCUCUUUCCCUACUCUUCUGGUCAUCGUUCUUCUAUUUAUGUAUAUAUUUUCAUUGAUGCAUUAUAAGUAUACAUGAAAGUGGGAUUUAAUGUAAUACAUUCAUACAUUCAUAUAGCAUAAUCUGGAUGAUUUUAUCCCCAGUUCUCCCUUUUCUCUCCCCCUUGUUUCCCUAUCUCUACUCUAUUUAUCUCCCUUCUAUUUUCAUGAUAUCCACUUUUUAAGUUCCAUUUUCUUCUCUAGUGUCUAUAUAAGAGAGAUAACAUCUGACCCUUGACUUAAUGAGUCUGGCUUAUUAUACUUAACAUGAUGUUUUGCAGUUCUAUUCAUUUACCAGCAAAUAACACAAUUUCAUUUUUCAUUACUGUGUUCUAAGUUUUAUUUUUUAAUGAAAUGCUGUUAUGAGAAAUAGAAGUGUGAAUUUAUGAAUGUGUACUUAAGUUACAGUGCAAUCUAGACUUCAUAAUCUUUUGCCUAUGUGAUUUGUGAAAAAAUAUUUACCUAUCUUUUUCAUUAAGAACAUGGAAAUAAAGAACAUUCCCUUCUAAAAAUUAAUUGAAACUGUAAAUACACAUUUUAAUAUAAAGUAAAUUUCCAUCCUAUUAUUUAACAAAAAAUAUCAUUUUAUUGUUUUCACAAUAGCCCUUCAUAUUUAAACUAUAAUUUACACAAUACUUUCAUAUUGACAUUUAUGUUUUAAAUAAUUCAGCAAUGACCUCACAUUUUUAUACAUGUAAAAAUUCCUUGUAAUCUUCUUAAGGUAAAUUCCUAGAAGGUUUUUUUUUUUUUUUUUUUGGCAGAAGAGGAAUGUUCAAAGCAUCCAUUAUACGUAGAGAGCUAAAUUGAUCUAUAGAGAAUUUAUACCAACUAAUAUUAUCAAUAUCAGCUUAUGGAAUUCACCAUUCACUUACAAAUAACAGAUAACAAUCACAAUCUAUAUAUAACAUAUAUAACAAUAACAUAUCUACAGAUAUAUAGAAAGACCUUAAAAGUUUCUAAAAAUGUAAUUUGUAUCCUAAUUAAUUUAAUAUUUCUUCCAGAUGAAUUUUGGUAAAUAAAAUUCAGUUUGGGACUAGGAUUACACUUUGUAUUUUUUUCUGUGAAGACGUCUUGUUUUUCUUUUGCAUCUUUUGAUAGUGAAUUGUAAGACACCCCUACAUAUUUUUGUUACCCACUCUGUCAAAAAUAUUCUAGUUUCACAUUCAUAUUUUAAUCCCCAUAUAUCACUUGUAGAUAUUUUAGGAUAUUAUUCAUUACUAAAAGUUACUAAUUGAGCUCUCAUCAUUAUUUCUACAAUUAUUUUAUGGUUUUAUUUUUAAUACUUAACUUUCAAAUUCUGAUGGAAUUAAUUUUGUUUCAAUGUGUGAAAAGAGGUACCGAUUCAUCCAUUUUUCUUAAAUAAUGACCCAAUUUUCUCAGAAAAAAAAUAUGUUAUUCCACACUAAUAUGUGAUGCCACCCAAAUUGAAUUAUAUGCAGUUGUUACCAUUUUAAUUCUUUGCAUUGCUCUUCAGGUCUAUUCCAUUGUCAACAUCAUUGCUUUGCUUAUAGUAUUUUUGUAAUAACAUUGACCAUAAUAGCUCAAGAAUUCUGAAAAUUAUCUUUCCCAUUUUACCAAUGUUUUUGUUUCUCUCAAUUUAUAUUCCUUUGUCAAGAUUUCAUUUUUGAGUGGCCAAGGAAAAGAACAGUAAAAGAUACUUAUGAAUUUCACUGUGAAAAGCAUGUGCUUUGAUUUUAUAAAUACCAAUGUUUUACAAUACUUAGUGGAAUACUUCAUAGCUCUUCAUUUAUUUUAUCUAAUUUGUUACUGUUAAGUCACAGGUUUCAGGGCUGAUCACACUGGCUAUCUUCCUUUUAGUAGUGUUUUCCCCCUAGGAACCCUGGUUGUAUUUACUGGCAGAUCCCCUGCUAAAAUCAAUAUCUUGAUCUAAGAGGAAUUUUCUUAACCUCCUUCUGUCCCAGAAUUUUCAUGUUUACCUUUGUCCAUUGUUUCAAUUUUUUUUUUCCUCAUAGUAAUUACCACUGCCAGAAGCUACAUUUUCUAUUUAUUUUUGAAUUUUCCCUCUAUGCCAAUGUUGGUCCAAUGUUUUCUUUGUUCAAUACUGAAUCUUUGAUGAGUGUUUAGAACAUUGCUAGCACUAAGAAUUAACCAACAGUACUCAGUGAAAAUUUUCAUUUUAUUUACAUGGAUCAUGCUGAUGUCUUUCUUAAAUAAACUAUAGUUUUUGUUUUUAUAGAUAAGUAAAAGCAAUAUUUUAUUAUUUUAUUUUCUCCUAGAUAUUAGACUACCUAAAUAUUGUGCAUCCCUGAUGAACUGUUGAAGUUUGUAUGGAUUCUUUGAAAAUUUUUUUGAAGUCUAAUAUAAUCUGGCAAAAAUAUUCAAAUUUUUAUUAAAUCUAGAUUAAAGAUUGAGAUAUGUAAUUAUAAAAAAUAUAUAAAUAGACAUAGAUAUUCAAAGAAUCAAGUCGCCCUAAAAUUGACUGAAACAUUGAACACCUAUCCCUAACACAUUAUAUUUCUAUAGUACUUUAGAUUACUGGGCUGGGGUUGUGGUUUAGCAGUAGAGUGCUUGCCUAGCAAAUGAGAGGCCCUGGGUUUGAUCCUCAGCACCACAUAAAAAUAAGUAAAUAAAAUAAAUGCAUUGAAAAAUAUUUUCGAUUACUAUGCAGUGGAACUACCAAAUAGAUUGAAGGAACAUUAAGUAUAGGAAAGUGAUAAAUUACUUUAAAGUGAAGUAGAAUGGAGUGGCUGGUAUGGAAACUUUAUGAUGGCAGAAAGAAGCAGUUCCAUGAAAAGCAUUAUUAGCAACUGGAAAGAACUUGUUAAGCAUCUUUGUAAGUAGUUGCUUAGAUGAUUCUGAAAUUGGAUAAUAGAGGUACAGCAUUACUGUAGAAGCACUAGAGGCAAUAAUGGAGAUUGUGUCAUUGGAGAAGACCUUUGUACUCUGUACUCACUGAGAAUUUUGGUAUGAAAGUCUGAGGCUUAUUGUGUUUCUCCUGUUCUCUGAUCUGAAAGACUUUAAAUGGUUUGAUGAAUCAUUGGGACAGAAUAAUUCUAAAAUCUCUUCCAACUUAAUAUGUGUACAUUUCGCCACACAAUUAAAUUCAGACAUAAUAAACUAAGUAGAUGAUAAUAACUUGUUUUCCAUAGGAGGAGACACAAUAAGAAAAAAUUGACUUUAGAAUUGUAAGAAAAUAGAGUGAAUUUCUUUUUCACCUUGGAAUUAUAUUUUUCCUAAGAACCUGUUGUUACUGACUGAUAGAAAAUUAAAUCCUUAUAAAUAUAAAAUAAAGCUUUAUGACAUCUCCUGGAUUAUGGAAUAUAUCCAUCCCUAUACCUUAGUUUUGAUUGAACUUAAAAAUAAAAUUUUUGCUUAGGAUCUCCUCUCAUAAUAGCUAUUUGUACAAAAAUUUUUCAUGCCAUUGUAAUAUGUUUUAAUUUUCUUUUAAAAAGCCGGUAUUUAAAUUUGACUUAGUUGGGUUUUAUGGAACAUAACCUAGAACUGAGAUUUGUUGUCUUGUUUUGUUGUUGUUGUCUUUGUUUUUUUGUAUAGUCAAAACCUACUGAAAAUUUCUCCUUUUCAAAUUUUUAAUUAUCAUCAUCAUCAGUAAUACUAUUGUUAUUUUAAAUACUUCAGUGUUUUCCUUACUGUAUGGGCUUUUGAAAUCAUUGUCCACUAAUUAAUAUUUCCAAGAUAGUCUACUGCUUACACAGAUCUUACAGACCCCCAGCCAAUGAGAAAUGUUUCUUUGUCAACAGGUGAAUAAAGCAAAAUGUGCUUGGUAUAUUCCUCCCCAUUUCAGGUUCUUUUCCUUCAUCUUCUUCCCAUGAUAGAGUUUGAUGUUUACAAAAAAAUCUCAGCUGGGUGUAGUAUCCCAUGCCUGUAAUCUCAGUGGCUCAGAAUCAGGAAGAUCACAAGUUUGAGGUCACUCUCAGCAACUUAAGAAGGCUCGAAGGCAACUUAGUGAGACCCUUUUUAAAAUAAAAAAUAAAGUGGGCUGAGGAUGUAGCUCAGUGGUAAAGCAAAGGCCUCUGGGUUCUAAAUAAACGAAUAAAUAAACUUGAAGAAAGAAAACAAAAGAAUGAAAUAAAAAUUCUCACUCUAUUAGCUCCUCUAGUUAUUACAGUAUCCAGAAAAUUAAUUUUUAAAAUACGGGUUAAAUGCUUGUGAUUUAAAUCCAACACAUUUCAAGCACAAAAGGGGAACUGUGGAUUCAGUGUCUGAUUAAGUCGGAACCUAAAAGAUAUUCUUUCAGUGGAUGUUGCUCUGAUCUUUUCUUGAAUCCUUUGUUAACUGCCAAUAAAUCUUGGUUUCGCAUGGGUCUGAUAUGUUGGCUCUUUGCAGGGUGUAUUUUUGUGUUUGUGCGAAGGUAGGGUAUGUGUAUGUAUGUAUUCAUCUCACAAAAAAGAAAUUGCCCAGAGUUCUCUGGUUGUGUAACAUUUGACUGCAGAGGUUUCUCCUCUCCAAUGCUGUGUUGUUCUUUGCCAAUUAGGUAAACAUUAGGCACUUGUGUAACCUUUUUAUUCUCUAACAUUUUCUAUUUCCUUUCUGUUGCAAGAAGUAGCAAAGUUCUGAAGAAGGAAUACAAUCUUAUUUUCUUACUUAUGGUGUUAUUUUCUUAGUUUUGAUACCACAAAUUCACCAUGCCUGUGUGUGUGUGUGUGUGUGUGUGUGUAUGACAUCAUACACCUGCACUUAGGGACAUGUGAAGUAACCUGGGUUUUUAGGGCUAUUCAUGAGCUUUGCAUUCUCUGGCCCUGAAUGCUUCACAAGUUAAAUUUUAAGCUUUCAAUUAAGAGGCCUUCAGUCCAUCUUUUAGAAUCAUCAUUUUCCAACACAGACUCCAUCUCUUCUGAUAUCUAUCAGAACGUACAUUUGUAAUUUUAUGCAGAAAAAACCAUGUGGAUUACCAAGAAAAUUGUUAUAUUUUAUUUACCACCAAGGAGUUUUUAAAUUCCUAGGGAAAGUAGGCAGAGUGAGUUGUUUAUUUUUCUGGUGUGCCAUCAAGGAAAUCUGUCAAUUUAAUAUACCAGUUUAUCUUUUUGAGCCCAAAUAAUACUCACUUUGUACUUCAAAAAUUUAUUAAUCAAAUCUCAAGUGUCACAAAUAUUUGUUGAAGCACUAGAUCUAGAUUUAGCUUGUUGGUAGAUUUUCAACUCUUCUGUACAUUCUAAUUCUAUUGCUUUUCUUCCAGAGUCUAUAAUAAUAGAUUCUUGAAAUCAGUGAAUAUUUAAAUUACUUUUUACAUAUUUAUGAAGUGUCUGCCUCUGCCAGAUCCUGCUGUAAGUACAGGCAAUGUAAUGGUCAGACUGACUGCCAAAUUUGGUAUAAAUAUAUCUGUGAGUUCCUCAACCACACAAAAAGACAUGGCAGAAUUCCCAGCUUGGCAGAAUUUUAAACCAUAUGAAUUGAUGCCUAAUGAGAACGUCUUUACUCUAUGAACCCAUUACAACAUAUAAUUCUAUUCUCUCUAUCAUCUAGGACUUCUGAAAAUCAUAUUAUGAGAGACUAUGCACCAUGUUUAGUAUCCUGGGAGAUAACAAAACUGAGCUGAAGAAGUAUUAUCAUGAUUACAGAAAAUCAUUACCAGGAGUCAAACUUCUCAUAGCAUCUGAGUGGUGUGAAGAACAGGGUGUCCUAGAAGAGGGCUAGCAGAGCAAAAAUGGGUGUUCCACUACUGAGAAGUGUGCCUGGGCUCCAACAUGACACCAGUACCCUAAACAGGAGCCAGAAGCAUCUGUGCAUUCAUUCAAAAGGGUAAGUAGGGCAGGAGUUACUAAAAAUAAAGCCAUGCAAAAAAUACAAGGCAUACUACCUAAAGCUAGCUAUCAAAGGAUUUGAGAGCAUUCUUAAAAAUAUAUGAAUUCUGUCUAUUGCCAUGUCUUUCAGAGGUAAGUUUGCUUCUUCACGUGAUGUUUUAUUUGGAAGAUUAGAAAUCAUAUAUAUUAAACUAUAGAAGAUUAUGUAUAUUUCUCACAAAAAGCUACAUUUCUCACAAAUCUAACAUCCGUACAAACCACUUGCAUAUUUUAAAUUGGUUGAAUUAGACAAGAAGUCACCGCAUGAUUAAGAGAUGAGUGAUGGUUUUUCAAGGUUGAAAUGUGGCCAAAAUGAUUUAUUAACAAUGUGGUAAAUAUCUGUACUACCUAUUUGCUUAACACUACAAAAGGCACCCUGAUUGGUUAUUACUAAGCCUCAUGUUACUUGCUUUGAAAUUAGUAGGAAUAUAUUUAUUAUAGUCAUGGGAAAUCAUUUUAUGCCUAUUUUAUUUAAAACUGUUUUGUUUUCCUGAAGAAUAUUCUGGAUUUAAAUUUUGAAAUAAUUAUAGAAUUGGCCAAUGUUGAUUUUACAGUAAAUUAAAUUGCACAGGGCCAAAAAAGCAAGUGAAAUUUCUCCUAAUGUCAGAUGAUAGAGAAGAAGUCUUGACAAGGUGUUUAUCACAAUGGUCUUGGCUUCAGGAUCACUGAGGAGCUGGUUCAAUGGAGUUUCCUGGUUCAACAUUAAUUAAGGAUAUCUGAAAGUGAUAUGUGUAAAUGAAUCCACAAUUUGAAUAAUAACCCCAGACAAUUUAUAUUACAUUGAAAAUUACAGAAGUGUAAUGAAGAAAAAAAGAGCCUGAAACCUGGUUUGAAUUCCUUUAGUUUAUUGACUUGAACCCUAAGAUUAUUUAUGAAGAUGCUACUCAAUAAAAAAUGUAAGAAACUUUUCACUGAAUUUUAUUUGAUAAUUAAAAAAAAAAUAAUACAAAACAAUGAAAUAUUAACAUUUACAAGCAGGUUGAGAAAACAUGGGUUUUGUUAAACUCAUAAAGUCUGAAUGAUUUUUACAUUGCUUCAGUACCUUUUGGAGUACCUUAUUUUAUCCAAAUGAAAAUCUAACCCUUGUCAAGUAAGAAGGAAAAAGAAAUGAGACUGGAAUUGUCUUUAUAAAAGAUAAAAUUUCUGACUAAGAUUAUUGAUUUUUAUUCAUACUAUGUAGUAUGACAGUAAUAGUAAGUCAAAUGAUGUUUUGUAAAAUUAUAAGUAAUUAAAAUCACAUAGAAAUUAAAGCUAAAAUCUGAUUUUAGAAUGCACUUAAUUAAUUCUAAUAUUGAGUAGAAAUAUUUCAAUAUUGAGUAGAAAUAUUUCAAUAUCAUGUAAUGACUUAAAAUAACUUAAUUCACCAAGUAAAACUAAAUAGAUUCUUCAAAAAAUAAAAUGCUAGUAUCAUUUGUGAGUGAACUUCAGGGCAUGCUGGGAAAUUAGAAAUAUACAAAAGUACAUUUUAUGUCCUCUUUGCACUAAUAAAUAUCAUACAUUGGGCAAAAUAUAUCCAUUUUGACUUCUGUGUGAGCCCUGUACUUUCUUAUGUAUUGGGAUUAUAGGAGAUAAACAUUAGCAAAAUUUGAAGAAUAUUGUAGAAACCUUUCUCACAUAUACUUUGAAAGAGCUAGAUAAUUAUUACAUUUUAUUCUACAUUUUUUAAAGACUUACAAAAUUAUCUUGGCAUUUUGAAAAAUUCUGAUAAUCUUAUAGUCAAGUUUUUAUUUCCCACUACAAAAAUGUAAUAUCAGGUAACUUUUACUGGUGUCUAGGAUUCAGUUGGACAAAUACUAUCAAUUCUUCAGUUCUUAAGUAUUUGCUACUUAUUUAUCUCAACAGACAUCUUCCCAAUUCCUAACCCAUGGUCUUGUCAUUUCCUAAACUGGCUUAUGAAUGUCUGAAGCUGUAUGACUUUUUUUUGUUUCUGAAGAUUAUGUGUCUCAUUUUUAUAAAAUUCUUAGAGGAUUCCAUUUUCUUACCACCCCUGCUAUUAACCCAACUCCAACCAGUUUAAACACUAGGCUAUUUUUUAUAUGGGGAAUGGUGAUGUGAACCUAGUGCUCAGGCACCUCUCAACCUGAAGAACACCCCUAUGUUAGGUUUCACUUUCCAUUUUCAAAAUCCCAGAUAACAUACUUCACUUUUCUAAUAUUUUCUUUCCAAAUGAUGCUAAGUUUGGCCAAAGUGGUAUCUCCCUGUACUGAAUUGAUAUCUUAAUUAUUAUCUGUUUGAACAGCUAAUAUAUAACAUGUUGAUUUUUCUUUGUAUCUGACAUUUUCGUCUUCAAUUUUUUUUAUGGUUUAUGUUCUAUCCUGCUCAUCCAGAAUGUAAAAAACAUGAGCAUAGAAUCUUCAUUACAGACAUUAGUAGGGGCUGAAUUAGUGCUUAGCUAACAGAUAUUAAAUGAAUAUUUGCUAUAUUUACAACUAUACAACACCUUCAUUCUUGUUUUCUAAAAUUGUAACAUACUUUGGUCAAAAUACUAUUAAUUCAAGUUAGACAAAGAUAGGCUCAUAAUUUCACACAUUUUUAAACAGGCCUUACUUGAUUAUCUGUUCAAUGCUUAUAUAUCGAAGCACCUACUAACCCAGAUUACUUUUGUGUUACUUUUAAAAACUGAAUGCCUUAAGAGGAGGGCAUAUAAAAGAUAAGACUUUACCCAUGGUGUGUUAGUUCCAAAUAUGAUUAAGUAUCCAUAAGUUGAAGUUUUAGGCAACCAUUUAGCUGCCCUGCCUUCCAAGUUGGCUUAACAUCUACAAGAGUUAAAUCAAUCAGGGUAAAGUGAGAACUGACUGGUGAAAGUGUUUCUGCACCUGCUGUCUGACAGGGUCACAGCGUGGGGGAUGCUGCAGGAAGGCCGCAGCAUCUGGAAACUGGAACCAUUAGGAAUGUUAAGUGUUUUAUUUAUGAUACUCAUGAUAUGGAUAACAGGGAACACGUCAAUCAAUAAUAAAAAGUUCUUACAUAUUGUCUGAGAUUGUAGGAAAAUUCCCAGAAUGAGACUAAGGAUGCAAUUGAGACAUGUCAUGAGGUACAUUUCAGUGUCUCUCAGGAUACAAACAAUGGUGUUAUUCCUCAAGCUUAAACAACAAUAAAUAUUUAUCCCAUGGUUAACAAUUUACACUAGCCCACCCAAUCCCAUCCUAAAGCCACAACUUGUACAAUAGCCUAGCUACAGAGAAACAAUUUCUGUGCCAACAGUACAAGGACCACCAUUUGUAGUUUAUGGUAUCCCCUCAAGGACAAGAGGCUAAUAAAAAUACAUUUCCC